UUUUUUUUUUUUUGUAGGUUUUAUUUUGUGGCAAAUGCUAGUUAAAGUAGAGGUCAAUUUGUUGUUGGAUAGUUUUCGUUACAAAUAUUAAUAAUUUUAUCAAUUUGUUUUAGAUUUCAUCAGUUCACUUAACCCGAUUCGAAGGUCCGCUCGAAAAGUGGAAGGGUUUGGAUAAAAAUAUAGAUCCAAAAAAUGGGCUUGUGAAAAAAAAUAAGACCUAUUUAAAAAAUAGGCCGAGCCUCGAAUAAAUUUUUUUGGCUCAAGCUCAACUUAGCCUGAAUUUGCAAAAAGAAGAAGAAGAAGAAAGAAAUUACUACUUUUUUUUUACUAUUUUGUCACUAUUUUGCUGUCAUUUCACUAUUAUAUUGUUACUAUUUUGUUGUUAUUUUUUGAAUAUUGUGUAAACUUAUUUUAUUGUUAAUUUUGCUACUAUUUUAGAGGCAUUUGUUUGUAAAGUUGUAUUUUAAUAUUAUUUAAGUAGACUUUUUUAAUUUAUUGAGAAAUUUGUAGUGUUUUUUUUUUAUGAAUUAUAUUUUUAAAAUUUAUUUUUAUAUAAAAACAAUAUAAGAAAAUUAAUACAAAUGAGUCGGACUGAAUUUGAGUUUUAACUUUUUUAUCCAAAUUGAAUUUAAGUAAAAUUUUAAUCUCAUUUUUCAAGUUGAAUUGAACCUGAACCUAUUGAACUAACUUGAAAUUUUAUCAUGAUCACUUCUAAUUUAUUUGCACUUAAUUGUUUUUUUUAUAUUAUUAAAUAGAGGAGUUGUUUGCUCCCUUAUUGAGAAUACAAGAGACUUUUGGGGAUACCUGUAUCCUUUUUUGACGGACCAUUUGGUGAAUGAACAAGUAGUAAUUAUAACAUGUCUUAUAUUAAAUACUUGCACAUAUUUGCUGGUUAUUAGAAUUGUAAAAAUUGAAUAAAUUGUAUAAUGUUAUACAAUUUAAUAAACUAAUAUUUAGAUUGUUACAAAAAUAUAGAUAUAAAAAUCUAUUUCAAUUAACAAUAUAUUAAAAAUUUUCAAUCUUGAGAUUUUAGUGUUUGAAAUAAACAUAUAACUCUUAAUUUUCAGUUAACAAUAUAUUAAAAAUUAACAUAUUUACAACUUAAUUGCAGAUUAAUUAACAAAGAUUAGUCUCUCCUACUAGACUUCUCUCCAAAUACUUACAGUAUCUCUUGAUGUGGUGGUUACGACUAUCUAACAAUACAAAACUUUUAGAGUCUCUUAAGAAUUUUUAAAUUAUAAUUUUAUUUCUAUUUUUCAUAAAAAAUAAAUAAAAUAAAUAAACAUACAGCUAUUUUAUGGAAGAUUUCUCUUUGUUUUCUAAAUAUGAUAAGUUUGGGCUUAACCUUUUUAUCUGAUUAUAGCUUGUAUUUAUUUUUUUAUAUAAUAUUUAUACUAAUAGAGUUUUAAGUAAAAAAUUUUGGUAAAAAUAACAAGUAGCACUAAUAAUUAUUAAAAUAAUAAUAUUUCAUGUCUCUUCCCCUCCUAAAUUACUAACAGAAACAAAAAAAUGUAUGAGGUUGUAUCAAGGAGUUUUUCACUUCGUUUUAGUAUUGGAUUUGGAUUGGCCUUGGGAGGGAUGGAAUCGAACAACAAAAUGCCAAAAACAAGAUUCUCUGUCAAAGCCCUCUCCUCUUCUUCUUCGGAUCAAAACCCAAACCCAGGUUUUCAAACCCCUAUCAUCCUCUUCUUCUUCUUCUUCUUCUUCUUCUUAUUUCCUUUUGUCUAAACCUUUUGAGUAUUUUCAGGUUCUGGAUUGACCAACAACGUUUCUUUGCCUCAAGUUCGAGUUUUUACCAGGAAAAAAAGGCUUAAAAAGACACUGGAUGUUGUAAAAGAAAAUCCCAAACCAGAAAAUGAAGACCAUAAUGUAAGACCAUUGUUUUUUUUUUCCCCCAUUUUUUCCCUUUUUUUUCCCCAUUAAUUCCAUUAUUUUUACUAGUGAUAUGUUACUCAGGAUAUUUUUUCCUGUAUGAUUCUAGAACAUGCUUAUAUGCUCUGAAAUUCGUUAUUUAACGGUGUCCUAUUACUGUAUUAGUCAAAAAUUGAAAUUUGACAACAUAAUGGAUUGAUCACACAACCUAUCGUAGAUUUGUCGGUGUAGAGUUGUUCUUGACCAUCUAGCCAUAAUGUCUUUUUGUGCAGUCGUGUAGCUUACCUGACAUAGAAGAAUUUGCAUACAAGAAGGUAGAUGGACCUGCUCGGUCAGGUAGGAUUCCUGUGGUAAUGCUAUGUUCCUACUAUUAGUACGCAAAUGGUGAAAGUUUUUGCUUAAAAGGAUUGUUGGAUUGACAAUGUCAAUGCAUCGAGUUGUGAUGGAAUGAUUUCCGAAUCUCGAGACAAUUCACCACGUUUGGAGACUUCGCACAUUGCUAUCAUGCUGUUUUCCUAUUGCACAUAUGAACCCCCGCACUAACAAAUACACCUAUGAGCCGACAAAGUCACUGUUACAGUGGCAAGGUGGUUGUAAGUUGGCACCAAAGACCACGGUUCAAAUCUUGAUCCCCUUCCCCAAAUUUGUAAUGAUAAAAGAAGAAAGACCUAUUUACCUAAGCACACAGAUGCACUAAUGCUUGGCUGUGAUAUAUGCUUAUGCUGAAUUUUGUCCAUUUUAAUGGAUUAUCUCCCUGGGUCUGAUUAGUUUUUUUCACAUACCAAUGAUUUUGCAGGGAAGUCGAAGUCCGCAUGUGAUGAGCUUAAUGUGGGUGUCGGUAUUGCUUCUCCUAUUGGAGUGGGAGGUAAACAGUGAUAAUUAUGUGCAUGUGAAAAUGUUAUUUGGAAUUACACGAGAAGAGAGAUUUUCUAACGUAAAACUUAUAAUGUACAAUGCGGGCCAAUUUGCUCUAGCUUGUAUGCAUUUUUUUCCUACAAAUAAAUUGAGUAGUCUAAUGUUGCCAAAGUUUGCAGUUGGUGUUUGCACCCUAUCAUUGUGAUUCAGAUAUAAAAAAAUUAUAGACUUCUGUCUGUAGAGUGUGUGUUUAGGUUGUUAAUUACAUUCGCUCUUUUUAAUGAAGAGGUCCAUGUAAACAAUGGAAUGAUGCGACGGUUUUGAUUGACAAAACCUUCUUCCUGGUUCAUUUCUUUUGAGUGUUAAAACAAAGAAAAGAUGAUGCAUUUGCUGUUGAUUUGUUCCACAUGAUGCAGGCAAACCACCUGCCAACUGGGAAAAAGUGCUUGAAGGAAUCCGUAAAAUGAGAUCCUUAGAAGAUGCACCUGUGGACACUAUGGGAUGUGAGAAAGCUGGAAGUGUUCUUCCACCCAAGGUACAAUCUUGUCGAUCAUUUGUAGGUAGAUAUAUCAUUGGUAAUCAAUAAUUUAUCCUUUUUAUACUGUAUUUGCCAUUUGCAUUUCUGAUGCUGCUUUGGUUCUUCAAGUUUAAGGCAUCAAAUUUGGGAUUUAAAGUAAAGGGCACUGAAGUGCUUUAUUUAAUCUGAGGCUACACGAAGAAAUAUUGAACCCCACAUAGUUUAUUAGCUAGAGAAACUGCUUAAUGCCAGUAUGGAACGUGCUUCAUGUUGUAGCUUAAAUCAUCUUUGGUUCUUGUAGACGAAUUAUCUUGAGCUCAAUAUUCCCACUUUGCAGCACCAACUAGUGUCCUAUAUAUUUGAUUGUUGACAGCGAAUAUGAUGGGUGGAUGGAGAUUGAUUUUGCCUUAUUAGCCUCGGCCCUUGCUUCAAGCUCCAUUAGUGGGGUCUGGCUUCCAAAACUAUGAUUUCGUCAUUCUUGAUUCUUGAAGCAAUGUUGUUGAAGAUUCUUUGCAUCCUAAAGACAUUUGUUUUAGAUUCUUAUUUACUGAUUCUUUUCUAUUUAAUGGAUGUUUAAUUAUGUAUGCUUGAAAACAUAUAACUAGUAUAUCUUUUAACUCUUACCGUGUGUUAGGAAAGAAGAUUUGCUGUCUUGGUAUCAUCACUACUAUCUAGCCAAACCAAAGAUCAUGUUACUCAUGGUGACUCCCUAAUCUUUUAGUUUAGUUUACAGUUAUAUAUCAAUUCAACUAAUCAUCUUCUUGAAGUAUUAGACAUUCUAGUUAUAACUUGCAACAGUAGGAAAUUGGGGCAUCUAGUUCUAGUUUUGCUUGGUGGCCGUAAAAAGUUUUGCAUCAGAAAGUUCUUAAGCUUUAUACUUUCAUGACUGUUUAUGAUGAAAAAGUUUUCUUCAAAGUAUAUCAUGGUUAUGCUUACUUUUAAUAUAAAAUUUUCAUAAUCUAAAUUCUUAUAAAAUCUCAGUCAGGGAUUUUUAAUGUUCUCAUUUCCCUUUUUCUACUGGAUCCAUAAGAAGUUUUUUUCAUGUUUUUAUUUUUGGCGAAGAAGUUUAUCAUGGAUGAAACUUGAUGUAUGAUGAAAUAAGUUGUUCAUUGUGGUUGCUUGGUUGGUGAGUUUCUAUCCUAACAUCUAGAUACUUGAAAAUAAGUAUAUGCUUUUUAAUUUAAUGCAUGCCUUAAGAGUUUGUGCUUGUAAUCUCAACUGCGGAAGGGAAUGAUAUAGAGAAAUGUUUAAAAGCUUAUAUAACUGUAGCUCAACAUGAAAAUGAAAAUUCUUAAAUAGAUGAUAGUUAUGAGCACUCGAAGUAGGACAAGGACAUUACCAAAUCAAAUUAGUUUAAUGGUAAUGAAAGAAAAAAUCCAUUUUCUCUCUCUUUCUCUGUGGCUUGGACUCUGGACAUGUAUUUAUUGGUAAUGGUCGUGAAUGACUGAAAUAGCUUUGAAUUAGGCCACUGCCACUCUUAAAUUUUGCAUUAAAGAUUUAGGCAAGGAAUACCUUUGCAACGUAUGAGAUGUAACUGAUAGUAUAUUCUGUGAUGUUAUUAUCAUUGAAACUUUGUAUAGGCUUUGUCUUUUCUGAUAUAGUCCUAUGUAUUACCCUGACUUUGUUGAUUAUGUUCUUAACACUAAUAAAGAUGCUGUAUGCGCAGGAGCAAUUCAACGUCUCAGUCAGAAUUGUCUUCUGACUCCUGAUGCCAUUGACAAAGCUGAUGAAGCAACUAUUAAGAAUUUGAUCUACCCGGUAUGUCAUCCUAGAAGUUGCUUAAAAAACUAGGCAUCAAAGCUUUUCCAUUUUGACCUGUGUGUGCUAGUCCUGAUAGGUAUACAAGUUUUUUUUUCCCAUAAGCUGUAGCUUUAAUCUUAUUGCCUAUUUUCUUUCUGUCUCUUCCCUCACGUCUUUGUCAGCUACUGUUAUGAAAUUUCAUUUUGUUUGUUUUAGGUCAGAUUUUAUAUUAUGAAAUUUCAUUUUGUUUGUUUUAGGUCGGAUUUUAUACAAGGAAAGCUAUUAAUAUGAAGAAAAUUGCAAAAAUCUGUCUUAUGAAGUAUGAUGGGGACAUUCCAAGCUCCUUGGAGGAACUACUCUUGCUCCCAGGGAUAGGCCCGAAGAUGGCUCAUUUGGUAGGAGGGUAAUUACAUAACUUUUUAAAAUUAUAUGUAUACGGAAUUUGUAGUUUGAUGUGUGGUGCUUUAGGUUAUGAAUGUUGCGUGGAAUGAUGUUCAAGGGAUAUGUGUAGAUACUCAUGUGCACCGCAUUUCCAAUCGGCUUGGAUGGGUGUCUCGACCAGGGACAAAACAGGUACCUCAAUCUUAUUUUGUUUAGUUGCUUUUUUUUUUCAUAAUAUAUUUUUAGUAUUAAAACUACUUAAUUUACAUACCUAUUUGAAAUUAAUCAGGAUUGUAUAUAACACCGAAAUUUGUAACUUAAAAUCUGUUUCUGUGUCUAAAGAGAAAUGUCAUGGAUUUUUGCGUGUAAUUAUUUUGAUAAAUGCAAUUGACCUGGUUAGAAGUUAUGAGUAAAUUAUUUAAGCAACUCAGUUGACCUAGUUAGUGGAAGGCCUCUAGAGAUAUGAUGUUUGUUCCUCCCUCUUCCCACAUUCUAAUUAAUCACCACUUACAAACAUAUAUGGUCAUACAACUUCAAAGUGAACCUUUAAAUAGAAUUUGAUUUAUUAGUUCUGAGUUACUACAAAUUGGAAAAAGUGUCUUUCUUCCUUGGAAAAUUUGUUUAAUAGAUGCUCUUUCCCUUUUCAUACUUAAACAAAUGGCAUAUGUCAUUACUCAUUAUCGUGUCGGUUUGCUAGAAAACUUCGUCUCCAGAGGAAACAAGAGUGGCAUUGCAACAGUGGCUUCCAAAGGAGGAAUGGGUCCCAAUUAACCCUCUUUUGGUAUGUAGCCAUUUCAUUUAUUCGAUUUGCUCACACCUAAAUAUGCACUCUUAUAUAUGAAGAAUUUAGAUGCAUGCAUGCAAUAAAAUUUAUCUCUUCUGUUAAAAGGUCUAUUCAUGCUACAAUCAUUUGUAUAUGAUUCACUUUCAUGGUGUUCCAAGUUUACCUACAUACACAAGAGGCAUGAUUUCAGCAUCCUCGUGUUAAAAAGGUUUCCAAUCUUUAUCAGAGCAUUAUAACUAAUUCGUGAUGAUUAGUGCAGUUUCUUUUCAUCAUGAGUUUCAAAUGAUCCUAAUGCAAACCCCUAAAUUGAUGCAACUAACGUCUAACAACUUAAUGCUUGUAUGAACAAAAUUGAGUUUGAACAGGUGGGAUUUGGACAGACGAUUUGUACUCCACUCAAGCCACGGUGUGAAACCUGCAGCAUUACGUUGUUUUGCCCAUCUGCCUUCAAGGAAGCCUCGAGCCCGUCUAAGGUGAAAAAAUCUGGUGCUAGGAAAAAGCUUUGAUCAUUUUAAUUCUUGAAAGCAGGAUUUUAGUUUCAUUUUGCGAGGCAACCCUAAGAAAUCUCCGGCCGGGUAUGUUGAAUGCAGCCAUGUAUUCUUAAUAUCGGUAGGAGUAUGUAUUUUGUUGAAGGGCUUAGAAAGCAUAUUCUUUUUGAGGUAACUCUCGUAUAAACUUCUUAAAGAUUAAUGUGAUGACACAAAUUUGGGAAUUCAUGGGUCAUAUUUUUUGUAUUUACUCACACUGCAGCUUUUACAAUCAAACCAUGCUCAAAUAUCCGUUAUCCAAAAUCGAUCCUUGGGCUUGAUUAAUUAUAUACAAAAUAAAAUUUAAAUGAAAAUGUUUUUUUUAUUAAACACUAUUCAAUGUUUAUACCAAAAUAUAAACCAACCAUUCAAUGUGUUUGACAAAAAGAAAAAAUAAGAAGAAACUAUUCAAUUUGUACGAGUUUGAAUUUUAUUUUAGAAAUUUUCGGGAUCAAUGAUUGGAUCAUGCAAACUAGAAAUACUUUUUCUUGAAUCAAGUAGAUCACUCGAUCCAUUUCUGUAUCGCUCAUGAUCUAUCUCAUUUUUGUACAGUAGGGAUAUGAAAAUCCAUGAGAAGCAAUUGGGCAUAUUGUAUGUGUCAAUUGCCAUUUAGCGAAUAAACUCAUAGAAAUUGAGCUUCCACAAGUGGUACUUCUUAAUACUGUAUUUGAAGCGGUUGCUAGAAUUCUUUUGUUAAAACCAACUGAUAUGAAUUUAAUCCAAUUAAUUUAUGCCUAAUGAUUGAAUUUUUUUCCAAAGAUAAAAGAGCUACUUAAUGUGGAUUUUUUUAAUUAUUUUUAUUCUUUUAACAUUAUCUUUUAAAUAUUUUAUCUUUAAAGUUUUCAAAAUUAUUAUUUAGACUUCUCUCUCCAAUUCUUUAGAUUAAAAUGGAAGGAUUGAAUUGAACAUUUCAAAAACUUUGUAGCCCAAAUUGGGAGAAAAAUAAAAUAAAAGGACCACUUCUACUUUCUUACAUUGAAACGAAGCUUAAAAGAACUCACACAUCAAUCAUCCAUGUACAGUAAAAGCGGCGCAAAAAGAGUUCAAGAAAAUCACAGCAAACUCUGUUUUAUUGUAACCCAACUUUUCCCAGGCCAUUUGUGGUUUUCAUUUGAAACUCAGCUCAGCUAUUGCUUCUUCCGUUUUGCUUAAUUUCAACUUAUGGGUAAGCUUAUUCCUUCUAUUUUCCACUCUUCCUUUCCUCGAUAUUUUAACACCUUUGCUACCCACAUUCAAGCUUUAAGUGAGAAUUCCAUGUCUGUAAGGGGAAACCCAAAAAAUUCUGAUCGCUUCCGUAAUGUUGAGGAUGCUUUGGCUUCCUUUAAAAAGAUGAUUGACAAGUACCCACUGCCUUCAAUUCUGGAAUUCACCAAAAUAUUAUCAUCCAUUGUUAGAAUGAAACAUUAUGCUACUGUUGUUUCUUUGUGUAGGCAGAUGGAAGUAUUAGGAGUUCCCCAUAAUGUUUAUUCUUUCAACAUCUUGAUUAAUUGUUUUUGUCAAUUAGGUCAUACUGAUUUCGGGUUUUCUGUUUUUGGGAAAAUGCUCAAGUUAGGUGUUGAGCCUGAUGUUGUAACCUUUACCACUUUGAUUAAUGGACUUUGUAAGCAACGUAAGAUUUCUCAGGCUGCAAGUUUGUUUCAUGAAAUGAUUGGAACAGGGUAUCAACCUAAUUUAAUUGCUUACAGUACAAUACUUAACGGGUUGUGUAAGACUGGGAACACCAAAAGAGCUGUUAGGUUUUUAUCGAUGAUGGAAGAAAGAGGUUUCAAACCUGAUAUUGUAGCAUAUAGCACCGUCAUUGACUGUCUUUGUAAGAAGGGCUUGCUAAAUGAGGCUUUGGAUCUCUUCUCCGAAAUGAUGGUUAAGGGCAUUAGACCAAAUAUUGUUACUUAUAGUUGCUUAAUUCAUGCUAUGUGUAAUUCCGGUCAGCAGAAGCAGGCAACAAGGCUUUUGAAUGAAAUGGUGGAUAACAAUAUCUCACCUAAUAUUUUUAUAUAUAAUAUAUUGAUUGAUGCACACUUCAAGGAGGGAAUGAUUUUUGAAGUUCUAGAUAUUGUUAACACAAUGGGAAAUCAAGGCAUCGAGCCUGAUGUUGUCACAUAUAGUAUAUUGGUAGAUGCAUAUUGCAAGAAGGGAAUGAUUUCUAAAGCUGAAGAUAUUGUUGACAGUAUGAAAAAGCUAGGCAUUGAGCCUGAUGUUGUCACAUAUAACAUAUUGGUUAAUGCGCAUUGCAAGGAGGGAAUGGUUCCUAAGCUGAAGAUAUUGUUGACACGAUGAGAAAGCAAGGUAUUGAGCCUGUCGUUGACACUCAUAGUAUAUUGGUUGAUGCACAUUGAAAGAAGGGGAUGGUUUUGAAGCACCAGAUAUUGUUGACACAAUGAGAAAGCAAGGCAUUGAGCCUAAAGUUGUCACAUACAACACUCUUAUGCAAGGUAUGUGUCAACUAGGGAGAGUUUCAACUACAUUUGAGCUUCGAAGAAAGAUGCUUGCUUCCAGAAAAUUUCCAAAUCUAGUGACCUAUUUGAUUCUGCUGGUUGGUUUAUGCAAAAGUGGUAAACUUGAAGAGGCAUUGAAAAUUUUUCGAGCAAUGCAAAACAGUGGGUUGGAACUUAAUAUUACCUCCUAUACUAUUGUAAUUGAUGGCCUGUGCAAAGCUGAGCAUAUCGAAGAUGCAAAGGAAUUAUUUCGUGAACUCUCUGUCAAUGUUUUAAAACCUAAUGUUUGCACAGUGAUUAUUGGAUUCUGUAAAGAGUGACUGUCAGAUGAAGCAUAGUAGUUGUUUAGGAGGAUGGGAGGAAAUGAUUGAUUACCUGUUAUUAUGUAAUGAUUCAGGGGUUUCUUCGAAACAAUUAUACUUCAAAAGCAACACAAUUUCUUAAGUUGGUAAGGGUUUCUCUGCAGAUUUACGCACUGCCAUCUUAUUUCUGAAUCUAAUCUUAUGAUGUGAGAAACUAAUCUUAAUCUGAAAUGUUUCAAAGAUAGUGUCACUUGCGAUUAUGAAUCAGUUUGUUCAUACAGUUUCAAACAUGGUGUAUAACAUAAUAAAACACGCUAACACAAAAUGAAUUUCAUACCAUAUUUGUACCUGCCAGAGAGUUCUUAAGUGAGAAUCACUUUUUUGAACAAUGAGAACACAAGUUCUUUUGGUAAUGCCACCAUUUGCAGUUCCAUUUCAAGCUCUUAUCUUCUUUUUGUUUUUAUUCCCCAUUUUGCUAAAUUCUUCAUUAAUGCUUAUUUUCAAUUGUUAAUGGUUGAAUGAAUCUUUGUAAUUUCCACUCUUUGUUUGCCAUUAUUGUUUCCACUCUUCUUUGUUAAUUUGUUAUUUUUAAUUAAUGUGGGUAAUCUGUAACUCUUAUUCUUCAUUUGGUCACCAAGUAAUAAUACACAAUAAUUAGUACAAAUUUAAAUUUAUGUGAAAAGCAAAAUCAGUAAAAGUUUUUACUUUCUCUUUACCAAAAAGAAGUGAUGGAAGUGAUUAAAGAUUAGUUUAUUGCUAACUUGUAGGAUUAAGCUGGAAUAAAGAUUACCAAUUGAAAUUUGGUGCUGUUUAACUAGGAUGCAGCUAAUAGGGGCAAGUGAGUCUGCAAAAAUGCCUUAUGUUUUAACCUCAGCAUUUACAAAAUUGAUGAGCAUGCAUAAUUUUAUGAGGAGUACCUGUGUGAGAGAGAGCAUAGGUGCUUUCAACACAAGUACAUGCACUUUCUCUUGCAUUUGGACCUUUGAAGUAUUAAUUAUUACCACUGUUUAUUUCUCCUAAUGUGAUGGUGUAGUUUCACCAAUGUUGCCAUUUAAUAGAAAAUCAAACAUUUACUCUGAUUAUUUGGUAUCUUUUUGAGAUGAUGGACUGUGACCAUCUCUGUUUUCCCAUUAUAAUUUUGAAUCUAUAUUCUGUAGUCAUGCUCCUUCCUGACAAGAUAGGAGAAAUAUGGUAAAUGAUAUUGUGCCUUUUUCUAUUUCAGUUUCACUUCUCUAACUUCUUAUCAUCAUUGGUAUCUGUGUGACUUGGAAAUUCAUUUUUGAAUAUGAGUAAAUCAAUGGUAAACCUGAAUAUACUUAGCCACACCAAUCAGUUAAUUAGCUUACCAUUCUGCCGCCAUUUCUGGUUUUUGGAUAAAAAUUCAACCGAAUUCUUUCAUUUGGUUUUUGACUUUUGAAAUCAAAAUUGUAUUGAAUAAAAUUUGAAAUAUCGUGAAAUCGAUAAUUGUGAUUUGAUUCGGUUUAAUUAAGUUGUUUUUGGUAAAUUUGAGAUUCGUUUAUCAAAAAAAUAAUAUCACCUUGUUUUGGACUUCAAAAAAUAUAAUAUUAAAUUUUUUUUUAUUUCUUUUCACAACAAUCAUAAUACAUAUGCUACAUUCAUUUAUGCAUUUAUAAAAUAAAUUAAAUAAUUAAAUUAAUAUCAUAAUCAUUCAUAGGACCGUUUAAAAAAAAUCUUUUUAAAUUAUUAAAUUGAUACCAUUGAAACUUGUUAAAAGGAAAGUUAACGUUCUAAGGUGUCGUUUCUUUUAAUUAGUUAUAACCGAGACACUGUAAUAUGACAUAUACUUAUUUAAAUUUAUAACUAUCAAAUAUAUAUAUAAUUGAAAACAUUUGAAUAAUUAUUUCUUUUAUAAAUAAAAUAUUAUAAAAUUUCAUAAAUUGUUUUUAAAUUAGAAUUAUGCAUAUAAUUAUUUUAAGGAAUGAUUUUUUUUUCAUUAAGUAAGGAUUCACCAAGACUAAUAUAAAACAACUAUCUCAAAAAUAUUUUAUUGUAUGGUUAUAUUUAGUUUUUCUUAAUGAAAAAAAAAAUUAGGUUAAACAAAUUAAUCUAUCUAGAUAUGGGUCAAUCUAUAUAGUUUUAUUUUAUAAAUAUGAUAUUGUUUUCAUUCAAUUUAAUUUGAAUAAAAUGAAUUUUAUGCGAGAAAAUCAAAUCCAAAUUGAAUUAUGUGAUAAGAGAUAAUCCACCAAUACAAAACUAUAACGGAUUUAAAUUGAAUGCAUUAAUUCGAAUAAUUUUUCGAUUUCCUUAAUUUCUUCUUUACGUCUGUUCUUAAUAUUUCUAAUUUCCACUCUUCUUUUACUCAUUAUUUUAACACCUUUGCUAGCCGCAUUGAAGAAAAAUUAAACAAUAAAUAUCAACAAUUGUUGUAAAUAAAAACAUGCGAAGAAAGUUGCAACUUCCAAAUUAAUUUAAAGCUAUCAAAAAAUUAUAAUCAAUGAAAACCAUAGCCUUUUUUUUUUAAAAAAAUAAUCUAAUUAAAUUCUCUAAAAUAACUUUUUUUUUAAUUUUUCUCAAAUUUAUUCGUGAAAUGUUUAAUUAACUUCUAUUUACCUACACUAGAAAUUGUGAAGUUGAAAUUUGUUGAAUAAUUUAGAGUGUCAUUUAGAUGGGUUAAACUGUAUAUUUAUAUGAUAUGGUUACUGUUCAUGGAUAUGAUAUUGUGGUAGAUUCCCAUGCACAUCGACACGUACCUUACUCCAGGGUUAACACGUGCUUUCUAAAUGUGGGUUCGCCUACAUGGUAGUGCGAACCCACACUAUACGGUCUUAUAGAAGAGUGCGAACACUUUGCAUGCGAACCCAAAGUGAGAACUGCGUAGCGUAUGGGUCAAGACCCAAUCGGGUAAUCAAGUAGCGAGUCGGUAAUAGUGAGUAACAUGUCCUCCGCCUGGAUCGAAGAAGAGUUAUAAAGUGACUUUUCUUAGAACUUGAUUUCACAAGAUGAGAGGUCACAUAAGGAGAAGCUUAUUAAAUACAUUUUGUGCUUUAACUUCUCACGUACAGUUCACCACGUGUUAAGGAGUGAUAUAGUUGUACAUAGCUGAUUGUGCCCAUAUUUUUGGAUACAGGAAUCAUUACAGUGUAAAGCCCUUUAAAAGGAGGUUACCUGAGCCCUAAAAACUAAACUAUUUGAAUUCAAAAUUUUGAAGAAUGAGUCAUUUUCAAGAGAACGACUUCAGAGGUAAUUUUCUUAAAAUCCCCAUUGUUCUUGUGAUUUUUUUGAAGGGUUUAUUAGAACACAAUGGUUAGGACGAGAGGAAACAGUCGUGUUAUUCAGGGCAUAUUUUCACAACACAGUGAAGUGAGUACUCCAGUAGAGGCAACGGCUUAUGUUUGCAUCACCAAAAAGGAAGAAAUGAAUCGUGUUUUGGCUGCUUGGGGAAUUCAAUUACCUAAUUUCGCUUAUGACUUCUCAAUCGCCGAAGGAUUGAACUGAUUAAGGGACACCACCAGUGGAAAUUUCUAACUUCCACUGCACGUGAUAAAAACAAGUUUCCAUGUACCACUCCACCCUUUCUUGUACCAUCUUAUCGAUGAAUACAGGAUAGCUCUAGGACAAUUAUUUGGCUUUUCGUGGUGGAUCACAAUGGCAUAUUUCAUUAAAUACAGUUGACGAGAGGAAGUGUCAUUGAUUGUUGUUUUCCAGAAUUUGUACCAACUAAAAGCUUGCAAUUGAGGAAGUUCAAUGGGUUUGUGUUAUUUCUCUCAUCGUGAAAAUUUACAAUCAAUCACCUCGAACUGGUUAUCAUACCUUCACCUAAACCGUUGCAAGUACAUACGAGUUAAGUACAAGCAUAAAGUUGGUUUUGAUUUUCCAACUGAAUGGUUGUAACACUUGGGUUUGUGCAAGUAUACACAGUCAUUAUCAAGUACUAAAUAAGUAUAAAGUUAUCAUUUUUACAAGGAUUGUAUAUGUUAAUUAAUAUUUUGCAAAAUUAAAGUUUUACAAAUUAGUGAGAAAACACAAUUAAUUUGAGUGUUAGAUAAAAAUAAGUAAUUAAAUGAAAAAUUACCCUAAAUGUAAUUAAUCCUAAGUGUGAUGAAUACUUAAAAUGUAUGAGGUGGAUUUAGCAGCAAAUUCGCAAGCUUUAACAACAAUAACAUGAAUAGGUUAUAAUAAUUACAACAUUUGACUUGGUUCAUUUUCAUCAUGCUCACAAUGUUCCACAAAAUAUUCCAUGGCAACUCAAUCUCUCAUUAACUUUGAAACCAAUAUUAAGUCAUUUUAGAAUCUUUUACUUAGAAAAGCAUGCAUACUACCAUGAUUAUAUUUAAUUAAAGGUUUCUUAGAUUUUAUGUGAAGUAACAGGGACAGAUUAGGCUUGAAACAAUUUAAUCAGACAAAUCUAAAAGUUAUGCAAGGUAAUAGAGCUCUCUUGAGUUAUUAAGAACUUUUAAUUUAGUCGAGCUAGGAUCUAAAUUAAGCAUGCACCUUUCAAUUAUUGUGUCCAUUAAUCGUCAUCUGGCUAGGAUUGAUUAACUAAUUCUAAUGCAUUCGAUCACAUUUUAAUGAAUGAAAUACAUGCAUGAUUUUAAUUGAAAGCAUGAUCGAUUGAAGCACAGAACAUCAUGGACAUAAAUCAAAUGAACUUCAUCAAAUUAAUGUAAUCAUUCUAGCUAAACAAAAUUAAACUAUCAUUGUUAAUAAAAAAGCAACAAAGAAAAUUCCAAACAUGUUGAAAAACAAUAAAGAUUAAGGAAGAAAAAACUUUGAAAUAAUUUCAGUAAUCCUCUGAAAAUUGAUCGCGGUGGCUUCUUCCGAUCCUCGUAAUUGCUCUUUCGCAAGAUAUUCCUCAAGGUGGCCAACUAAGAGAGAAUUUUCUCAAGGAAUUGCUAGUUAAAUGGAAGGGAAAAUGGAUGGUUGAUACGUGAGAAGGAAAGGAAAGAUUAUAGAAUGUGAAGUGAGGGAUUGAAGGAUUAUUGAAUGAUGAGGGAUUAUUGAAUGGGAAGUAAAUGGUGGUAUUUAUAGUAGAGGGAUGGCUAAGGAAUUUACUAAAAAUAGUUUUGAAUAUCCCUCAGGUUUCUCCUUUACUUGGCCGACCAUGAAUUGUGGAGAGGAGAGGUUGUUGGUUGCUUAAUUCAUACUUGAUUUCAUGCAUGAAUCAUGCAAGAAGGUGGACGAAUUCCUGGGUAAAAGUUGAGAGCUAAUUUUUAAUUGUUUUACAAGUGUAAGGACCUCUGAAUAAAUCUUCCAAAAGCUAAUUUUGGGCUACUCAUAUGCCCUUGUUGAAUUUGGGUUUCUUUCCCCCUUACUUCGACGGUUUUUUGUGACCCAAUUACUUUUCAAACUUAUUCUUCAAUUAAAUCAACUUUAGCUGGGUCAAAGUGACCUUCUCUUGACCCAAUUUACUUUCCUUUACCGUCCAACUAAGGUAAAAUGGAGCUCAUAUCCAUGUAUAAUUAAAAUAAGCUUAUCAAAUUAUUAACUCUAUGGUCCCACUGCAACAAUUAAAUAAAGAAAAUUACUAUGUAACAUAAAAUAAUUAAAUUAUGCAAAAAUUUAAUACAUAAAAGCAUAAAAUUGCAUACUUUACUAAAUUAUGCCCAUUAUCUCAAUGUAAACAAAAUUCACCCAUUUAACUAUCAAAUAUUCGGGAUUAACAUAAUUUUUAAGUAAAAAGGUGCUAUAAACAACUAUAAAAAAUCCAUAUAAUUUAGAGUUUACAAUGGUCGAUACCUAAUAAGAGUAUGUACUUGAAAAAAAUGAGAGAUUAUGUCUGAAGUAGGGUGGGGUUAGUAUUUCAAACUUUGCAAGGGUCACGUACUAGAUUUGGAGAAAGUACUAACUAUUAGGAAUGUGUUUCACUAUUACCUCUUAAAUCUGAGUUCUAAUGGAUGGCGGUAUAUUGAUAAUGGUAAUGGUACAGAUACCGUGCGGGUAUUGCCUGCGCAAUUCAUGUGGCCACAUGGAGCCACUGAUGAUUUGAGGCUUAUACUCUUAGGGAAGAAAGAGGAACAUAAUAAAUGGUUUUAUAGCUUUCAUAAAUUAAAGUCUCUUCUAUAGUUCUCUAAACCUGCAGGAGAUCCAGAGUGUAACAGCCCGAUUUUGGGCCUAGUCGGAAUAGUAGUUUUGAGACCACAAAUUCGAGGUCGAGAAAUUAUUUUAAUGUUAUUUUAUGUGUUAUAUCAUGAUUAUAUGGAUGUUUGAUACUUUUUAUGAAUUAAUUUCAGCGAUUGCAUGCUUAAUUUUGAAAAAGGACUAAUUCGCAUAAAGUAUAAAAGUUUUGUUCUAUUAGCUAAAGGUGUUAAUUAGCUAUGGACCAUUAAAAUAGGGGUCCUUAUUAAGGAAAUAAAAAAUAUUAAUGUGAUGGCUGGAUAUGGAGACAAAAAUCAUGAAAAGUCAAUGGUUAGUUGGCAUUAGGUGACAAAAUUUGACUAAUGAAUAAAAAAUAAUAAAAGCCUAGUUAUCACCUUUUUUUUCCAUCUUUUUCUCUCCACCAAUUUUCCCUAAGAAAAAUGGCCAUGGGAGCUUGAAAUUUUCAGAAACUUUAGACUCUUGCAAGUAAGUGAUUUUGAUGGUCAUUUUUGUUGAUUUUUAUAUUUUUGGAACCCUUAUAACUUAAUCUAGCUAAUGAGGGGACUAUUUUGCAAAAUGGUUGAAAGUAUAGGGUUUUUACAUGAGAAUAUUCAUGUUUUUUGCUGCAUUUUUAUGGAAGAAAAUGAAUAUUGGUUGUUAAAUAAACAACUUUUGUUAAAUGAUUUUCAUCAAAACACUUAAAAUGGGCCAUUUUGUACGUGUUAUAAAAUAUGUGGUAAAUGUGUGAAAUAAUGGAAAAUGUGGGCUACUCUGCAUGAAAAGAUUCGGCUAUGCAUGGGUAGUAAAGAAAUUGAAUACAUUUCAUUUUACGAGCCUAGGGGCAAAUGUGUAAAUAUGACAAAGUAUAGGGGUAAAAAUGUAAUUUUACCAAAAAUGUGAAAUUGGGCUAAUUUGAGUAGCAUGAUGAGAAAAUAAAUUAAAUGUGUUGUUAUAGAUUAAGGAAGAUGCAAUUCGAAAUUAGAUCGGGGAAAAGCAAGAUAAUCGAGUAAUUGACUUAUUUCGUCAUUUCAUACCGAGGUAAGUUCGUAUGUUAAUAAGCUUUAAAUUUGAUAUGUUUAAAUGCUUAAUCGAUAUCAUGUAUUAUUUAGUAUGUUAUUAUUGGAUCAUGAAUAAUAUAAAAAUAUGAGAUUGUAUUGAAAGAUUAAAUUAAGAGAAAUGCAGGGCUGAGUAUGAUCGAAUUACGAUAUGUUAUGAAUUGACAAUAAAGAUCAUGGUUGGACCAUGGCAAUAUGUGUAACCGUGUAAGACCAUAUUUGGGAUAUGACAUCGGCAUUGUUAUGUGGCCAGUGUAAGACCAUGUUUGGGACAUGGCAUUGACAUUGUUACGUGAGCCAAUGUAAGACCAUGUCUGGAACAUGGCAUCGGCAUUGUUACGUGAGCCAGUGUAAUACCAUGUCUGGGACAUGGCAUCGGCAUCGUUAUGUGAGCCAGUGAAAGACCAUGUCUAGGACAUGGCAUCGGCAUGAGGCAUCGUGUAAGACCAUAGCUGGGCUAUUGGCAUCGAUAUGAGAUUUUCAUGUAAGACCAUGUCUGGGACAUGACAUUGGUACGAUACAUCAUGUACAAGUUUUUCCCGAGUAUCAUUAGUAUCCCAAGAGGUUAAACGGGUAAAUCCAAAGAUUAUGUCAAAGAAAUGACAAGGUAUGAUCAUGUUGAAAGGGUACAGGUAUGUACGCAAAAUUCAUGAGUAAUGAAUUCGAUGUAUAUGAGACAUUUGGUAAAAAUGUAAAUGAGUAAGUCCUACCUAUGAAAAUGAUCUUGUGAUGACCUUGUGAUUAUAGGUCUAUACUUAUGAUAUAUAAAUAGGUGGUAAAUUUGAUUGAUGAUCAUGUGUGAGGCUUUUAGGCCAAAUUAAAUUGAGACAUGAUAAGUUUAAGUUUUGUUGUUAAUGUAUAGGUUAAUUGGCCAAUGAAUGGCGUGUAAAUAUUUGGCACUGACUAGCUAUUGGAAUGACUAGUUAAGGAUAUGUUUUGGUGUUAUGUAUGAUUAAAUGGAUGUUAAUACAAAGAAAUCAUGAAAAAGUAAAGUUAGCAGUAAAACUGUUCUGGACAGGAGCAAUUGUAUAAUUUUGAAAAAUCCCCAAAAAUUGUAGAAAUUUAAUUAUAGGUUGAAUAAUAUAUGAAAUUAAAUUUUAUUGAGUCUAGUUUCACAUAGAAGAAACAAUGUAAGAAAAAGAAUUUCAUAUUAUGAGAUGUUUGAAUUUUUGUGGGACAGGGUCAGGAUGAAUCUAGAAUCCCCUAUUCUGACUUUAGAAAAUCAUUAAAAUAGUAUAAAAAUAAUUACAAGUUAUAAUUUAUAUUUUUAAAUUCUUAAUAAAUCUAUUUUCAAGAAAAUCAAACAAUAACAUCAUACGAGUCCCGUACGAGGAGAUAAUUAAUUUUUAGUGAGGAAGAGUUGAAACUGUCAGACAAUAGAACAGGGAAAAAUUUAAAGAAUAAACUAUACUUAUUGACUAAGCCAAAAAUUUUAAAAAUUUUAUGGUAAGGAGAUAUGUGAGUCUAGUUUCACGAAAAAUUAACAAAACUUAAUUUGGAGUUCCGUAGCUUAAGAUAUAAAUAAUUUAGUGACUAUAACUUGCGUAGACAACUUGAUAUGAACAUAAGUGAAUAGUGGAACUUUGUGCAAUUAUGAUUGCAUUAACUUGAGAACAUAUUAUGAGAAUUCUUAAAAGCAUGUUAAUAAAUUUUUUUAUUAUUUACAUACCUACUUACUAAGCUCUAUGCUUACUAUCUCUUCAUUUCCUUUUUCCUAUAGUGUCACAGAUGCUAGCUCGAGUUGGAGGUCGUCGGAGAUCCUAUCACACUAACAAGCUAUUGAUGGGUAUCAAUAAUUUUCUAGCAUUUUAAGUGUAGGCAUGUAUAAAGAUUUGGUUAUUAUGUACAUGAUAUUAUGAGUUGGCCUAGAAUAUUGGCUUAUGCUAAUUGAAGGUUAUUGUUGUAUAAGGCCAUUUAGUGUGGCCAAUAUUUGCCAUGUUAUAAGUUUAUGAUGAAGCAUUACAUGGAUGUGCAUGCUUGUUUGGGUUGGAUGAGUGAAUGUGUGAUAAUUAUGUGUGGCAAAUACUAAAUGUGAAUGGUUGAGUAAGUUACAUGUUAUAAUUAGUUAAGUGUGUGUGUGGUUGUGCAUGAUGAAUGUGAUUUAUAAAUAGUGUGUGAAUGCCAUGGUGUGGUUAUUCGGAUGUUUAAAAAAAUGCCAUGUUGUGUGUUGAUAAACUUAGUAUGGGUGUGCAAGUGUUUUUGGAUGGAAAAAGGCUUGGUAAAUAGUCUAAUUAUCACGGCCUAGCACACGGGCGUGUGACAUGGCCGUGUGACCCUAAAUGGGCGAUGACGUCAUAAACAACGAGUUACAAGGGUGGAGGACACAGACGUGUAUUGAGCCACAUCGGCGUGUGACUUUCCAAAAUAUGAAAAUUUUCUUAGUGUCUUAAAAGUUUCAAAAGUUCUCGGUUUAGUCCCUAACCACCUCCAAUGUAUAUUUUUGGCCUUGUAGGCCCAUAUAAGGGACUUUGAGAUAGAAAUUGAAAAUUUUUAAAUUUGAACGAAAUUUUAUGACUUGGAAAUGCUUGUAUGCAUGCGUUUGAGUCUGGUAACGCAUCGUACCCUAUUUCAACGACAGACGUGGGUAAAAGGGUGAUACAUUUAGUGGUAUCAGAGCUACAGUUUAGUUGGUUCUUGGACUAAUGUAGCGUAUGUGAUAUCUCCUGACUCUAACGAAAUUAUUUUGUUAAGACAGAGAUGACUUCCAACCGAGCUGUUUUCAAUAAUGCUGAAAAAUGAAAUUGAGGUGAUUGAAAUGUGUUUAUGAUGAAAUGAAACUUAGAAAGGUAUGAAUAGAAGUUCAUGAUAUGUAUGUGUUAAUGUACGAAGUGAGAUAACCAUGAGUUGAGAAAUGUGAAAACGUAGAAUAAAAUGAAAGUUUAUAUGGUGAUAAGCCUAUCUGCUUUUGCUUAGCAUGCAUAUAAUGUUAUGUGCUCAACAUAUUUGAUUUUUACUCAAAUAGACGGAAUGCGUGUUUAUGUUCACUUGCUUGAAUAAGUGUAAUCAGUAUGUUCAUAUUGUAGAAUCUUAUGUUUAAUUGUUAAAUUAGAGAUAAUAUGAUGUUUUGUUUUAUGUCUUUGUUAUUGAACCAUGAAUAUUAUAAUAGUAUGAAAAUUGAAUUGGAAGAUCAAAUUGAGUAAAACGUAGGAAAUAAGUACGAUCUUUCAAUGAGAAAUUGAUGGUUAAGACCAUGGUUAGUCCAUGGCAAAGUAUGGAAUGUAAGACCAUAGCUGGGCUAUGCAUCAUAAUGACAUGUAAAACCAUAACUGGGCUAUGGCAAUUGUGAUUUUGUGUAAGGCCAUAGUUGGACUAUGGCAUCAAGUAAGCGACGUAAUUAAACCCGUAAGGCGUUCUCUAAUUUGACAAAUGUCGAUAAGUAAAAUGGAAGCUAAGUGUUGGAAUUUAAUUAGAUAUUAAUAUUGAGCUCGAGUAAGUAAAUUCAUUGUUUGAAAUUGUGGAUGACAGAAAAUAUUUGUAUAAUAAAUAAGUGUGUUAAUUUAUUUGGAAUGAACUAUGUGAUUAUGAUGGUAUUACAUUAGUGAUGAAUGCUAAGACAUAUGUAUGUAUUUAUGAGAGUCAAGUUAGAGGCUUUACGACCUCACCCCCUUACCAGUGUUGCUUUAUGACGAAAUUUUACGAGAAUCAUGUUGAAUAAGUUCAUAAGUGUGAACUAAAGAGUUCAAUGGUGAAAUAAUUAGUUAUACAAACAGAGCUGAGUAUAGUGUGAUAAACGAACUCAGUUUUAAAAGAAAUAUCAGAUUGUUUUAAAGAUUAUACGGAUUAUGCAAUGUCAUGGUUAAAGAAGAAAGUAGUAUUGGCUAAUUGACUUAAUUAGGUAUUGAGUCUAAAGAUGUGUUUACUGAAAGUUCUUCUGAAUUGAUUUUCGUUAGUGAGUGGAAGAAUACAGGGUUUUAUGAUAAUAGGAUUAGUCGGAGAAAUGAUGUUUGAAUUGUAAAGAUGUCUGUGUGUAACAAUUAUGGUUGAAUAGAUUACAAUGAUCUUUUCUGAGUAUUCUGAGUAUAUAUUCAGUAUUCGAGUAUAUAUUCAUUCAUCCUCAGGGAUUCACUUUAAUGUCCGUUUUCUGAUGAAAUUCUUAUCGAGUGAGAAUGUUAGCUAACUUUAAUGUUAGAUAAAAGUAUUGAUGGUCUGUUUGAAUUAUGUUGCCUCAUCUCUUUGGGAUUCUAUCCUAAGAUGUGGAAAUAAAGUCGGUGGUAAAAUUUAUGUGAGACUAUUCAUCUAUUUUACUAGAUGUUGUUCUAUCUAUAUAAAUAAUUGGAAUGUGUCUUAAUACAAUGUUGUUCUGUCUAUAUAAAUAAUUGGAAUGUGUCUUAAUACAAGAAUGUAAAGAGGUAGUUUGUACUUUUAGAUGGUUAAAGUUACAUAAAAAAGAACUGUUCAACUGGUGAUUGUUGACCACUUUUAUGUCCGUGUUGUGAAUUUGAUGAUAUAGUGUGUUCAACGGAUAAUGUCAUAUGCUUUCCAAAUCCUGAUGGGUUAAAGUAUCUAAUGUUGCAAAAAAAAAUGAAUUUAAGACAGUGUUAAUGACUUGAGUUAUUACAAAAGUAUGUGUAACUAUCGAUUUACCUUUCGAAAAGCAGAUAUAGUACAGAUGUCUGGAGGGAAAAUCCUCAUUUAAUUGGUGUGAGUUGAUUACUCGAUUGAUCUUAUGUGAUGAUGGUUUAAUUCUAGCCAUACUAUAUGCCAAAGCGAGGUUUUUUUUGCGAAACAGAAGCUCGGAAAUGCGAUAGUGAAUGGUAAUCUAAAUGAGUUCAGAGUGAGUUUACUUCUGAUGUUAAAUUUCAGAUCGGACAUGAUUCCUGUUAUUAUUUUUAUUUUGAGAUAGAAUUUGCAUAUUGAUGAAUCCAGAACUUAUGUAGAAGUCUUUGGUACAAGGCUCAGUAGUAGCACGUCUAUUCACCCAAGAAUAAUAAAAUGAGCAGUUAUAUGAGUAGAUGUUCUGGUGAUUGAGUAUGUAUCACGAUAUUUUCGUGUUUAUAUUUAGAUGUCUAUUUGUUAUCAAGUAAGCCGAAAUCAAGUGUAUGCAGGACUAAUACAAUCAGUGAUGGUACGAAAGUGAUGAUGAGAUAGAGUUACCAUAAGGUUCAUAUCGGGAUUGUUAUAAUUUCCGAAAAGGAAGAUGUUAUUUGGAUUGUGGCUGAUUGUUUGGAAAAUAUCCGUAUGAUCAUUUCAGUAUGGGCAGAGUUCUUAUUUGACAGAUUACUAAGUAUAUGUAUUCCGGAGAGAGUAAUUCAGAUUUUGACAAUGUGCUCCAACGCUGGGUGCUAAAGUUUAAAGGUUAUUGGAAAGAGAUGUACGAGUUUAAAUCGAUUUAUGAUUCUAGAAAGUUAGUGAAAGUGUUUCAUGAGAGUUGAAGGUAACUUCUUCUGGUAAGAUUUUCAAGAACGAAAAUCCCUAAAGGGGGGAAGAGUUGUAACAGCCCGAUUUUGGGCCUAGUCAGAAUAGUGGUUUUGAGACAAAAAAUCUGAGGUUGAAAAAUUAUUUUAAUGUUAUUUUAUGUGUUUUAGCAUGAUUAUAUGGAUGUUUGAGAAUUUUGGUGAAUUAAUUUAAGCGAUUACAUGCUUAAUUUUGAGAAACGGACUAAAUCGCAUAAAGUAUAAAAGUUUUGUUCUAUUAGCUAAAGGUGUUAAUUAGCUACGGAACAUUAAAAUAGAGGUCCUUAUUAAGGAAAUAGAAAAAUAUUAAUGUGGUGGCUAGAUAGGAGACAAAAAUCAUGAAAAGUUAAUGGUUAAUUGGCAUUAGGUGACAAAAUUUGACUAAUGAAUAAAAAAAUAAUUAAAAGCCUAGUUAUCAUCUCUUUUUUCCAUCUUCUUCUCUCCACCGACUUUCUAUAAGAAAAAUGACCAUGGGAGCUUGAAAUUUUCAACAACUUUAGACCCUUGCAAGUAAGUGAUUUUGAUGGUCAUUUUUGUUGAUUUUUAUGUUUUUGGAACCCUUGUAACUUAUUCUAGCUAAUGAGGGGACUAUUAGAUCGGGGGAAAAGCAAGCUAAUCGAGUAAUUGACUUAUUUCGUCGUUUCAUACUGAAGUAAGUUCGUAUGUUAAUAAGCAUUAAAUUUGAUAUGUUUAAAUGCUUAAUCGAUAUCAUGUAUUAUUUCGUAUGUUAUUAUUGGAUCAUGAAUAAUAUAAAAAUACGAGAUCGUAUUGAAAGAUCAAAUUAAGAGAAAUGUAGGGUUGAGUAUGAUCGAAUUAUGACAUGUUAUGAAUUGACGGUAAAGACCAUGGUUGGACCAUGGAAAUAUGUGUAACUGUGUAAGACCAUAUCUGGGAUAUGGCAUCAGCUUUGCUAUGUGAGCCAGUGUAAGACCAUGUCUGGGACAUGGCAUCAGCAUUGUUAUGUGAGCCAGUGUAACACCCAUGUCUAGGACAUGGUAUCGGCAUUGUUACGUGAGCCAGUGUAAUACCAUGUCUGGGACAUGGCAUCGGCAUCGUUACGUGAGCCAGUGUAAGACCAUAUCUGGGACAUGGCAUCAGCAUCGUUAUGUGAGCCAGAGUAAGACCAUGUCUGGGACAUGGCAUCGGAUGAGGCAUCGUGUAAGACCAUAGCUGGGCUAUUGGCAUCGAUAUGAGAUUUUCAUGUAAGACCAUAUCUGGGACAUCGCAUUGGUACGAUACAUCAUGUACGAGUUUUCCUUAGUAUACAAAGAGGUUCAAUGGGUAAAUCCAAAGAUUAUGUCAAAGAAAUGACAAAGUAUGAUCAUGUUGAAAGGGUACAGGUAUGUACGCAAAAUUCAUGAGUAAUGAAUUCGAUGUAUAUGGGACAUUUGGUAAGAAUGUAAAUGAGUAAGUCCUACCUAUAAAAAUGGUCUUGUGAUGACCUUGUGAUUAUAGGUCUAUACUUAUGAUGUAUAAAUAGGUGGUAAAUUUGAUUGAUGAUCAUGUGUGAGGCUUUUAGGCCAAAUUAAAUUGAGACAUGAUAAGUUUAAGUUUUAUUGUUGAUGUAUAGGUUAAAUUGGACAAUGAAUGGCAUGUAAAUAUUUGAUAAUGACUAGCUAUUAGAAUGGCUAGUUAAGGAUAUGUUUUGGUGUUAUGCAUGAUUAAAUGGAUGUUAAUACAAAGAAAUCAUGAAAGAGUAAAGUUAGCAGUAAAACUGUUCUGGACAGGAGCAAUUGUAUAACUUUGAAAAAUCACCAAAAAUUUUGGAAAUAGAAUUAUAGGUUGAAUAAGAUAUGAAAUUAAAUCUUAUUGAGUGUAGUUUCACAUAGAGAAACAAUGUAAGCAAAAGAAUUUCAUAUUAUGAGAUGUUUGAAUUUUUGUAGGACAGGGUCAAGAUGAAUUUGGAAUCCCCUAUUCUAACUUUGAAAAUCAUUAAAAAUAGUAUAAAAAUAAUUAAGAGUUAUAAUUUAUAUUUUUAAAAUUUUUAAUGAAUCUAUUUUCAAUAGAAUCAAACAAUAACAUCAUCUAAGUCUUGUACAAGGAGAUAAUUAAUUUUCAGUGAAGAAGGGUCAAAACUAUUAGACAGCAGAAAAGAGACAAAUUUAAAGAAUAAGUUGUAUUUAUUGGCUAAAACAAAAAUUUUAGAAAUUUUAUGGUAAGGAGAUAUGUGAGUGUCGUUUCAGGGAAAAUUAAUGGAACUUAAUUUGAAGUUCCGUAGCUCAAGAUAUAAAUAAUUUAGUGACUAUAACUCGCGUAGACAACUUGAUAUGAACAUAAGUGAAUAGUGGAACUUUGUGCAAUUAUGAUUGCAUUAUCUUGAGAACAUAUUAUGAGGAUUGUUAAAAGCAUGUUUAUAAAUUUUUUAUUAUUUAAAUACCUAUUUACUAAGCUAUAUGCUUACUCUCCCUUCUUUUCCUUUUUCCUAUAGUGUCACAGAUGCUAGCUCGAGUUAGAGGUUGUCGGAGAUCCUAUCACACUAAGAAGCUAUUGAUGGGUAUCAAUGAUUUUCUAGCAUUUUAAGUGUAUGGCAUGUAUAGAGAUUUGGUUAUUGUGUACAUGAUAUUAUGAGUUGGCCUAGAAUAUUGGCCUAUGCUAAUUGAGGGUCAUUGUUGUAUAAGGCCAUUUAGUGUGGCCAAUAUUUGCUUGUUUGGUUUGGAUGAGUGAAUGUAUGAUAAUUAUGUAUGGAAAAUACUAAAUGUGAAUGGCUGAGUAAGUUACAUGUUAUAAUUAGUUAAGUGUGUGUGUAGUUGUGCAUGAUAAAUGUGAUUUAUAAAUAGUGUGUGAAUGCCAUGGUGUGGUUAUUGGGAUGCUUAAAAAAUGCCAUGUUGUGUGUUGAUAAACAUAGUAUGGGUGUGCAAGUGUUUUUGGUUGGAAAAAGUCUUGGUAAAUAGCCUAAGUAUCAUCCACACGGAUGGCCACACGGCCUAGCACAUGGGCAUGUGACAUGGCCGUAUAGCCCUAAAUGGGUGAUGACGUCAUAAACAGAGAGUUACACGGGUGGAGGACACGGGUGUGUCCUGAGCCACACGGGCGUGUGUGACGUCACGGCCUGCCCACACGGACAUGUGACUCUCCAAAAUAUGAAAAUUUUCUUAGUGUCUCAAAAGUUUCAAAAGUUUUCAGUUUAGUCCCUAACCACCGCUAAUGUAUGUUUUGGGCCUCGUAGGCCCAUAUAAGGGACUUUAAGAUAGAAAUUGAAAAGUUUUAAAUUUGAACGAAAUUUUAUGGCCUGGAAAUGUUUGUAUGCAUGCGUUUGAGUUCAGUAACACCUCGUACCCUAUUUUGGCAACGGAUAUGGGUAAAAGGGUGUUACAUAGAGAGUGAUGUGAACCCCAUUAUGGUAACUGGUACUAACAAUUAACUUCUUGGUGAUGCAGACACAGUUCCCUUGUUAAAGAGAAUUCAAAGGAAUCUACAAGUCUGUCUAAGGAGAUCGAUGAAUAUAUGGAUGUUCGAUCAUUCAUGCAAAAUGUGCGAGGUGGUCCCUCUAGUACUUUCACUGGAGAAGGAAAUGCAAGUAGUAAGGAGAAGCGAAAAACAGUCGCAGGGGUUGCUAAUAUCAUUUUGAGUAGCGAAGACGAAGCUAGCCCUGUAAAGGAGCUUCGUCAAAAGAAAGGAAAAGAUCAUGUUGCAACAUCUGGUGAUGUGGUCCCUAUUGCUAUAGUCGCUUUUGAGAUUCCUUCUCCCCCUAACUCUCCUGUUGCUUUUCAACCACCACCAAGACCACUAACUGAAGAUGCAUUCAAGGCAAUUGUUGAUUUUGGCCUUCUUGGUGGUUCCAUGAAGUUUACUAUUUUUGAUGGUGAGACAGAAACAUUAUUCCCGUGGCAUGAGCAUCUUAGCAUGCAAAAGUUUCCCUACAGUCCUAUUAAGGUGAGCAAGUAACGAAAAAUUUCUAUGCCUGAAGAAGCGAAAGAGCAUAUUUGUCCAUCUGCAUUAUUUAGCUGUAAGGAAACCUUCCUUAUAGGAGCUAAUAAUAUCUCUCUAAGUAGUCUUAGCUGAAGUUAGCAUGGUCAAUGUAGGGCUGUUAAAGGUAUUAGCGAAGCAGAAGCGAAGAAGAAAGAGACCGAAAAUGUUUAUUAGUCUACCAUAGGGGUACUAGAAAGGGCUCAUGAAGUACAUAAGGGCUUAGAUGAAGAAAAUAAGAAAUUAGUGGAGUCGAAUAUGAGACUAUAAGAGUAUCUCACCCUUGCUGAAAAAGAUAUUGAAAAUUAUAUGGAGAGGUUGCAGGUGAGCGAGCUGAUAAGGAUGUCUUGGAAGUGACCAUGAAAAGUAUGGACGAGUAAUACAAAGUUGCUUUCAAGAUUACUUUCUAGAUUUAAAGUCUAACUUCUUGUUGCACGCUCAAGUAGUUGGUAGUCCCUUCUAUGCUUACAAGGUAAACUUUGAUGCUUUUAGUCACCUCACCAGGGCCUAGUUGGAUUUUGAUGUUCAUUUCCCUUCUAGAGCAGCUUGGGAAGAGUUUGUAGAGGAAUGGAAGAAUUCUACUAGGCUUUACUUCGCUGAAAAUCCUACUAAGAUAAAUGUAGGUGAAGGGGAUAGAAAUGAAGGAGAAGAUGAAUGAGAGGAUGAAGAGCUCGCCAACCCCUAGGAUACCAACGCUAAUUCAUAAUUUCAUUAUUUUCAUUGUACUUGUUUCUUUUUAUUUGAAAUGAAAAAUCUAUGUUUAUUUUGUAUUGAAACGGUGUGGUGUUUGAUUGUGAAUUUAUUUGAGCAAACAACAUAAUCAAGUUGUCACCAAAAAUUAGUUAACAAAUAUAAUUUAAAUAAUGAUUGGAAAAUCAGGUAACACAAAUGAGAUUGUUCAUGAUAUUGAAUAGAAUGAACUUAGGUUGUGAUAUUAAAUUAAUGAACUUUAAUGAUAUCAGCUGCGAUAUUAAAUUAGUGAGCUGUUUGGUGUAGCGAUAUUAAAUCAGCUAACUCAAAUAAGAUUGUUCAUGAUAUUAAAUCGAAUGAACUUAGGUUGCAAAUUUAAUUCAGCAAACCUUGCCGAUAUCAACUACGAUCUUAAAUCAACGAGCUGUUUGAAGUAGUGAUCUUAAAUCAUCUAACUCAAAUAAGAUUGUUCAUGAUAUAUAAAGUAAAAUAUAUUUGGAAAUAGUGUAUCUUUAUUGAAAAAGAGAGAUAAAUCAUUCAUACAUGAUAUUUUUUGAGAUGAUGUUCAUUCUAUGUACAAGGUAGAAUAGGGUCAUCCACUUUUUCUAUCCUGUAAGCUUCAUAUUCUACAACUUUGUAAGGUCCCUCCUAAUUUGGGGUCAUUUUUCCUUGUUGCGAUGUUGGAAAACUUGCUUUAGUAUUUCUUAAAACAAGAUCACCCAUUUGAAACUAUUUGUUCUUCACUCUGGAAUUAUAAUAUCGAGCAACUUUUUAGGCUUGUGCAACAUUUCUAAUCUCUGUUGUCUCCUUAACUUCAUCGAUGAGAUCUAAGUUGAGUUGAAUGGCCUCCUGAUUGGCACUUUCAUCAAAAUGAGUUGUUCUAUGAGAUCGUGGGCUAUCUCAGUAGGGAUUACUGGCUCUAUCUUAUAUAUGAGUGAGAAUGAUGUCUCUCUAGUUGCUUAUGAGGUGAGGUUUGCAUGGCCCAUAUAAUUCCUGAUAACUCUUCUAACCUCGCACCUUUGGCCUCACCAAAUUUUUUCUUUGGAGAUGCUAGAAUCUUCUUAUCCAUUGCCUCUACUUGACAAUUUGCUUGGGGAGUUUUACAGAGCUUUGAGCGAGAGCAAUUUGCAUGUCAUUAAAGUUCUUAAAUUUUCCUUGAAAUUGGGUUUCAUUGUCUAUUAUAAUCAGGAGUGGGAUGCCAAACCUACAAACAAUGGAUUUUCAAAAAAAAAAAAGAAGACUCCAUUUGUCUCUCCGUGAUUAUAGUCAAAACUUCAGCUUCUAUCCACUUCGUGAAAUAGUCCGCAACUACAACUAUGAAUUUCUUUUGAGCUGUGGCUAUUGGAAAUAGACCUAAAAUAUCUAUUCCCGAGUUGCAAAUGGCCAAGGGUUAAGCAUUAUUUGUAGAGGUUCAGUUAGUGAUCGUUAUACUUUAGCAUGUUUUUUACAGGAAUCACAAGUGCGAACCAUAUGGUGUGCAUCCUUCUGUACUGUUGGCCAGUAGUAUCCUUAACUGAGGACCUUUUUUGCUAACAAUAUCCCACCUAGAUGAUUGCCGCAUAUUCCCUCAUGUAUUUAUCUCAUAACAUACUCAGCUUUCAAGGGAGCCAGACUUCACAAAAGAGGUUAGGGGCAGCCUUUUUUAUAAAGCACACCUUCUAACAAGAUAUAUCUAAAGGUGAUAAAUUAAAUGGUUUUAAUUGAAUGAGAAUUGAAUAACUUGUAGAUACAAGGAUAUAUUAAAUGUAAAUCAUAACAUCAUACAUUAUGUUGAAUUUUGGCGAACUUCUUUUUUCUUAGGUGGUGAGUUUCCCCUUGUAGUGUUUGUACAAUGGGUGUCAUCCACGUUUCUUCGUAGUUCAGACUGAGCACUUGAUGAGUGUCAUUGCUUGGGUAAAUUUAUGAUUGAAUAGGAUUUUUCCUCUCUAUUCAAUAGUAACAAAGGAUGCAAAAUUUGAUAAAACAUCAGCUUUUGUAUUCUCCGUCCUGGAUUGUUGUGUAACUUGUGCCUUAUCAAACUAAACGAGUAGUUGGGCUGCUAUGGCAUAGUACUUUUUUAAGCUUGGUUCUUUUACUUCAUACUCUCCAUUCAUCUGUUUUGCUACGAGCUGAGAAUCAAUAUGUAUGGUCAAUUCCCUCAACCCUAGUUGUAGAGCCAAUUGUAAUCUUGAAACAAGUGCCUCGUACUCGACAACAUUGUUAGAUUCCUGGAAGCCGGAGGAUAGACCAAAUCGCUACUCAUUUUCAUUAGGAUCUAUCUUGACCUUAUCUUCACUAUCGAGCCAUCAACAUAACUUGUCCAACACUUUGGCUUUACAACUAAACUCAUUUGCCCCUAUGAUGAGCUAACUAUUACAUAUUGUGUAAUCAACAGAAAAAGUUUUUAGAACCAAAUGAAUACUUGUAAUAAAAUAUUGUAAAACAAAAUAAGUAUCCGUCAAGUAAAAUUCCAAUAAUUUGUGUGACAUGCUACUGUAUCAUUUAUGUAAGUAAUAGUGUUUGAAAUUAAAAGUUACUUACAGUGUCUGAUGAUUUGUCGAAAGAGCAUUCCACCAUGAAAUCAACUAAGAUCUGAGCCUUGAUUGUUGUUCUUGGGACAUAUUCUAUUCCAAAUUUUGCCAAUUCAAUUCCCAUUUGGUCAUUCUACCUGAAGUAUCCACACUAGAUAAAAUAUCAUUGAUGGGUUGAUUCGUCAUGAUAGUCAUGGGAUGAGCCUGAAAGGAAGGUUACAACUUGUGAGUUGCCACUAUUAAAGCGAAAAUGAGUUUUUUUUUCUUUAAAUAUAUUUGUUCACCGAUCUGUAACACAUUGCCAACAUAAUAUACUGGAAAUUGGAAAUCUCCCUUUUUUUUGAUCAAAACUGCUACUAUCGUUUCUUCCGAGGUCACCAGAUAAAGAUAAAGGGUCUCCCCCACUCUAGGUGACAUCAGAAGUGGUGGAGAUGUGAGAUAUAACUUCAGCUUCUCAAAACCAUUUUUAUACUCUUCUGUCAAACUAAAAGAAGUUCUUAAGAUUUUAAAGAAGGGUAAUCACUUAUUUGCCAUCCUUGAGACAAACCUAUUGAGUGCAAACUGUGUAGAGUAUGGGUCUGGACCCAAACGGGUCGAUAAUAAUGAGUAUCAUAAUAAAAUUAUAUAUUCUUUAUAAAAAUGAAAAUAGUAAAUAGGUAAACAACAUGACAUGAAUAAAAGAGUUCAAAAGGAAUUGCUUAUACUUAAUAUAGAAUUGUAACUGUAAGAAUUUAGUAAACAUUAAAUAUAAAUAAUCUUUAUAAAUAUAAAAAAACCAUGUGAAAAUAAAUGUUAGUUUAAAGCCAUCAUAAACUGAAAUGAAUGCAAAUUAUACUCUAAAUUUUAAAUUAAUUAAAUUAAAUUCUUCAUAUAUAUUUUUAUUUUCCUCAAAUUUAUUGAGGAUGAAAUAAUUUGGGCUUAUGUUUGGUAACCCCAAAUUUUGUUUGGGUAUAGAAAAUGUUGGGUCAAUUUUUGGAUUGGCUCAGAGUAGAGUAUCUUAGCCCAUUGUAAUAAAUAACGAUGGUAAUAGCUUUAAAAGCAAAAUAAAACUGAAAAUUAGAAAGGGAAAGUACAAAGCAAAGCAAAGCAAUCGAAUUGGAGCAAACCUGUAAUACUGCUACUUGAAAAAUGGAAGAGUUUGAAUAAAAUACAAGACUCGAAAAAUGAGUUUGGGUAAAAUUUAAGGUCCAUUUUCUAUAUGAGCCGGGCCUUGGGCAAAAUUUUUUUACUCAAACCUGGUUCAAUCCGAAUAUUAUGUUAUAAAAUAAUAAUAUAUUAAUUAUAUAUGUUAAAUAAUAAUCAUAUAUAUUUAUACUUAUAUUAAAUCACUAGCCCAAUAACAAUUAAACAUAUUACCCAAAACCUAAAAAAAACUUACCCAACUAAAUAACUCAAUCCAAAAUAUAAAAUUUUAAAAUUUAUAUUUAAUACAAUAAAAUAUAUAUUAUAUAUAUUUGUGUUUUUUAAUAUAGUAAAACAUUUAUUAUAUUUAUGGUAGUGUUUUAUUAAUAUAAAUACUUUUUAAUGUGUUAUAAUAUUGUUUCUGAAUUCAUUUUCACAGCUCAAAUAAGAUAUAAUCAUGGCAUAAAAGAGUGAAACUCUGUUUCAUAUUCAGAUAUGGAUUAAGAGUAUGAUCCUUAGUGUAAUUGUACUCAGGAUGGGCCAACAUACAAGAGCUAAGCUAUCAAGGUGAGCAGGAAGAAGUUAUGUUUUCUGAUAUGAAAUGAGAGAUGAGCUCAAGUUUUCCAUUCCAUAGUUUGAUUAGCAGUUAGGAAUGUUGAAGGUGAGUGCUUCACAAAGAAAAAGUACCAUCAAUUUCAGGUUAGAAAUCCCUAGUAAAUGACCAACAAGGGGAUGCUUGCUUAAUCAUUUCUAAUGUUGGAUUUAAACCUAGGUUUGAAAUUUCUUUAUCUGUAAAUUAUUGCAAGUCGAGCAUAUGUAUAUAUUGAUUGUUUUUCUCUCAAUACAUCCAAGAUUGGCUUAUAUAACUAGACUUUGUUAAGAGGAUUAUUGAAUCAAUACUAAAGUAAUUCCCCUCUUUUUUCCUUCCAUUGUUUAAACAAAUCAUUUGGAAAAAGCACCUCUUUGAUAGAUAUAUAUUAGGAAAGAAAUCAAUGAAUAUAUUUAUAUAUGAAAAUAUCUGUUAAAUAUGUAAAUAAUAUAUUUAGGAGAGAAGUUUAGGGUUUUAUUCUAGAAGUUAGGGAUUUUCAUAGAUUUAUUAGGUGAUUUAUUUCCCAUGCUUAUCAUGUAUAUAUAUGGCUCUUUUUGGCCUGUUAAUACAGAAGAAGGAAGUCAUUUUCUCUCAAAAGUUUUUACAUGGCAUCAAAAGCCAGAGAAAAACAAAAUAGUCAUCAAUAGUGAGGGAAAUAAACCUGCUUCCACCUAUGUGUUGACUUCGAGCGAUAAUCCUGAUAAUAUAAUUACUCGGGUGCAAUUGAAAGGAGACAACUAUGAUGAAUGGGCUCGAGCAAUACGAAUUGUGUUGAGGGCCAAGAAGAAAUUUAGAUUUAUUGAUGGAACGAUUGAACUACCUGAUGAUGAUUCCUCUGAAUUGGAGGAUUAGUAGACUGUAAAUUCUAUGUUGAUUUCAUGGAUGCUCAACACAACUGAGCCAACCUUGCAAUCUACUAUAACUUAUAUGGAUAUUGCAAAGGAUUUAUAGGAGGAUAUCAAAGAACAAUUCUAUAUUGCUAAUGGACCUCGUGUUCAGCAAAUCAAGGUAUAACUUGCCAAUGGCAAACAAAAGGUUUUCCAAUUGUGACUUAUUAUGGAAAAUUAAAACAACUAUGGGAAAACCUUACGAAUUAUGAGAAGAUUCCCAUAUGCUGUUGUGGAAAAUGCAAUUGUAAUAUUGCAGCCGUACUCGACAAGAAAUGAGAAGAAAAGAGGCUUUAUCAAUUUUUGAUAGGAUUGGAAGAUGCGUUAUAUAGAGCUGUUCAUUCCAAUAUUUUGAGCACAUAUCCUUUGCUAAAAUUAAACAAGGCAUACUCGUUGGUGUGCCAAGAAGAAUGUGUUAAAAAAAUUUCAAGAAGGAAGGAGGAACAUGUAGAAGUUGUGAGUUUUGCAGUGCAAGCCAAGACAAGAGGCCUAAAGUAUAAAACAGAAACAAGAGACAAAUCAACUGUUUGCUCACAUUGCAAAAGAAAGGGACAUGAUUUUGAAACUUGUUUCCAACUCAUUAGAUAUCUAGAAUGGUGGGGUGACUGAUCCAAAGAGACUAGGCCUGGACAAAGGGGACAAAGUACAGGGCAAGGACGUAGUGAUGCGCUAAAGUGAAUACAACUCAUAUAAUUGGGCAACCAUCAUCAUCAGUGGCUGUAAUAGGAGAACGUACAGCUUCUAGGGUAUUGACAGCUGAACAAUGGACACUAUUUCUCAAUUUUUUGAACACGUGCAAAUUGGGUACUAGCGAAAAGUUGAAUGGUAAGAGUAAUCUGAGUUGGAUCAUUGAUUCAGGUUCUUCCUAACAUAUGGCAGGUACUUUAGAAUGUUUAACAAAUUUGAAAGAAAUUGAGGCAUGUCCAAUUAGUUUGCCUAAUGAUGAUGAGGUAAUGGCAUUGAAGGAGGGAUCAGUUUGUUUGGGAAAACAUAUCAAGCUGGACAAUGUUCUUUAUGUUCCAAAUUUGAAUUGCAAUUUGAUAUAUGUGUCACAGUUGGUUGAUGAAUCUAAUUAUGAUGUCCAAUUUACUAAUAAAAUUUGUGUUAUACAGGACCGCUCCUCGAGGAUGGUGAUUGGAACAGGUGAACAACGUAAGGGGCUUUACUGUUUGAGGUCGGCAACAUCAAUCCAAGCAUGUAAGGCUAGUCAUGUAGAUUCCUUUGAAUUAUGGCAUAGGAGGAUGGAGUAUUCGCCUGCAAAAAUAGUUGAAUCUCUUCCUCAGAUUAAACUCAGUAAUAGUUUGGUGAAGAAUAAACGAUGUGACAUUUGUUUGAGAGCUAAGCAAAUAAGGGGAGUUUUUGCUUCUAGUGACACUAAAGCAAAUGAAAAUUUUGAAUUAAUUCAUUGUAAUUUGUGAGGACCUUAUCAUGUUAAUGCUUCUUGUGGUGCCUCAUAUUUUUUUACCAUUGUUGAUGAUUUUUCUAGGGGUGUAAGGAUAUAUUUAUUGACUGAAAAAACAGAAGGGUCUUGUCAUGCGUAAUUUUUUUGCUAUAACUAAAAGAUAAUUUUAUAAAGAUAUGAAAGUAGUUAGAACUGAUAUUGGGAUUGAAUUUGUAUGCUUGAAAGGUUAUUUUCUGAAAAUAGAAUUUUAUAUGAAACUUCAUGUGUAGGAACAAUAGAAUGAUCGUGUUGAAAGGAAGCAUCAUUAUAUAUUAAAUGUGGCUAGAGCUUUAAGAUUUCAAGGCAAUCUUCUUAUCAAGUUUUGGAAAGAAUGUGUUUUGACGGUUGGAUAUUUGAUCAAUCAGACACUUUCUAAAUUGUUAGGAGGAAAGACUACUUAUGAAAUCUUGUUUGGUAAACCUUCUAGUUAUAAUCAUAUUUGAAAUUUUGGAUGUCUUUGUUAUGCUCGAAACUUGAAUAAGGAAAAAGACAAAUUUGCUUGUAGAAGUCAAUAUUGUGUGUUUGUAAGAUAUCCCAUUGGAAAAAAAAAAGGGUGAAGAGUUUAUGAUCUUGAUGCAAGAAAGUAUUUUGUAUUAAAAGAUGUUGUGUUCUCUAAAUAUGAAUUUCCAUUUGUUGAUGUUAGUAAGGAGGGUGCAUGACCAAAUCUAGUACAGAGUGCUCCUUUCGGUAUCACCAAUCAUGUUGAUGGUGACUUGAAUGAGGAUGAAGAAAGUGAAGUACUUAAGAAUUAAACGUGACUCAAUAUGAUAACGAUGAUAGGAGGUGUCAUUGAAUUCUCGGGUGAAUUUAUUCAAGAACAAGUUGGGCGUGGCCAUAGAACAAAUGAAGUUUCUACUCGACUGCAAUAUUUUGGAACAUAUGCUAUACAACAAAUAAGCCCAUUUGCAUGUUCAUCCAAACCAAUCAUGUCCUCAGGUAUCUCUUAUCCUAUAACACAUUAUGUAAAUUGUGACCAAUUUUCUCCAAAACAUCAUUCUUUUUUAGCAGCUAUGACAGCUGAAAGGAAGCCUACCUCGUAUGUUCAGGCCAUUAAAGAUAUUUGAUGGUAAAAAGCUAUGAUGAAAGAAAUUGAGGCUCUUGAGGCUAAUGGGACAUGGACUUUGGAAGAUUUACCAUCAGAAAAACAAGUUAUAAAGAGUAAAUGGGCUUACAAGUCAAAUAUAAAUAAGAUGGGUCAGUUGAACGUUAUAAAGCUUGAUUGGUGAUUCUUGGAAAUAAUCAGAUUGAAGGAAUUGAUUACAAUGAAACCUUUAAUCCUGUAGCAAAAAUGGUGACCAUUCGUACUUUUCUUUCAGUGGCAGAAACAAAGAAAUGAGAACUUCAUCAAAUGGAUGUUCAUAAUGUAACAGCUCGAAUUUGGGGCUAGUCAAAAUAGUGGUCUCGGGACCACAAAUCCAAAGUCGAAUAAUUUAUUCCAUUAUUAUUUUGAUGUUAUAGCAUGUUUUUAAUAGUGCAUGAAAAAAUUUGGUGUAGUAAUUUUGACGUUUGUGAGUCCAAUUGCGAAAAAAGACUAAAUCGCAUAAAGUGCAAAAGUCCUAAAUUGAUAGCUAAAGGUGUCAAAUAGCUAGGGAAUAAAUAUUUGGGGCCUUUAAAGGGCAAUUAGACCCUUAGAAAUAGGGUGGCCAGCCAUAGGGGACAAUGAAUUGAAAAUUUUCAAGGUUAGGUAAUUGAAUUUUGACUUUUUGACUAAAGUAGAAACAAAAUAAUCAAAGGAUGAUAUCAUCUCUUUCAUCUGUCCUUCUUCACUGAUUUUACCAGCAAAAAUAGGGCUUUGGAAGCUUGAAAUUUCAGCUACUUAGUUGACUCACAAGUAAAUGAUUUCCAUACCCUUUGUUGAUGAAUUUUUGCAUUUUUGAGACCCUUGAAGCUUAAGCUUUCAAAUGAGGGUACUAUUUUGCAAAAUGAUUAAGAGUUUAGGGUUUUGCCAUGAAAUGAUUUGUAAUGAUUUCUGAUUUUUUAUGGAAGAAAAUGAGUCUUGGGUGUCUUAUAAACAACUUCUGUGAAAGGUGUUAGCAUGAAAACACCUAAAAGGACUAAUUUGCAUAAGUUGUAAAAUAGAUGAUAAGGGUGUGAAAUAGUGGGAAUUUGGAGUUGCUAUAAGAGUAGAAAGGGUUCGGCUAGGCUUAAGGUGUGAAGAAAUUCGAUAAAAAUCGAUUUUCGGGCUUAGGGAUAAAGUGGUCAUUUUACAAAAGUUUAGGGGCAAAUUGGUCAUUUUGUCCAAUUAUGAAUUGUAGAAUGCCUAGAUUGAUAAAGUGACUAAAUAAGUGCAUUUUGUUAUUAUAGAUCAAGAAAUACUAAAUCCAAAUCUAGACUGGGAAAAAGCCAAGCAAAUCGACUAAAUCGACUAGUCGCCACAUUUUAUAAUCUAAGGUGAGUUGUAUGUAAAUAAUACAACUACAAUGUUAAUGUAUGUGUUGAAUUGUACUUGAAUUUAAUAUAGCAUAAAUUGCUUGUGUAACACCCCAAACCCGGCCUAGACGUUAUGACCGAAUCUGGCGUGUCACAUUAAAAUGCUUUUUCGAAAAAUUUUGUCUUAUUAAUAAAUCUCGCUUGAAAGAGAAAAGCCCCUUUGUUUAAUUCUAAAGACAACUUAAUUAUUUGUUAACCAUUUUAAACCAACCUUACUUUUAAAAACAUGUUUGUUGCCGGGAGCAUUUCAACAAUGUUGCGAAAACGUGAUGUUAGGAAAACAGAUAUCAUUUUGGAAAACCGCGCUCUACUUUUAACAUAAAUAAAUCAUAAUAGUUAAAAACCCCCAAAUUAAAAGCUAUAACAUUAGAAAAAAUGCCUUAUUACAUCAAAUACCUAAAGAGAAAGAAAUUUAAGUAAUGUAAAAGAAAAUACGAAAAUUUAAAACUGUUCGUAGUGUGGCCAGCUCCGAGUCCUCCCAUAUGUCGAACCGCCUACUGAGGAUUACCUGGAAAAUUUAAAAGAUGGGUGAGUUUAUGAAAACUCAGUGUGUACAACCGUCAUCGAUCAUAAAGCAUGCGUCACAUCAAUUUGGGCCUAAGCCCAUUACAAAAGCAGUGGCACUUAGGCCUUAGUCCAUAGUAGCCUCAGUUGGGCUUGAGCCAAUGUCACAAUCAGAAUCAGAUUAUGCAAUGCACAAAUACCCAACCAACCCUGCACUCUGUAUCCCGUCCAACCCUACACUCCUGUGGGGAUUUAAUCGACCCACCUAUCCCUACACUCCUAAUGUAACACCAGUUGCGGCAUUAACCAAUUUCGCAACAGAGCUGCCAAUCACAUAAUGGCUUUAAGCCGUCGAUGGAUCCACAGUCGUUAAGCAUCCAACCGACCCUAAAAAAUCAUACACUUCCUCCAAAUCAAUGAUCCUGUCCCCCAUACAGUAUAAUAUCACAUGAAUGCAAAUAUAUCAUAAAUGGCAUACAAUAACAAUCAUAUAUCAUGUAGGGGCAUUUUAGUCAUUUUUCCAUUCAAGGGCAUAACGGUCAUUUGGUAAAUUAGGAUUUAAGUACACUUACUGACCCAUCAGUAGGUUCACAGUUGUCUCGCGCGACCCGUGCAACCUUUAGGAAACAAACAGAGCAAUUGGGCCCAAAGCCCAUUUAAGUAGGCCCAUAGGCCCACACGACCCAUUGGCCCACCAAGCCUAAUUUCGAUCCAAGCUAUGUGAGUGACAUGGUCGGUCCAAUGUUUUCUCACCUAUUGGUGAGUUUUACACAUCAAUGGGCCUGUACGGCCCAAUGUGGCCCAUUACGGCCACAGCCCAUGAGUUCCCUCAUGGUGGCCUCUACUAUCGCAUCAGAUUUUUCACUCGUGCGUUCACACGCUCAUGUAGUAACCGUUGCCAUUCUUUCUGCUUCUCGGCAUUUUGAGAUUUACUGAUCUAGAGUUAAGGUGGUGUAUGUAGACACUUGGUUUACGAAACGUACUACGAAUCCCCUAGCAACGAACCUACAAUAUUCAGGACUAAUAGUUAGCCACUCGAUUCAUAUUGUUGUUCUUCUUUUCCUACAACAUGAAUUGAAACCACACUAAUACAUACCUUAAAUGGUAAAGCCUUGAUAAAAGGGAUUGUAAAAACAUGUGGUUCAAUCCACACUUGGCAAUUCAUAGGGUCAUUAAGAACAUUCGGCCUUCACUCAUAACAAGGCAAAAACACUUACUUGAACCAAAACUAGGAGUGGGAUGCCGAUUGCUUCACAUCACUUGCCCCACUAUCAACCCUCGAGCGAACACUUGAUCCUGGCAAAAAAGGAGAAGAACGCAGCCUUAUGAUAGGAGAAUAGAAGGGAGACGGAUUCGGCAAUACCUAAUAGAGAGAGAGAGUAGGGAGUAUUCAACUUUACACACCUUAAUAUUAAAGAAAAUAACGUUGCAGCAAGGGAAUCCAACUCACAAGAAGUUGGUUGAGAGAAAAAGGAUUUCGACUAUGAAAGACUAGUGGGAAAAUAGAAGAGAAAGGCCAUGAUUUAGAAAAAGAAGAGGGUUAGCAUUCAGCUCAAGCCAGAAGGAAAGAAUAGAGGUAAAAGGAAUAGAAAAGAAGGGAGAGGACUAGAAGAUGAGAAAUGGGGGAGAAAUCGGCUAAUAGAUGGCCUAAAUGGUAAUGCACUUUCAGCUAAAACAAAACAGCGGACAACUCGGAGUCAGAGAACCUUGAAAACGAAAGGCAAAGGUACCAAAAUGAGUGAACAAAACAAAAGAAAACACCCAUAAUUCUUCUAGCAAGAUUCGGCUAUACCAAAACAAUACCCCAAAUGCCGAAAAUGAACCAAAUCCCCCUUUGCCGAAUUCUUGUACAACCCAAAGUCCCUAUUCGGCUAGACUUCCUCCUAAUUCAAAUCCUCAUUGAUUCCCUCCAACAAUCAACUCUAUCCCUUAACUUCCUCCUCAUAUCCCUCAAAGACUCAUUCAACCUUUAUCCUAUAGAGUUUUGAUCAAACUCUACCACCUACACGUCCUUGAAGAAAAAUAAAACAUCUAGUGCUCCUUCCAAGACUCGAACCCCAAUCCUCACUCCCUUAUGAGGCGUCACUUAUCACCUAAACCACCAUGCUUCUUUUAUCAAAUUUUACCAUCCAAAAUUUAAGAAGCAUUCAGCCUAGAGUCAGGGUUCCUUUAAUGCUAAAAACCAAAAUUUUUCCUAUGCCAAGGCUUGAACCCAGGACUUCAUAGAGACCCCCCAUAACAUCCAAAAUCACUAACCCAACAGAACUAACAUGCAAUUGUACCAUUCUCUUGCUCUCAAGAAUUUUAGGCGCUCUCAAACCCAAGGCCCAAUUCUUCUAAGCCUAAAAUUUAGGGCGUUAGAGCUCUACCCCCUUAAAGAAAUUUCGUCCUCAAAAUUUCCAACUAUCCAAUAGUCUCACAACCCAAGUUACACCACUACGCUUCUGCUGCGCACUCUAAUUCUAAUUUCAAAAUAGAUAAAUAGUACACUAUAGAUAAAGUAUGUACCAAUAUUCGCAUCUAGAGCGUUUUCGUCCUCUUAGCGGCAUGCUGUAUAGACCAAAGCUGGUUGCCUCGCAUCAGUAUGACCAGCACCUCUUCCUGGUGCUUCACAACCCAAACCGUUUCCACCACUAGCCUGACCACGGCCUCUAGGUGGCUGCUGACCACCCUUUGAUGGCUGUACAUUACCUCUACCAAAGACUUGCAUCUGAUUCGGUCUUCUGAGACACUCUCUGAGAUGAUGUUCCAUGGAACCACAACUCAGAUAGGCUCCUGUUCUCUUCCAGCACUCUCCUACAUGACAUUUUCCAUAAAUAGCACAUAGUGGUAACUCUGUAGUAGCAACAGGGGGCCCCGCUCUAACCAGCCCAUCCACUUUGGCCCUUCUCUUAGGUCUUUGAUCGCUAUUGGAGGGCUCAGAAUCCUUUUUAUUUCUGCCCCUUUCUCUUUCUUGGUUUAGGCGCUCAGUGCGCUUUACAUCUUCAGCGAUUUUUACUUUCUCCACCAAUGCUGCAAAAUCCUGCUUCCUCUGAGGAGCAAUCAGUACCCGAAGGCUAUCUCUGAGGCUGUCUUCGAACCGAAUACAACAUUCAUAAUCUGUUGCCACUAUUCCUUUAGCAUACAGACUGAGCUGUAAGAACUCUGCCUCGUACUCCGCCACAGAUCGGUCUCCCUGAGUCAAGUUCAAGAAUUCCUUCCUCCAGGCAUCCACGUAGCUUGCGCCCAUAUAUUUUCCUUGAAACACCGAUUUGAAGAACUCCCAGGUUAUUCGGUCAGGCUGAGUGCCCUCUUUCAUGGUAAGCCACCACUAGUAAGCUUCUUCUCGCAGCAGCAACACUGCUCCUUUCAAAUUUUGCUCAAAAGUGCAAUCCAGGUCAUUUAUUAUUCUUUCGGUGGCCUCCAACCAAUAUUCAGCCACAUUUGGUGCUACUCUCGCGAUACCCUUGAAGAUCUCAACUCCAUUCGACCGGAGUCUCUCAAAAAUUGACCCUCGGCUCCCAAUACCAGUGUUGAGCCCAGUGACCCUUUCUUGAAUCCUUAACAUUGCUUAGGAAAAUGCAUCGUCCCCAGCUGCUUGAUCAUGCGACCCUGUCUCGGAUAUUGGUGAAGCCAGUGCUUCUCUCGCCUCAAUGUUGGGCAUGUGACCUAAUGCCGAAGAUCUAGCCCUAGCACUUCCACAGCCUCUACCACGGCCUCUUGCACCUCUUCUAGUGCUCAUUAUCACUUUGCGUAUAAUCUGGUUAAGAAAUUUUAUGCAAUUUAGCUCAUAGUCUCAGUAAUUAAGUAGAUGUUUUAUGACAGUAGUAGUUAAGAGUUGUUUUCGCAAUCGCAGGCUCGCUACAGUUUUAGUUUCCUAUAGUUUUUCAGUUUACUCUACCUAAAGAGUCUCAGUAUAGCGUAUCAUCUAAAGUAAAACCAGUAACUAUCUAUAGUAUAACAGUUUAAAAUAGAUUUCAGUAUCAGGAGAACUUACUUGGUUCGACGCCGAAGACUUAGUGAACCACACAAUAAAAAUCCUCUAAAAUACUUCGAAAUCGUUUGUAAAUAACUUCAAAAUCCAAAAACUAAGGCCCAUUUCCCAGCCGAGUUUUGCAACUUGGCUCCGAUACCACUAAAUGUAACACCUAAAUCUAGCCUAGACGUUAUGACCGAAUCUGGCGUGUCACAUUAAAAUGUUUUUUCGAAAAACUUUGUCUUAUUAAUAAAUCUCGCUUGAAAGAGAAAAGCCCAUUUGUUUAAUUGUAAAGUCAACUUAAUUAUUUGUUAACCAUUUUAAACCAGCCUUACUUUUAAAAACAUGUUUGUUGCAGAAGCAUUUCAACAAUAUUGCGAAAACGUGAUGUUAUGAAAACAGAUAUCAUUUUGGAAAACCACGCUCUACUUUUAACAUAAAUAAAUCAUAAUAGCUAAAAACUCCCAAAUUAAAAGCUAGAAAAUUAGAGAAAAGGCCAUAUUAUAUCAAAUACCCAAAGAGAAAGUAAUGUCAGUAAUGUAAAAGGAAAUACAAAAAUUUAAAACUGUUCGUCAUGUGGCCACCUUCGAGUCCUCCCAUACGUCGAACCGCCUACUGAGGAUUACCUGAAAAAUUUAAAAGAGGGGGUGAGUUUACGAAAACUCAGUGUGUACAACCCUUAUCGAUCAUAAAGAACGCAUCACAUCAAUUUAGGCCUAAGCCAAUUACAAUAAUGGUGGUACUUGGGGCUUAGUCCAUAGUAGCCUCAGUUAGGCCUUAGCCCAUGUCACAAUCAGAAUUAGAUUAUGCAAUGUACAAAUACCCAACCAACUGUGCACUCCAUAUCCCGUCAACCCUACACUCCUGUAGGGACUUAAUCGACCCACCCAUCCCUACACUCCUGAUGUAGCACCAGUUGUGGCACUAACCAAUUUCGCAACGGAGCUACCAAUCACAUAAUGGCUUUAAGCCGUCAGUGGAUCCACAGUCAUCAAGUGACCAAGCGACCCUAACAAAUCAUACACUUCCUCCAAAUCAAUAAUCCCGUCCCCCAUGUAGCAUAUAUCACAUAAAUGCCAACAUAUCAUAAAUGGCAUACAAUAACAAUCAUAUAUCAUGUAGGGGCAUUUUAGUCAUUUUUCCCUUUGGGGGCAUAACGGUCAUUUGGUAAAUCGGGAUCUAAGUACACUUACUGACCCAUCAGUAGGUUCACAGUCGUCUCACGUGACCUGUGCAACCUUUAGCAAACAAACAGAGCAAUUGGGCCUAAAGCCCAUUUUGUGAUGGGUUCUCCGGUAACCCUGAAGAAAAAGGAUGUUGUUUGGGUUGUUAUGGAUAGGCUAACUAAGUCAACAUAUUUUAUACCAGUGCGUACCGACUACCCCCUUGAGAGAUUGGCUGAAUUGUACGUUUUCGAGAUUGUGAGACUCUAAGGGGGUACCCUUGUCGAUUGUUUCAGAUAAGGACUCGAGAUUUACCUCAAGGUUCUGGAAAAAGUUACAAGAGGCAUUGGGAACAAAGUUGAGUUUUAGCAUGGCAUUUCACUCGUAAACCGAUGGCCAAUUUGGAAAGAGUGAUUCAGAUUUUAGAAGACAUGUUGCGGUGUUGUGUUCUCGAAUUUCAAGGUAGUUAGGAAAGGUACUUACCAUUUAUUGAAUUCGCCUACAACAAUAGUUAUCAGUCAAGUUUGAAGAUGGCGCCUUAUAAGGCUUUGUAUGGACAAAAGUGUCGAACGCCCUUAUAUUGGACUGAGCUCAGAGUAAGUUAGAUUCAAGGGGUUGAUUUAAUAAAAGAGACUGAAGAAAAAGUUAAAGUGAUUCACGAUUGUUUGAAGGCUGCUUCGGAUAGACAGAAAUCCUAUGCGGAUUUAAAAUGUAAAGAGAUUGAACUUCAAGUGGGUGAUCGAGUGUUUUUGAAAGUAUCCCCGUGGAGGAAAGUUCUCAGAUUUGGUAGAAGAGGCAAGUUGAGUCCUCAUUUCAUAAGACCUUAUGAGAUUACCGAGAGAGUAGGGUCGGUUGCCUAUCGAUUGGCUUUGCCACCAGAAUUGGAAAAAAUUCAUGACAUAUUUCACGUGUCCAUGCUACGCUGAUAUAGAUUAGACCCUUCGCAUGUGAUUACGUCAAAAGAGGUUGAGAUUCUUCCAGACAUGACUUAUGGCGAAGAGCCGGUCAAGAUAUUGGCUCGGGAAGUCAAACAGCUAAGAAAUAAGAGUAUUGCACUCAUAAAAGUUUUGUGGCAUAGACAUGGAGUCGAGGAAGCUACAUGGGAACUCGAGGAGACUAUGAGAGAUCAGUACCCGAACUUAUUCACCGGUAAGAUUUUUGGGGACGAAAAUCCUUAAGGGGAGAAUUGUAACAGCCCGAAUUUAGGGCUAGUCAGAAUAGUGCUCUCAAGACCACAAAUCCAAAGUUGAAUAAAUUAUUCCAUUAUUAUUUUGAUGUUAUAGCAUGUUUUUAAUAGUGUAUGAAAAAUUUGGUGUAGUAAUUUUGACGUUUGUGAGCCCAAUUGCGAUAAAGGACUAAAUCGCAUAAAGUGAAAAAGUCCUGAAUUGAUAGCUAAAGGUGUCAAAUAGCUAGGGAAUAAAUAUUGGGGGCCUUUAAAGGGCAAUUAGACCCUUAGAAAUAGGGUGGCUGGCCAUAGGGGACAAUGAAUUGAAAAUUUUCAAGGUUAGGUAAUUGAAUUUUGAAUUUUUGACUAAAGUAGAAAUAAAAUAAUCAAAGGACGAUAACAUCUCUUUCACCUCUCCUUCACAGGAUUUACCAGCAAAAAUAGGGCUUUAGAAGCUUGAAAUUUCAACUACUUGUUUGACUCACAAGUAAGUGAUUUUCAUACCCUUUGUCGAUGAUUUUUGUAUUUUUUCGACCCUUGAAGCUUAAGCAUUUAAAUGAGGGUACUAUUUUGCAAAAUGAUUAAGAGUUUAGGGUUUUUCCAUGAAAGGAUUUGUAAUGUUUGCUAAGUUUUUAUGGAAGAAAAUGAGUCUUGGGUGUCUUAUAAAUAACUUUUGUGAAAGGUGUUAGCAUGAAAACACCUAAAAGGACUAUUUUGCAUAAGUUGUAAAAUAAAUGAUAAGUGUGUGAAAUAGUGGGAAUUUGGAGUUGGUAUAAGAGUAGAAAGGGUUCGGCUAGGCUUAAGGUGUGAAGAAAUUCGAUAAAAAUUGAUUUUCGGGCUUAGGGGUAAAGUGGUCAUUUUGCAAAAGUCUAGGGGCAAAUUGGUCAUUUUUCCCAAUUAUGAAUGAUAGAAUGCCUAGAUUGAUAAAAUGACUAAAUAAGUGCAUUUUUUAUUAUAGAUCAAGAAAUACCGAAUCCAAAUCUAGAUCAGAGAAAAGCCAAGCAAAUCGACUAAAUCGACUAGUCGCCACAUUUUGUAAUCCGAGAUAAGCUGUAUGUAAAUAAUAAAACUAUAAUGUUAAUGUAUGUGUUGAAUCGUACUUGAAUUUAAUAUAGCAUGAAUUGCUUAAUUGUGGAAUUGAGAAAACAUGAUGGUAAUAGAGAUAGUAGAGCUCCCGUUUGAACCUAGGAAAUAAAUCGGAUAUUCAUGCCAUAACAUAUGGGUUAUUGUGAGCUAAUGUAAGACAUGUUUGGGACAUGCAUCGGCCACAUUAUGAGAGUCGAUGUAAGACCAUGUUUGGGACAUGUUAUCAGCAUUGAGACGAGUGCUAGUGUAAAACAUGUCUAGGACAUGCAUCGGCUACGAGAUGUGUCAUUGUAAUACCAUGUCUGGGACACGUUAUCGACACAGAUAUGCUAGAGCUUGUGUAAGACUAUGUCUGGGACAUGGCAUCGGCACCUUACCCCAUGUUUGAGGCUUAAUGAAUAUCUUGAUGGUGUUCCAAAUGGUUCAACGAUAAAAGUUAUGAUUUCUAGUUAACGAGGAAAGUAUAACUGUAUUGUGAGUGGUAUAGUUACCUGUUUGGUAUAUAUAGAAUAUGAGCCCAUUUUAUGAUAUAUGAUGUGUACUGGAUAUUGAUAAGUAAGUUUUUGCUUAUACCCAAUUGUAAAGUUAUGUUGUAUAUUCAUUUAUGUGCAACUUACUAAGCUUUAUCUUACUCCCUAUUCUUUUCCAUUUUCUUAUAGUGCCGCCUAUCUAGCUCAAUGAUCAACGGAAGUCAGAGAUAUCGAUCACACUAUCAAUUGAAGCAUUUGGUAUAGUUUGAUUUAUAUUUUUGAAUAUGGCAUGUAUAGGGAAUUAGGCUUGUGUUUUGGGUUACUAUUAAUUUGGCCAAAUGUGUUGGUUUGGGAUAAGUCCCUCAUUUUGUAUUAAGCCUUGAAUGAUGGCUGACAUUCAUUUUGAUUUAUAUACAAAGAUGUUAUUUUCAUAGAUGAGUAAAAUGCACACAUGGAAUGUUGUUUAUUGUGGCUGAUUUGGUUGCAUGAGAUAACCUUAUAUUGGUUUUGGUUGCUAAUGUGUAGGUUCUGUAAGUAAAGGUGGCAAAAAGGUUUGGUAAAUAGCCUUAUAUUAUCCACACGGAUAGACACACGGGCGUGUGUCUAGGCCGUGUGUGACAUACGAUCUACCCUAUGGGCGUGUGGUCCGGCUGUGUAUCCCUUGCACGUAAAAUUUUCAAGUCAGUAUACAUGGUAGUAAACACACUAGCAGAGACACGGCCGUAUGUCUCAGUCGUGUGACAUUUUGGGUACUGACGUUAGAAACAGAAUAUCUAGGUUUUUGCACACGGGCUAGGACACGGGCAUUUCAUGGCCGUGUGAAGGACAUAGGCCAGGGACACAGGCAUGUGUCAGGCCGUGUGAAAACCCCUGUAGGUGUGCAUUUAGAAUUAAUUCCACACGAGUGGAGGACACGGGUGUGUCCCUGUAUUGCCUAGAUCGUGUGAGCCACACGGGCCACCAACAUGACCAUGUUGAAAUGGCCACACGGGCGUGUUUCCCUUCUACACGGGCGUGUGCCCUAUUUCAAAGUUAAUUUUUUUAUAGAUAGUUUAAGGACUCGGAUUGAUCCUGAAUAGUUUUCAAUGUUCGAUUUGAGGCUCGUAGGCCCAUAAUAAGAAGUUUAAAGUAGAAACCGAAAAAGUUUUAAAUUGGACCAAGUUUUGGUAACUUGGGGAAUGUUUGCGUGCAUGAGAUCGAGUUUGGUAAUGCUUCGUAUUCUACUCCGGUGUGGGUUACGGGUAUGGGGUGUUACGCAUAAUGCAUUCUUGCAUGGAGAUUUAGAAGAAAAGGUGUACAUGAAUAUGCCUCUUGGUUUUUUCAUUCAACAAGCUGACAAAGUCCGUAGAUUAUGAAAAUCAUUUUAUGGUUUACAACAAGCCCCUCGGUCUUGGUUUGCAAAGUUGACAACUACAUUAAAACAGUAUGGGUUUCUUCAAUCUCAGUCUGACAAUUCAUUGUUUACUUUGAAUCGAGAUAAGAUACAAUUGAGUACACUGGUGUAUGUUGAUGAUCUUGUUAUUGUGGGAAAUAAUAGUAUUGGCAUCCAAAAGUUUAAAAAUUAUUUAUGCCAUUGUUUCCACAUGAAAGAUUUGGGGACAUUGAAAAUUUUUUUGACUGUAGAGGUGGCACGGAAUCACAAAAGGGUUUUUAUUUGCCAAUGCAAAUAUACUUUGGAUAUUAUUAGUGAAGCUAGGUUAUUGGGUGCUAAACCAUCUGGUUUUCCCAUCGAACAAAAUCAUUAUUUAGUCUUGGUAGAGAGUGGUGUUUUGGUAGAUUCGGAGAAGCAUCGGAGAUUUGUGGGAAGAUUGACUUAUUUGACUUUCACUCAAUUUGAGCUAUCCUAUAGUGUUCAUAUCUUGGCACAAUUUAUGCAUCAACCAAAGGAAGCUCAUUGGAAAGUAAAUUUGCGCAUGGUUUGUUAUUUGAAGGAAUGUCUUAAACAAGGAAUACUUCUACGAGCUGAUUGUAAUCUACGACUAUAUGGUUACUGUGACUCUGAUUGGGGAAGUUGUUCUUUAACAUAACGGUCUAUCACUAAGUAUUUUGUUAUGUUAGGCACCUUUCCUAUUUCCAUUAAAAAUUUCAAUUUGCUGAAAGUUAAUAGUUUUAGUAAUUUAAUUUUUUUAACAUGUUUAAUAACUUAUCAUACAUUGAGCCAAUUCAUACUUUAUUUCAUUUUUUUUCUUUCACAUUAUGCAUUAUCAUUUAAAUUGCAUCAAACCACAAUAAUUUAAAUUUAUUUUUUUAUUAAAUUUUAGUUUGAUUUUUAUCGAUAUUAAUACUAAUACAUGAAAAUAUAAGUUUGAGCGUACUGAAUACGUGAGUUGUAAAAAAAAUAUGAAUAAUUAUAGGCAUUAUAUAAAAAAUAUUUAUUUUAUAAUAUUUUUAUAUUUAACUCUGUAAUUUUUACCAAGUAUAUUUUAUAUUCAAAUUAAAAUUCAUGAUACAAAUAUAAGAUGAAAAUUUUCAAAUUUUUACAUUUACAUUUAUCAAACAAUAUAUCUAUAUUUAGCCUUUAAUUUUUAAUAAUAGAUAAAUUAAUUUUUAUAAAUUAAAUUCAAUACUUAUUAAAUCUAACAUUAAAAUCUUAGUACUUAAUUUUUUUUUAUCAAUAGUCGAUUUGAUUCAACUAUUUUCAAGAAAAUAUUAAGGUUUAACUUGAAUUAAAAAAAAUUUAAGUUUCAAUCUGAAGGCAAUUGUCAAGUUUAGAUAUUAAUAUAAAUAAAUAAAAAAGUUCAAAACCCAACAUGGCACAUUUCCUAAAUUCGAACUUAAAAUAAUUAACCCUACUUAGAUUAAAAAAAAAAAGCUUCUCCUUGAUUUUGAUCUUGAUCAAUAUAAAUUACAAUUUAAUAAUACAAAUUUUUUGUUUUAUUUAAAUUCAAUCAUGACUAUUUUUUUAGACAUUAUAUAUUUUCUUAAAUAAUAUGUUAAAAUUUAACAAAUUUUAAGUAUAAUUUUGAUUUUUUUAUAAAUUUUAAUAACUUAUAAAUCAUAUAUAUAUAUAUGAAAAUUUAGAAAAAAAAUUAAAUUAAAAUUAAACGAAAAUAUUGAAAGUUAAAUUUAUUGAUUUAAAAAAAUUAAAUAAAAUUAAUAAAAUGAAUUACCAUUGACUACUUAGUUUAGUAUUACACAAAUAAACAGGUGACCAGUCUGAAAUUUACCUAAAAAAUUCCAAAAGAAAACAAAUUUACCUAAAGAGGAUUUGGUUGAAUAGAAGCGAUCUGCACCUGGAAUAGCAAAUUUAGCAGAGCAAACAAAGAAGGAAAUGAAGCGAUUACCUCCAAACACCUUCAAACCAUGACUCACCAAUCUGCCAAUUAGGGAUAGCCUUUAAACGGAAUAUCGGUGACUGCCGCCGCCAUUUGGGGUUUCAUUUGAAGCUCACCUCUUUCUUUUCCUUUCGCUUAAUUUCAAGAUAUGGGUAAGCUUCAUUCUUCAUUGCUUCUUCGUCAUAUUGUUAAUGGUGGAAGGAACUUUUCUAAUUUUCACUCUUCAUUUUCUUGUUAUUUUAACACCAUUUCUCCCCAUAUCUCUGCAAGGGGAAACCAAAAAAAGUAUGAUUGCUUCUAUAACGUGGAUGAUGCUUUGACUUUGUUUAAUAAGAUGGUUGCGAAGCACCGAAAGCCUUCAGUUGUGGAAUUCAACAGAUUAUUAGGAGCCAUUGUUAGAAUGAAACAUUAUGCCAUUGUUGUUUCUAUGUAUAGCCAGAUGGAAUUAUUAGGAGUUUCCUAUGACAUUUAUUCUUUCAACAUCUUGAUUAAUUGCUUUUGUCAAUUAGGUUAUAUUGAUUUUGGGUCUUCUGUUUUGGGGAAAAUGAUGAAGGUAGGUGUUCAACCUGAUGUUGUAACUUUGUCCACUUUGAUUAAUGGACUUUGUAAGCGAAGUAAGAUAUCUGAGGCUUUGAGCUUGUUUGAUGAAAUGAUGGAAAAAGGGUAUCGACCUAAUUUAAUUGUUUACACUACAGUUCUUAAUGGUUUGUGCAAGACCGGGAAUACUGAUCGAGCUCUUAGGUUUCUAAGAAUGAUGGAAGGAAGAGGUUUCAAACCCAAUAUUGUAGCAUAUAGCACUGUCAUUGACUGUUUUUGUAAGAAGGGGUUACUAAGUGAGGCUCUUGAUCUUUUCUCCAAAAUGAAAGUUAAGGGAAUUAGACCAAAUAUUGUUAUUUACAAUUGUUUAAUUCAUGGUGUGUGUAACUUGGACCAGCAGAAGGAGGCAACAACGCUUUUGAAUGAAAUGGCGGGUAACAAUAUUUCUCUUGAUAUUGUCACGUAUAAUAUAUUGAUAGAUGCACAUUGCAAGAAGAGGAUGAUUUCUGAAGCUGUAGAUACUGUUGAUGCAAUGAGAAAGCAAGGCAUUGAACCUAAUGUUGUCACAUUCAGUAUAUUGGUUGAUGCACAUUGCAAAGAGGGAAUGGUUUCUAAAGCUGAAGAUAUUGUUGAUACAAUGAGAAAGAAAGGCAUUGAGCCUGAUGUUGUCACAUAUAAUGCAUUAAUAAAUGGUCAUUGCUUGCAAAACAAAAUGGAUGAAGCUAGAAGAGUAUUUCAGUUGAUGAGUAAGAAGGGUUGUGCACCCGCUAUAUGUAGUUACAACAUCAUGAUCAACAGAUAUUGCAAAGCUAAAAGGGUAGAUGAAGCAAUGGAACUCUUUCACGAAAUAUCACAGAAAGGACCAACCCCUGAUAUUGUCACAUACAGCAUUCUUAUGCAAGGAAUGUGUGAAUUAGGGAGACUUUCAUCUGCAUUGAAACUUUUUCGAGCAAUGCUGAAGAGUGGGUUGGAACUCGAUAUUGUCUCUUACACUAUCCUAAUUGAUGGCUUUUGCACAGCUGGGUGUAUUGAAGUUGCAAAGGAAUUAUUUCUUCAACUCUCAGUCAAUGGUUUAAAACCUGAUGUUUACACAUAUGGUAUAAUGAUUAAUGGAUUCUGUAAAAAGGGAUUGCCAGAUGAAGCAUACCAGUGGUUUAGGAGCAUGGGGAAUAAUGAUUGUUUGCCUGAUAGCUGCUGUUAUAAUGUAAUGAUACAGGGGUUUUUUCGAAAUAGCUAUACCUCAGAGGCAACACAACUUCUUGUGGAAAUGGUCAGUAUGGGCUUUUCUGCAGAUUUAUGCACUGCUACAUUAUUUGUGGAUCUCAUCUUACAGUCUAAUAAAUCAAUCUUGAUUUGAAAAAUGUCUAACAGGUAGUGUAAAGAUUGUCACUUGCGAAUGUGAAUUAUUUUGUUCAUACUGCUGUGAUAAGAGUUUCUAGAAACUGCAAUGAGUGAGUCUUAAGACUCUUUGCCAAUGCCAUUCCUUACUCUCUCUUUUUUACAUUGUAUAAUGUAUUGGGGUUUUCCUCUGAAACUAUUACAUAACUUUGACAAUUAUUUUUGAAUAAUGGAAAUUGAUUGGUGUGCUUUCUUUCCUUUUUCUUUACUUAUUUUUCUUCCUACCUAACUUUGACAAAGAAAAUACAAACACGUUCUUCAUGCUGACCUUUUCACUCAUAUUUUCACAAUUCAAAAUUAGUUCAGCAUUAGAAUAACACGAUGAAAAACGUGGUUGAUGAAUGUUUGAAGUUUUAUGUUUCGAGAUCUUAUUCAUGUUUAAUUCAUAAUUUCAUGUUAUUUCCAAAAUUAUCGUUUGAGUAAGAAAAAAGAGGGAUAUCCUACUAGCUUGUUUGAAGAGAAACAUAACAAAGAACAUGGAAUUUUAGACUUUGAAUUCAACUGUUUUGAUGUACAUUAAAAUGGAACUAUAUGUAUAACAAAAUCUGGUAAAAGAAUACAAGACACAUGGUAGCAAAAUUAAGCUUCACUAAAUUCUUGUUUGAUAUCCCAAUUUCAGUAUUGCUACCAAAAGAAUUGAAACAAUGUUCUUAUAUAUAAAUAUAUAUAACACCAAAAGAUUCAGAAAAAUAGAACACUAUAUAUGUGUGUGUGUGAUCAGUUGAGCAGCCAUUUUUCAUACUUGUGAACAUUGCUUCACUUGAGAAAGAACUUCCAAAUAUCUACAUCAGUCACCUCUUUAAUUAAAUGAGCUCCAAAAAUGCCUUCUUCAUCAACCAGACUUCUGAGAUGCCGGGCUGCAUUGUUGAAGCCGACAUAGUUUUUCUUCGUCGACAAGUAUACAACCCCGUAUGGAGGCCUAACGCACUGGUUUGUUCAUCAUGAUGACCAAAAAUAACAAUAAUAAGUUGUGAAUUACAGAGAAAAACAGAAUAGAAAAUCUAAUCUGCAUUUCAUAGUGCAUCCAGAUAAAAAGCAAAAUGAAAUCAAGAGGGGAAGUUAAUAGAAAAAGUAGCAUCAAGACUAAGGUGGUAUAUAUAUAUGUAAGUAGGCAGGUAUAUGUAACCAAUCAUUCAGGUUAUGUAUGAUGUAUGUAUGUAUGCAUAUGGAAAGCAAAGGAAAGAAACUAACCUUCUUAAUUAGUGCAUAUAACUUCUUCAAAGAGGAAACCGAGUAUGGAAUUUCAGUCAUCAAAAUAAUGUCAUAGCCACUUUCUCCCUGAUCUGUCUCACUAGCUCUUUCCCAUGCCCGGCUUCCUGAAAGCUUUCUUGACCUCCUUGAGGAAAUUUCUUGUGUUAUGCUGCUACCAUCUUGGCUACUGCACCCAUCCAUGAAAUCCUCCUCAGAGAAGCUCAACCUCAUCCCUGUAGUCACCUCGGACACGUCAUUCCGAACAACAGAUAAUACAGUGGGGAGUUCUUCCCAGUCCCCAGCAUAGAAGCGCACAGUUGGGGAAAGAGUUUGUCUGGAUGGAGUCAAAGGACCCUCAGGCUGUCGGCUUUGCCUUUCCCGAGCUUGCUCCAGGUUUGCAAGUACAUUUGGAAUGGUAGUGCAUCGAAUAGUUUCUGCACUGAGGUCUUGAAAGUGCACUGUACAAGCACCCUACACCAACAAUUGCAUAAAGUGGAGAAAUAAAUCUUUCAUAAAAGUAAAAUUCUUCUGACUAUUUUCUAGCAUAUGAUACAAGCCAAUUGCUAAAUAUGUGUGUAAAACACAUAUAAGAGGAACAAGCAAAUAUCUAUAAAUGGAGUAUACCUUCAGACAAGCAAAUAUCCCCGGAACACCAUAGCCACAACCCAACUGCAAGAAUUAUUGAAUAGAAUGAUUAGUGUACAUUCUACAAAGAACUAUAAAACAGACAAAUUAGUUCAUUAACUCUUAAGAUUUAUUCCAUGCAUGACAUGAGAAUUGUUGAGAAGGCACAAAAGCAAGGAAGCUUAUAUCAUAUCGACCUAUUCUAAAAUUGGUCACUCAAGUUUGGUAUCGUCAAUAAAAAAGGCGAAGAAUUGAUUCAAGUGUGAAUUUAGUUUGAUUAGUCAAGCUGAACAUAAGAGCCAAGAUUCAUUCUACCCUAUGAGUACAUUUACCAAUUGGUGAACCAUUUUAAUUUCCCCUAUUCAAUAAUAUUAUCAAAUGGACCCCAAACACUUUUUCAACAAAGAGAAGGAUAAUAUAUCAUGUUUAAUAGUUAAAAAUCAAUUAAAAGAGAUGAUAAAAAAUGCUACAUGAGGUGAUGGCUAAUGUUUUUAGAUUUUUCUACAAUGAAAUUACCUCAAGCACCCUUUUCCCUCUAAAGCUCAACUGCCCAUCACGGAUCUCGUGCUUAAGGACGUUAACAAGAUCGAAAGAACUGUUCCAAGAUUUCAGAAACCCUGCAAAAUAAAAUUAUUUCAUAGCUAUCAGUUGCAACUUAUUAUUUUGACAAGUCAACACUUGAACUAAGAUUGAUAAUUCACAAUAAAAAACAUAAAUUAUUAAAUAAAAAAUACCAACCAUUCCUUACCAUCAGGUUUUGAAGAUAACAUUUCAGUAGUGGUGAAACCAAUAAUGUCAGCAACACUAACUCUUCCCUGUAAAGGUUCGAAAAGGCAUCAUCAGCGUGCAUAUCACAACCUAGGUUCUUCAAAACGGCCUGCUGCUGAAGGGAUGACUAUACGUUGUAAACACAACAUAUAUAUAUAUAUAUCCCCAGCAUAUAUGUCCCCAAUAAAGCGAUGCAAAAGGAAGUCAACAUACCUUGAAUACAUCAAGCCCUUGCAAAUAUACAUUGUCCCCAGCAUAUUUACAAGGAUGGGCUGUCUGCACAAUAACAAAAUUUCUUAAUUGUGAACGCAAAUUCAACUGCUCGCAAUCACUUGCAUGAUAAACCAUCUCAUUAGUAUGGUGGUCAACCAACAACAGUUUACAUCUUGAAUAACAAAUUUAAAUUUCACAAUUAUUUCACUAGUCCUGAAUAGGGAGAUGAAAAACACCUUUGAUGGGAGAAUCUCCACAGCCAGUGAAGGGAGAUGGACAUCUCUAUCAGAUACAGGGGACAUGCUUUGGCUUCCUCGAUCAUAGAGUACCAAGCCUGGCAAACAUUGUGCAAGCAGUGACGGUGCACGCAUUGUGGUCUAACAAUAGGAAACCGUUAUUAAGAAAGAAAAACCUGAAAAUAUCAACAUUUUCCAUUAAUAUCCAGACCACUCCUAAAGAAAUAAUCACUUCCAGAAAUAAGAACAUUUUUGAAAAUAGAUCAGAAUCACAAUAUCAAACUCACAAGGGUAGAAAUACACGUAUGCUUAACCCUAAACAAAUUUCCAGAAGGCAAUUCACUUACAUGGGAACAUCAAAAUGUUAUAGCUAGACAAGAAAACAAAUUCAACCAAAAAUUGCACUAAAAAAAGCAGAAACUUUAAACACUGACUACAUAAACUUUGUUCUUUAAGUGAAAACAAAAUCUCAAUAUUUUGGUUCUUGUUAUGAAUAACAUGAAACAUUAAUAGUAGAGGCAAUUCUUCAGGUAGAAAACAAAGCCGACCAUAAGGAAAGUUCAUACAUAAUUCGGAAAAGGCUAAUAUUAUGAAUAAUUAAAGAGAACUAAGGUGAAUCCAAUUCUUAAUUUCCAUCAACAGAGUCAAACUCGAAGAUCAAACUAAACGAACAUAUUGAAAAUGGAACGUCGUAGCAUUCCCACAAAGUUCAACCUAAAAAGACCAAAACCAGAUUAACAAAACUUGCCAAAACACAUGAAAAUUUAAGAAAAUUAAAACAAACCCAGAAGCCAAAAAACCAAAAAUCAGAAAGACGCAAACUUACCCAGAAAUGAGAAAUAAUCAGCAAGCAGUCUUUAACUCAAAAUUCAAUUGCUUGAGAAAGAAAGGAAUUUAUUUUCUUUUAUAAUACAAGUAAAGAUCAAAGCUUUGUAAUUUCAGAGAAAAGAGACCGCUCUUCACAUUGGAAAGUCAAAAAAACAAAACAAAGCGACGACCCGUUUACGCUGAGAUGAGAGGUAGGAAGACAGAAGCUUCCAUUUUCAGACACCUAUUUAGAGAUUUUAACUUUAAGCCUUUGACGGUAAUGAAAAUUCUGCUUACUAAUCCAAUUUCUGAUCGAAUUUGUUUUUGUAUAUCCCGUACCCGUAAGUACUACCCUUUACACUUCUCCGUACGUGGGGGGGGUAGAGGAAAAAUCUGAUUUUUCUUCUCUUUUUGAAAAGGUUAAGGAUGAGAAGGAAUCACAAAUUUUAUACAUUUUUUUAUGUACUGUUUAAUUUUAACCCACUCGGGUUGAAUUUUUAAAAAUAUUUUUUAUUUUAAAUUUAAUUAUAAAAAGAAAUUGGCACCACUAAAUCUUUAAUGCCUACCUUGGCAAUACUUUUAAAAAGUAUUGUGAAAAAUAUUUUUGAGGGUAUUUUUAAAAAUUUUAAUUUAAAAUUUGAGUUUUUAGCAUUACAGUUAAAAAGUAUUUUUGAGAAAUAAAAUGUCUAUUUUAGACAUAUUAAUAUUAAGUAAUAAAUAUGUAUUUAAUUAAUAUUUAAAUUAAUUAAUAUUAUUAUAUUUUAGUAAAAACAUAAAAAAUUUAUUAUAACUUGUUGUUAAUAUUUUAAUAUAUGAAAUAUAAAUUUUAAAUAUUUUUAAGUAAAAAAUAUUAAUUAUUUAUAAAAUUUAAUUAGAAUAUAUAAAGUAUAUUUUAAAUAUUUAAAUAUAACCAUUAACUAUUUGUAAUUAGUAUUUUUUAAAAUAUUUUUUUAUUUUUAAUUAAGCACUAAGAAAAAAAGGGGAAGUACUAUAUUAUUAGAGGGGUGAAAAACAAUUAAACACUAAAAGUGCUUUUGGGAGAUGAAAAACUAAAAAUUUUAACUUCUCCCUUACCGCUAUAAAUUUCAGUAAAAAACAGCUUGUUUAGUACAAUUUUUCUUCCAAAAUUAUUUUUGGAGGCAGAAUUGUUUUUUUUAAGCACUGCAGAACAAGCUACUAGAACAAGAAAGUGGUUAUUGCUCCUUUUAUUUCCAAAAACUCAUAUACACUAAAACUAAAGUCUUAUCUAUUUGUAGAUGGAGCUUGCAAUAGCAACUAGGUUUAGAGGGAAGUUUUGAGCAUUACGUUCAUGCAUAACUUCCAUACCAAGGUUAGCACGGUUAAUAAUAUCAAUCAAUGUAUUACUUACACAAUCUUGACUAUUAACUAUUGAUUGGUUAAGAUUGAAACUAUUUAGGUUGAAAGCCUUAGUGCUAAUACCUAAAACGGUAAAUCAGAUACCUACUACAUACUAAGCAGUUAAGAACAAAUGUAAAUAACGAGAAUUGUUGAAACUAGCAUAUUGGAAGAUCAAUCGGCCAAAAUAAUCAUGAGCAACUACGAUAUUAUAAGUUUCUUCCUUUUGACCUGUAGAAUUUUUAGACUUUACCAAAAAAGUUUAAAGGUUGAAAAGUGUCCCAUAAAAUACAAUAAAAUAUUAAAAAAGAGAUAUGAUAAUAUUUUAAAGCUACUUGUAGAAUAAAAAAAUACACUAUCAAUACCAAAUACUAACUCAUUUAUAAAUAUUAAUAUAAAAUUAUAUAAUAUUUUUUUAAAUAUUGAUAUGGAAUAUUUGGGUGAGUUGGGUUUGGGCUUGGAAAUUUUUUUAAAUUUGUACUUCAACUCAGACCAAUUCAAUUCAUAAAUAAGUAUAAUUACAUUGGAUGUGAUUUUAGAUAUAUAAUAGUUUAAUUAGUUUUUUAUAUAAUAAAUUUUUAAUUGAUGUAAUCAUCAAGGGCAAAUUCAAAAACUAAUUUAUGAGUUGGAAUUGAAUUAUAAAUUUUUGAGAUAUCAAAAUAUAAUUUUAUUAUGUAUUAAUUUUAUGGUUUCAUUAUUGUUUUCCUUUUGAAGGGAUGAUUUCAUCAUUGUUGAAUGAGCUAAACAAAAUCUUUUAAUUUUUUGGGUCAAAGGUAGACAUGUUCUGUAACACCCCUAACCUAUAUCCGUUGCCGGAACAAGGUUACAGAGCAUUAUCGGAGUUUACAGAACAAUUACAAUUAAUUCAUGUCAUUUAAUAUUCAUAUAUGAAAUUAAUUAUAUUUUAUUUUAUAGCCCAUUUAAAUGGGCCCUCAAGGCCUAAAAUAGGCACUAGAAACAAAUCGGGACUAAACCGGAAUCUCAGAGAAUUUUUCGCGAAAUUUCAAAAAAAUUUCUAUGUGUAGGGGACAAAUGCCCGUGUCUCUACCCGUGUGGACGAAAAUAGGUCAUUUUAAUGCCACUUUUCUCAACCAAUCUUGGUAUCAACCUAGGCACAACCAUUUCCACACUCACAAAACACAAUAAGACCUUCAAUUCAAACCAACACCAAGUCUUAUAACUAACAUAUCAUUAGGUAUAUUCAAAUAUCCAAUCUUACCAAAUCAAUCAUAUACAAAUUUAUGCAUAUUUUAAUAAAUUUAUUAAGUUAAAUUAUACCUCAUUAUACCUAUUAACUAACCAUCAAUUAGCCAUUUUAAACACAUCUCAUGCAUGUUUAAUUCAUACUUAUAUAACUUGGUUGGAAACUUAAACAAAGUAUACAUCAUAAUAUUACACAAACCAAUUUUACUUAAAUCAUACCAAUCCCUAUACAUGCCAUAUAAACCAUAGUAUGCAUAACAAAAUCUACCGAAGCAAGCUGGAUAGUGUGGCUCAGUGUGUUGAUCCGAUCCUUCGAUUUUACGUUAAUCUACAAGAUCAUUAAACAACACGAGUAAGCUUAUUGAAGCUUAGUAAGUUCAUUAGGUUAAACAUUGAUCUUACCGAACUCACUAUAAUAAAUUAAAUUGUAAAUAAAUCAUACAUUCUUCUUGUCAAACACAACAUAAAUCAAUGAACACCCUUCCUUCAAAUUAAUAACAAUAAUAAUCAAUAAAUCUUUCAAAUUCCAAUCACAUAAGUCUUUUACCAAUUCUUACUAAAUUGAAGAAUGACUUACGGAUAUGAGUACAUCGUUUUCUUUGUGUCAUAGUCCAACUAUGGUCUUACAUAUAUGUUGCCAUGGCCUUGCCAUAGUCUUACAUUUGUAGUGCCAUAGCCCAAUUAUGGUCUUAUCAUCAGAAUGCCAUAGCCCAGCUAUGGCCUUACAUAUAAACACUGCCAUGGUCCAACCAUGGUCUUACGUUUAUACUGUCAUAACCCAAUUAUGGUCUUAUCUAUCAAUUCGUCCUUUACAUUAAUGCCAUAGCCCAACUAUGGUCUUACAUAUAAACAUUGCCAUGGUCCAACCAUGGUCUUAUCCAUCAAUCCAUCCUUUAUCACAAAACGAUUGUACUCAAUCUCGUGUUCUACACAAUUUCAUCAUUCAAUUCGAUUUCACAAUUUAACAAUAAUUUUUUUAUUUUCAACAACAAAAAUAUGACUAAUUACAUAAUAACAUUCACCAAUUAGUAAAUAAACAUUAAAAUUUUAACCAAAUGAACUUACCUGGGCUAAUUGUGGAAUUUAUAGGGGACUAUUUUGUUAAUUUCCCUUUUUCUCGUUGAUCUACGGUGUAACAGCCCGAUUUAGACCCUAAUCGGAACGGUGGUUUCGGUUCCACAAAUCUGAGUCAGAAAAAUAUUUAAAUAUUAUUUUUCAUGUUUAUUAUAUGUGAAUUUGCAUGUGUGAAAGUUUCGUAUGAAAAUUUGAUUGUUUAUGUGCUUAAUUUAAUUAAAGGACUUAAUCGCGUAAAAUAAAAACUUGAUAGUUAAAAGCAUAAAGGCCAAAUUGUUGAUGUCUUUGUAAGUUAAAGUAUUUAAGUGGUAAUUUGACCAUGUUUAAUUAGAUGGACGGUAGUGGCCAUGUAAUAUAAUGGUUUUAUAUUAGUUAAUAAAUGUUAAAUUUGUAAUUGAAUUAAAAAGUUAAUAUAUUACAAAACAUAAAAAAAUAAAGCCAAGGUGUUCAUACUUUCUCUUUCACCGAAUAAUAAAAAGAAAGAAAAGAAACUAAAGCUUGGUAUAUUCGGCCAUUUCUCAAGCUUGAUUCAAGGUUAGUUUGAUUUCGGUUUUUUUAUCAUUUUUACGUUUUUGAGAUCGUUGCUUCGAGUACUAUCCGACCCAUGCUUAAAUUUCUGAUUUUGAUGCAUAUUUUGAGUCAUUCCAUUGAUGAAUAUUUGUGUUUUGUGAUGUUUGAUGAUGAAAUAUCAAAAAUAUGUUUUAGAUUAACAUGUUUUGUAUUGGAGUUUUUGAAGAUUUUGAGUAAUUUGGACUAAAUUGCAAAAUAAUAAAUUGAGAGACUAAAAUGUGAAAUAGAUUAAAUAUAUGGACUAGUUUGAGUAUAUGGAAAAUUCAGCUCAACUACAUUGUUGUGAGAUUUUGUGUAUUUUAUGUUUUAUGCAAUUAGGACUAAUUUGUAAAAGUAUGAAAUAUUAGGGGUAAAAUGGUAAUUUUCCCAUUUAUAUGUUGUUGGAUUAAAUUGAAUGAAAUUGUAUUUAAAUGAGGUUAAUUUGAAAUUAUAUAGAUCAAGAACAAAAGAAAUCGAACUUGGAUCAAGGAAAAGCAAAAACAAUCGAAUAGCCAAUUUAUAGCGUUCGUCGAUAUCCGAGGUAUCAUUUAUCUUGAUUGUAAAUUAGUUUAAUAUGUUGUUUUGAAAUCUAUAGAUUCAUAAAGAGCUAGCCGAAUGUGUUUGAGCAUAGAAAUACUGUAUUUGAGUUUAAUUCGACAGAGUUAUGUCAUUUAAAAGUCUGUAGAAUCUAUAUGGAAUUUAUGGAGUUUUUGUUAUAUGAAUUGUGUACAAGACAGCAUUAUAAUAGUGAUAUUCGGGCUUUGAGCCUAGCAAGCUUUAUGCUGGUGAAUGUAAUCGGGCUUUAUGCCUAGCAGGCUUAUUGCCGGUGAAUAGUAUCAGACCUUGAGUCUAGCAGGCCUUGUGCCGGUGUGUGAUUCAGGCUUAUGCCUAGCAGGUUUUAUACCGGUGAUUUAUUUUAAAGCUUAUGCUUAUAAGAUUUCAAGUUGAUGUGGAAAUUGAGCAAGUAAAAUUUAGCUAAAUGACCUUGUAUAUAUUCGACCACAUAGGUAUGUACAUAUGUGAUGUUAUAUUGGAUUUUGAAUAUUCGGCCAUGAAGGUAUGCACAAAUGUGAUAUUAUAUUUGAAUUUGUAUAUUCCGCCAUAUAAGUAAUUACAUAUUUGAUGUUAAAUUUGAUCUUGCAUAUUCUGCCAUAUAGGUAUGCACAUAUGUGAUCUUAUAUUUGAUUUUCUAUAAUCGACCAAAUGAGUGAUGUUGGUUUAUAAAGUUGAGUUUGAUUCAUAAGUAUAUAUAUUUGAAUGUAAGCAUACUUGAGAUAAUGUUAUUUUGGGAAUGAAAAGUUGAAUGAUAUUAUGCUAAAUAUGAAAUAUUAGCAUUCGACCAAGUUAACCUUUUUGUGUAAAAGUAUAAGUUACAAAUAAAUAAAUGAGAUGAUAUGAUCGAGAUAAUGUAUUACAUUAAUGUUAUAAUUUGGUUUGUUUAAAAUGUUUUGAUUAUUAUUUUGAAUGGUUAAAUUUGCUUAUGACUUACUAAGCUAAAUUAGCUUACUCUAUGUGUGUUUUUGUUACUCUGUUUUAUAGAUUUUGUUGUAAGUUACGAGCUUGGGGAUCGUCAGAGAAGUCAUCCACACUAUCGUCAACCUUCGGUACUUUUAAAAGUCUAUUUUCGAACUUAUUACAUGUAUAGGCUAAUAUGUAUUUUGUUCGACCUUGGAUAUGUAUAAUUUGAGCCAUGCUAAUAUGGCUUAACUUCAAAGUUUGAAUUUGGUUACAUUUGGUAAUGGUUUAAUACGUUUUAUUUAUAAUGUUAUAUGAAAUGAAUGAAUGGUAUAUGUGAUUGGUGUUAUACAUCUUAGAAAUAGCUUGAAAAUGAUUGGUGGACUUGGUUGUGGUUGAUGAGUCAGUCAUGGUGUGUAUAAAUUAUCAUGAGUAUGUUUAGAUGAUUCGGUUUUGGUUGGGUAUAGACAAAGUAUAUAUAUAUGAAAUUGGUUUUUAUGUUUGAUAUAGGUGUUAAUAUGUAAAUGAGCUUUUGAUGAUAUAAAUAUAUAUUAAGUUCGAACAUAUAGUAAGAGAUUAUUAUGAUGUUUUAGGUUUUAUAAAGGACUUGUAAGUUGGCUUAACAAAGGAGCAAGAUGUUGAUUGUGUAUAUAUAUAUGCAUAUAUGUAUUUGUGCGUAAUCGAAUGAUGCUUGUCAUUAUGAUUCGAUUUUUAAUGGAAGUGAAUAUGCAUAUGUGAUACUUAUGUGACUGACAUAAUAGGUAUAAUUGAUGAAGUUAAAUAUUGAGUAGGUAGUAGAUAAUGCCAUAUAUGUUAAGAGAUAAAAUGUCUUGUGAUACUAUUUAUUUGGUUAAAUAUGCGCACGUUUAGAAUUAAGAAAAUAAAGUUUGAUUUUUAUUUUUGGUAUUUGCUUAUCAAUAAAGUGAUGAACCUAUAAUUCGUAUGUACAAUAUUUUUUAUAAUGUAUGUUUAAUAUUUAAUUAAUUGUAUGCUUUACAUGUAAAUAUGAAUACGACUUGUGUUAGCAUGAGAAUGUUCGGAACUGUAUUUUUGUUCAGUAAUGCCUCGUGACCUUAGUCAGACGACGGAUACGGGUUAAGGGUGUUACAUACGGGCUCUUGAUCUAAAAUGUAAAAUUAUUCAUUCAUUAGCAUAUAUUUCAAUUCAAUUUGCUUCACAAUUAAUACCCCUUAAUUUUCAUAAUUACACAAUUAACCUAACUUUUAUAGUUUUUACAAUUUAGUCCCUUACCAAUUAUCCUAUCAAUUGAGCUAAUUUUUUUCUCAAUUGACAAUUUAUUCAAUUAUUCUAGGCUAUCUUACAACAUUUGAUAUAUAGAAAUUUAAUAGCACACCUUAAUUCUUUAAUUCUUCACAAUUUAGUCCUAAAAUCAAUUUUUAUUGAAAUCACUUGAUAAAAUCAUCAUAUAACAAAAUUAAAGCUUCAAUUCCAUGUUAAUUCAUCAUAAACAUCCAGCACUCAUCAAUGGUAACUUUCAAAAUUACCCAUAAAAUCAAAAACUAAUGAAAUAGCUAGUUGGACCUAAUUGUAAAAGUCUUAAGCUGAAUCCAAUUUAAAUAAUAAAAAAAUUAUUUUUUAAAUUAAAAUUUCAUUAUAAAAAUAUAUAAAAUAGUAGCCAAAAAUAUAUUUUUAAUAUUUUAUUAAUUUUUAAUAGUAAAAUGAACUUUUUGGAUGGUUAGGGUUGGUCUGAAAACGAGCCUAGGUUUCAAAAUAUUUUAAAAUCGAGCCUCGAUCCAGCUCAGCCCAUGGACACCUUUAGUUAAAGAUUAAUUUUACCAUAUAUUAAUUUAUAAUGUAAAGUCGUUAUUUAAAGGGUUAGUAUUCUAACAAUGUACUUUUUUUUAUUCUUUCACUUUUUAUAUAUAUUUCAAUUUUUAAUUAUCCAUUAAAUUUGUUUUUUAAUAAAAUAAAAUGAUAGAUAUAUCAUUAAAAUUUUAAAUUAAAAUAAUUCAAAAUAAUUUAUCAUUUAGAAAACUCCCUAAAAUUUAAAACUAUUAUUAUAGAUAUAUCAUUAAAUCAUAUUUAAAAAUUAAAUAUUGUUUAAUUAAUUAAUAAAAAAUAAAUAGUGUUUCAAAAAUAUAAGAAUGAAAUAUUAAAUUUUAUAAGGUUUCAUAAUUCUAAAAAAUAAAAUAUGAGAAUGUUUAAAAAUUUUAUUAAAAAAGUUUAAAAAUUAUACAAUUUUUUUAAAAAAUAAAAAAAUACUAGUAAAAAAAUUUAAAAAAUUAAAUAUUAUUUAAUUAGUCUAAAGGUGAUCAUGGGUCAGGCUGGGCUACUAAAAAUUCAGACCCAUUUAUUAGGGCCAGGCCCAGCCCAAAAAAUGGGCCAAAAAUUUUGCCCAAAUUCGAUCUGGAUAAAAAUGGUAAAACUCGAGCCCGACCUGGCCCGCCCGUAUUAAUUUUUAUAUUAUUUUUAUAUAAUUUUUAAAUAUAUAUAAUACAUUAAAAAUACUAAAAGCAUCCAAAUAAAUAUUUCCCAACAAAUUGAAAAUAAAAUUUAAAAAAUAUGAAGACUUAAGUAACACUAAGAUAAAUACAACUUAACAAGCAAAUGCCUCUAAAAUAAUAACAAAAUUAACAAAUACCUUUAAAAUAAUAAAAAAAUUAACAAUAAAAUAAGUUUUAUACAAUACCCAAACAAUAACAAUAAAAUAGUAGCAAUAUAAUAGUAAAAUGGUAACAAAAUAGGGAGAAAACAACAAGAAAAUAACAUUAAAAAAAGUAGAUUUUUUUUUGUCUUUUAGUGAAUUCGGGUGAGGCCAGGCUAGGCUCGGGGCCAAAAAUACCUUACCCAAGGCCCGACCCUUUUUUUAAACCGGUCUUAUUUUUUUGUCCAAACCCAAUUUUUGGGCUUAUAUUUUUGCCAAACCCUUCCACAUUUUGGGCGGGCCUUCGAGUUGGACCAGGUAGCCUAACCCAUAAUCAGUCUAUAAUUAAUCAUUUAAUUUUUUUAAAAUAUUUAUAUCUAUUUUAAUUUUUCUAUAAAUACUAUUAAAAAUUUUAAAAACAAAAUUGAAUACUAUUUAAAAACAUUAUUCAAGUAUCUAUUUUGCAUCUUUCAAAAUAAUAUAAUUUAUUAAUUUUAAUAUUUUUAUAGAAUAAUAUACUUUAAUUUUUUACAUAAUUUAUAAAUUAUUAAAAAACUAAAAAAUAGUUUAUGAUAUUUAAUUAUUAAUAGAUAAAAAGUAUAUCAUAUAUAUAUUAAAAUUCUAAAUCAUUAAUUAUAUAUCUAAAUAUCAUAAGAGUUUCAUUUUUCAAAUUUUCUUCUUCAUAAUUAAAGCAUAAAUUAUAUUUAUAAUAUUAUAAAUAUAUUAUAUUUCAAAAAUUUAUACACAAUCAAUCCGUGCAUCUCAAAAGGUAAGAAAACUAAUUUUUUUAAUAUCUUAUUAUACCCCUAAAAGACCAAAACUCUAUUGUCAAUAUAUUAAAUAUUUUUAUUUAUUUAAUAGGGGUUAACAAGUGUCUUAUAAUGGUAUAGUAGAAUAUUUAAAAAAUAAAUAUUAAAAAAACACAGACAAUAACGUAUAUUGCUAGUAUAUCAAAUACUAACCUAAUAAAAUUUAUUUUUUAAACAUUUUUAAAUAUUUUUUCAAUUUUAUAAGAAUUUUAAAUAAAUUGAAAAAUAAAAUGAUUUUUUACUAGUUUUUACAAUUUAAAGCAUUUUUUUUACAAUAUUUAAAUAUUUAAAUAUUUUUUUUAUCCAUCAACGAUUGAUCAAUGUCAAUGAACAAUCAGUCAACACCAAUCAAUGGUCAACCACCCGCAAUCACUGUCAACGUACCACGUCAUUGAUGACAUGACAAAUUUUGGGCAACUUUUUUUAUGUUCAAAAUAAAAAAAAAUAUUAAAAUGAGCAGAGGGUAAAUUAGGAAGAAAGCGUAGAUUUUAAGGUAAAAAGAAAGUUAAGCAUAGUUUGGCCCCCGAAGUUGCGGCCGGCAUAGGUGUUUAACUCGAUUUCUUUAAAAUUUUAUGAACUUGGAAAAUCAUGGACUCCAUUUCUUAACAAUGCUAACAAAAUCAAAAUCAAAAUCUUCCCUUUACUAUGUUCACCUCAUUUUUCAUCCCAAAAUUUCCAUUUCUUCACUUCACACCGCAACAAAGGAUAGCAUCGUCCAUAACUCUGCGAAAAUCCUCCGCAAAAAUACCAAAUUCCUCGUUUAUUGCAAUACCCAGAUUACUCAACAUGGAAGAAACAGAAAUAUCAAAGAAGCUGAAUCAAUCUUCAACCGGAUGCCCUUCAAAAGCACCGUAUCUUGGACUGCCAUGUUGACUGCAUACGCAGAAAAUGGGAACAUUUCGAAAGCCCGUGAAGUGUUCGCUAAAAUGCCUGAAAGAACAACUUCUUCGUAUAAUGCGAUGAUCACCGCUUAUAAUAAGAAUGGUUGUAUGGUUGAUGAGGCUUAUGAGCUUUUCUGCAACAUGUCUGAACGGGACGCAGUGAGUUAUGCUACGAUGAUCACGGGGUUUGUUAGUAAAGGAAGGUUUGAUAAGGCCUUGGAAAUUUACGAAAAUACUCCUGGGAAAUGGCGGGAACCGGUUUGUUCAAAUGUAUUGAUAAAUGGGUAUGUGAAAGCUGGGAGAUUGGAUAUGGCAGAUGGCAUUUUCGAAGGAAUGGUUCAGAGAGAUGUCGUUUCUUGGAGCCUAAUGGUUGAUGGGUAUUGCAAAAGUGGGAGAAUUAUGGAGGCUAGAAAGUUGUUUGACAAGAUGGUGGAGAGAAAUGUAGUUACUUGGACAACAAUGAUUAAUGGGUACCUAAAAAUGGGAUAUUUAAUUGAUGGUUUUGGUUUGUUUUCGGCUAUGAGAAAAGAGGAAGGAGUUUUGGUUAAUUCUACUACUUUGACUGUUAUAUUUGAAGCUUGUGGACAUUUUGAUAGAUGUAGAGAAGGAAUUCAAAUGCACGGAUUGGUUUUAAAGUUGGGAUUCGAAUUUUCUGUUUUUCUAGGGAAUUCUAUUAUUACCAUGUAUUGCAGAUUUGGUUGUACUGGUUCUGCUAAUUUGGUAUUUGAUUUGAUGACGAGGAAAGAUUUGGUUUCUUGGAAUUCUUUGAUCAUGGGCCAUGUUCAAGAGAAUGAGAUUGAGAAAGCUUAUGAACUUUUUGAAAGGAUGCCUAGAAAGGAUGUAGUUUCUUGGACUACCAUGAUUAUGGGGUUUUCUGGUAAAGGACAAACUGAUAAAGCUGUCAAGUUGUUUAGAAUGAUGCCUGAGAAAGAUGAUGUUGCAUGGACUGUAGUAAUUUCAGGGUUUGUAAGUAUUGAAAUGUAUGAGGAGGCUUUUCGCUGGUUUACUGAAAUGCUUCAGAAAUCAGUAAAGCCAGACUCUCAUACUUUGAGCAGUCUGUUGAGUGCUUCUGCCAAUUCAGCUAUACUAAGCAAUGGGCAGCAAAUCCAUGUCCAAGCAAUAAAGAUGUGUCUGGAACUCGAUUUGUCAGUUCAAAAUUCGCUUGUCUCAAUGUAUUCAAAAUGUGGAAAUGUAGCCGAUGCUUGUCAAGUCUUUAUGAGUAUUAAAGAACCGAAUGUUGUUUCUUUCAAUACAAUGAUUACUGGCUUUGCUCAAAAUGGAUUUGCUAAAGAAGCACUUGAAUUGUUUGGGAAAAUGCAGAGUGAAGGGCAGGAGCCAAAUCAGGUAACCUUUCUUGCUGUUUUGUCCACCUGCAGCCAUGUUGGACUCAUAGAAGUAGGAUGGGAGCACUUCAAAUCCAUGACAUCUUUAUAUAACAUAGAACCAGGGCCUGACCACUAUUCAUGCAUGGUUGAUCUCCUCGGCCGAGCUGGGUUGUUUGAUGAAGCAGUUGGUUUAAUUUAUUCAAUGCCAUUUGAUCCCCAUAGUGGAGUUUGGGGAGCUCUCCUGGGUGCAAGCAUGACUCAUCUCCGUAUUGAUUUCGCAAAGCUUGCAGCUCAGCAGCUUAUUAAAUUGGAGCCCGAUAGUGCAACUCCUUAUGUCGUUUUGUCCAACUUAUAUACUAUCUCAGGAAAGAAGAAAGAUGGAGACAAAGUAAGAAUAGACAAGAAAUCAAAAAGGAUAAAGAAGAGCCCUGGGUGUAGUUGGUUGGUAGUUAAAGACAAAGUUCAUUUGUUUCUCUCAGGAGAUCAAUCUCAUGAGGAUUCAGAAGAGAUUAGAGUUACAUUACAGACAAUUAUGAAGGAAAUGGAAGAGCUAGGUUGUUAUAGAUAGAUGGCUCCUUUCUUAAGGUCCUCCUCUUUGCUCUCCAUAGGAUCUCUUCUGCUGUAAUAGUUUCUAUUAUUUAAGGCUUGUGACUUUGUUCAAGCAGGCCAUGCAUUGGUCUCUAUAUUUUCUGUGUGCUUUUCUAAUGCGAACAAAUGCCUUUAUCACUAGCAAUGUUGCUUUGCUGAAAGGAGUUAACUUGACCAUCCCAUCUUUUCAUGUUACUCUGCGUUCUCUUCCCUUUUCUGAGUCAAGAAUGUAGUCCAUUGGGUAAGUGAUACUCGUAGCUCUACUUUUAGUAUACUGGAUGUGUAGUCUCAUAUCUUUCAUCUGUUGUCCAUUUUGCAGAUGUGAGUUUGAACCAGAAUUAUGACGGCUACAGAUCCCCAGGUAAGGGAAAUGAUAUAUGUGUCUCUUAUAUCAUAUCUUGAGUAAAUUUUUUUAUUCUUCUUAAAAAUGCAAAUCUGACCAAUAUUUUCUUGAAUCUAAAUAGUAAUGUUAUUGCUUCAUAAAGUUUGUUCAACUUUUUUUUUUUUUUUUGGUGAACAAAGUUUUACUUCUCUGAAACUGGUUAAAUAGAAGACCAUGAGGAAACAAUCUGGCAGAUCCUUUUCCCUUUUACUGCCCAGUUACCUGCUGCAGGUGGUUAUGUGGUUGGAUUUGAUGUAUGCCUUACUCAUCUGAGUGUCUUCUUCACAUAAAUGCUAUUACUUUGACUCUUCAUUUUUCUCUAAGUGCUCGUAUCAUACAUCCAUGUUAGAUGAAUAUUCAGACAUGUCUGUGUCAAAAACAUGUAUAUUUCCUCAAUGACAUUUGAGUCCGAGCUACAUAGUCAAACAUAGCAGAGAAACACAAAUGCACUCAUGCACACAUGAUUAUUAAUCAUAUUUCUUAUAUGAAUCUGGGGGGUUUGUAUGAGAGAGCAGCUUCAAGUCAAAUGCAACAUAUUUUAUGUGCUUGAAUUCAUAUUUAUUCUUAAAUUUAUUUUGCAUUGAUGACCUGGUAAUGAUUAAUAAGUUGGAUGUUCAUGUGUUAGAAGUUAACUAUUGUAGGAUAUGGCGAUAUGCUUAUUGAUGACUUGGUACAUCUGGAUUUGAUGCUACAGGUCCAAAUCUUUAUUUUGUUUGAAGAAUCGUAUCCAACACCCUUGUCUAGCGCAUAUUCGGACAUGGGCGCAGAGACAUCACCUUUCUAAAUCCUCUAAAUGAGGACUUGCCGAUCAAUGUGGUGAACUGGAUACUUUUGGAGUCAUAAUAUGGUGGCUGUGGAAACAAAGAAACUACUUAGUGUUUGCAGCUGGGAAUCCACUAAUAUAAAUGGGAAACGCCUUGCAUGUUUGAGGAGCACCAUGGUGGCUGUUAAAAGUCAGCAGGCUCGAGGCAAUAGAAAGACGAUGGGGAUUGGAUGGAGGCCUGGAUAAAACAAAUUUGUGACAGAGCAGUGGACACCAGCAAUAAUCUUGCUUCAGCUGAGGGAAUCUUUCGCAACUGUUAUGGCUGUUGGAUUGCUGGGUUUAGUAGGUUUCUAGGCCUCAAUACUGUUAUGCAAGCGGAGCUAUAGGCGGUAUAUGACAGCCUCAGCAUUGCUUGGGAGGCAGGGUCCAAAAAAGGUUUUGGUAGAAUGUGACAAUUCGGUAGUGAGACAGAUGCCAACCGAUUGCAAUGCGAGUCCAUUAGAGCUAGUAAGGAAUACAAGGUAGCAGAUGCAAUGGCGAAGAUUAGAAAAUCUCCACGAAUUUAUACCAAUUGAGUAAAAACGAGCUAAGUUUAGGUAGGAAAUUAAAGAAGAAAUAGUAAUUUUCUUGCAAAGGUGAAAGAAUAGAGUGUUUCAAUGCCAAGAAAAUAUAAAAGAUGAAGAAUUUUUUGAAAGAAAACUUUCAAUCUUAGAUCUAACAAUAAAAUAAAAAAGGAUGGAGGGAAACAAAAUAAAAAUAAACAGACCAUGGGUGUGGCUUUUUAUAGCGAACUAACCAUAUUUUUGAAAACAGGCUAUUUACCCUCUAAGUCCUCCUCUAUUCUCCCUUGUUCUAAUAACUCCUUUUUUAACCACUAGUUUUUAAUUUACACAAUUAACCUCUACUUUAACCACUAUUUCCAAAUUAGUCUUUAUUAAUUUUUACUAAUGCCUUGAUUAUUAAUACCAUUAUUAUUUAGUUUAAUUAUUAUUAUUACAAUUAUUAAUUAAUUAAGUUUUUAUUCUAUCUUAAUUCUUAAACCCAAUUUAUCUCUCGAGCCCACAAUCUAAUACCGGACUCUACCAACCCGGUUUUCAAGAUGUGAAACCUAGAUUAUUUUGACACCUAUGCACCAAUGCUAGGAUGACCUCCACUCAAAUUCUUAUGGCACUUGCAUCUAUCCAUAAAUUACAUGUACAUCAAAUGGAUGUUAAGACGACUUUUUUGAAUGGUGAUCUCAAAGAAAAAGUCUACAUGGAGCAACUAGAAGGUUUUGUACUUCCUAGGAAUGAACAUAAGGUGUGUAAGUUGAUCAUGUCAUUAUAUAGUUUAAAAUAAGCACUUAGACUGUGGCAUGAGAAAUUUGACUCGAUUAUUUUAUCACAUGGUUUUUUUAUAUAAUGGUGCGAAUAAAUGUAUUUACACUAAAUUCACCAAUAGAUACGGUGUAAUUAUUUGUCUCUAUGUAGACGAUUUGUUAAUUUUUGGGACAAACAUGGAAGGUGUUCGCAAGACCAAAGAGCAUCUAACCUCAAAUUUUAAGAUGAAGGAUCUUAAUAAGGUAUAUACAAUUCUAGGUAUAAAGUUGUAAAAGCAUGAAAGGGGCUUUGCAUUAAGCCAAUAUCACUACAUCAAGAAAGUAUUGGAAAAGUUCAAAUACUUGCAUAUCAAGGAUAUGAACACUUUAUACAAUUCAAACUUCAAGUUAAGUAAGAAUAAUGGGAGGACUAUAGUGCAACUUGAGUACGCCAACUCAAUUGGAAGUCUAAUGUAUGCAAUGCAUUGCACUAGACCCGAUAUCACAUUCACUGUGUGCAAAUUGGCGAGAUUUACAAAUUGCCCUAGUAUCGAUCAUUAGAAAGGAAAUUUUAGGAUUUUUGACUAUAUUAAGAAAACAAAAAAUUUGAGAAAAACAAAAAAUUUGAGAUUAUUCUAUAGUGGUUAUACAGCGGUACUCGAAGGUUACUCAGAUGCAAGUUGAAUUACAAGUCUAAGUGACAAUAAGUCCACAUCGAGAUGGAUUUUUACGAUCAGAAGUGCAGCCAUUAGUUGACCCUCUAAGAAACAAACUUGCAUCUCACAUUCAACUACGGAGGCUAAAUUUAUAACCUUGUCGACUACUGGCAAGGAAGCGUAAUGGCUAAGAAACCUCUUACUAGAUAUAAAGUUGUGGCCAUAACGUAGGUUCGCCAUUUCCGUUAUUAUAAUAGUGAAUACGCCAUGUACCGAGCGUAUCAUAAGGUGUACAAUAGAAAGUCUAGACAUAUAAGUUUAAGACAUGAGUAUGUGAGACAAUUUGUAACAGCCCAAUUUCAAUGAAAUCGGAAUAGUGGUUUCGGGACCACAAAUUCGAGUUCGAAAAAUGAAAUUAUUUAAAUUUCAUAAAAUGAUAAGUAUUAUGAUAGGAAUAUUGCAUGAAAAUUUUUAUCGAAAAAUUUUAUCAAUUAUGUGUCUAAUUGCAAAAAGGACUAAAUUGAAUAAAAUAUCAAAGUUGAAUUCUAGUAGUUAUAAGGAUUAAAUAGCUAUAGAAUUAAAAGUGAGAAGUCCUUAUAUGGCAAUUAGACCAUUGAUGAAAAAUAUGUAGAUAUUUUUAAUGAGUCAUCCAUGGAACUUGAAAAAGAUUAAAGAUUAAAUUAGAAAUUGAAUUAAAUAAAGUAUGACAAAUGAUUAAAUAGAAUUAAAACUCAUUUUAUAUCAUCUUCUUCUUCAUAAAAUACAUGGAAACCCUAGGAGAGAGAAAGGAAACUUUUCAAGCUUGAAUCGGUAAGUUCUAUGUCCCGUUUUUAGUAAUUUUUAUAUUUUUGAGAUCGGGAAAGCUUAAUUUCUUUAUUUGAGUGAUUAAAUUAAAAGAAAACCAAAGUUUAGAAAACUAAACAUGGAUGAAUAUGCUGUAAAUUGAAAUUUUUUGAUAGAAAAUGAAAGAUUAUUGAUAGAUAAGCCACUUUUACAAAGUGAUUUUUAGUGAAAACAUGUGUAGGGACUAAAUUGCAAAGUAGUGAAAUUCUUGAAAAAUUUCUGAAAUUUAUGAAAUACAUGUGCUGUACAAGUUAUAUUUGAAUUUUUAAUAAGCUUGGAAUAAGGAGUAAAUUGCAUGAAUAUCAAUUUCCGAGCCUAGGGACGAAAUUGAAAUUAAUUAAAAGUUUAGGAGCAAAAUGGUACUUUUUCCUAAAAUGUGAAAUGGGCUUGAUUGAAUGUAAAAAUCAUAGAAUUGAUGAUUAAAUUUAUUUAUAUAGAUCUGGAAGUGUCGAACAAAGAAAAAGAUCGAGGGAAAGAAAAAGUCUCAGACUAGUAAAUACGAUCAAUUGUCAAGGUAAGUUCGUAUAACUAAAUUAAGCAUGUAGAUGUGUUGAAUUGAUUGUUGAAUUAUGUACAUUAUGAUUUGUAAUUGGUAUUUAAAGUAAUAAACCAAUAAUGAUUUGUGAUUUACAUAUAAAUGAUGAAAUAUUACAAGAAUCCGUUUGAAUAUUGAUUUCUGAUUGGACAGGUGAUUACUGUGUAUAUGAGAUCCUGCAUAUGUUGUAGUAAAGAUUGUUCCGAAAGGAUAAUCUUUUGAUCUCAUUAUGAAAAGGAAAUGUAUCCCGAAAGGGUGAUACUUGAAAAGGACUUAUGUACCCAAGUUGUACAACUUGAAAAAGGUUAUGUACACUUUGUGUGUACAGUUGGUAAGGUUAGGUAUAUUUUGUGUAUACCAUAUGGAAAGGAAAUGUAUACUUUGUGUGUACCACUUGAAAAGGAAUGUACACCUCAAGUGUACAAUUGGAAAAGGAAAGGUCUGUCAGAAAUUCAAUAAUUCAGCAGUAACGACAUACAUAGAUAUAUAAAGAGAAAUGGAUGAGCUCAUCUAUGCAUUUUAGUGUUUUUGAAAACUAAUCAAUUGGUUGAAUGAUUGUGUAUAGGCCUUAUUUGCUAAUUGAUUAAGUUAAUGGACAUAUUACUUAAUGUGUAAAUUACUUGAUGAACAUGAAUGGUAAGUGUAUUUUGGUUAUAUGAACUUACUAAGCAUUAAUGCUUACUAGGUUUAUUUUUUCGAUUUUAUAGUGCUCAAAGCUCGUGAAGGUUGGAUUUCGGGUCAGAGUUAUCAUCACACUAUCUAUCCCUUGAUUUUGGGAAAAAUGUUAGACUUAUUUUGAUAUAAUGGCAUGCAUAGACUAAUGUCACUACAGGAAAAUAGACUUUUAGCGGCGCUUUUUUUAGCCUUUAGCGGCACUUUCUAAAACGCCGCUAUAGGUAAUGCCACAAAAAUUUGUGGCCCUUUGAUACUUAAGAAAUUGCAAGUUAGAAUUCCAUACGGGCUGGCCACACGGCCAUGGGAUCCCCACGGGCUGGCCACACGGCCAUGUCCGAAUCAGAGGGUUGAAGUGAAUAUGCUAAAGAGGCUUUCUUUGAAAUGUUGGAUAAAUGGUUUCCUGAAUAUUUGAGAAGAAAUUUUGCUGCUUCUCAAUUACAACCUCCCCCAACAAAUACUCAGACUGUUCUUGAGAGACCACCGGGUACUGAAACUAUUAGAAUUAGUAAGGCUCUAGUGGAUAAACUCAAAAAAUAUGGGGCUGAGGAAUUUAGAGCUACAAUUGAUUAUGAUUCAAAAAAAGCUGAAUUCUAGCUGGAAAAUACUACUUGAAUGUUGGACGAAUUAUCAUGUACUCCAGCUGAAUGCUUGACAUGUGCUGUAUCUUUGUUAAAGGACACGACUUAUCACUGGUGGAAAAUAGUAAAUUCAGUGAUUCCAAAAGAAAAUAUUACUUGGGAAUUCUUUCAAUCUGAAUUCAGAAAGAAAUAUAUUAGUCAAAGAUUCUUAGGUCAGAAAAGGAAAGAAUUUCUAGAAUUAAAAUUUCUAGAAUUAAAGUAGGGGAACAGGACCGUUGAGGAAUAUGAAAGGGAGUUUGUACGGUUAAACCAAUAUGCUAGUGAAUGGGUACAAACAGAGGCAGAAAUGUGUAAACGUUUUGAGGAAGGAUUAAAUGAAAACAUAAAGUCACUGAUUGGUAUUCUAGAAAUAAGAGAGUUUGCAGGACUUGCUGAUCAUGCAAAGAAAGCUGAAGAGCUAAGUAAAGAAAAGAAGAAGGCAAACAGAGAAGCCCGAUCCUCUGGGAAAAGACCUAUUGUUAGGUCUCAAUUAUUUUCUUCAAAGAAAUCAAAGAGGUAUCAAGAAGGAUCUACUACUUCAGCUGGGUAUUUCGGUAAAGAGCGUGGUUCUCAACGCUCUAAUCCCAGGCCAUCGUCACCGACAAUGACUAGUGUUGGAAGUGUGGGAAACAUGAAGCUAAUAUGUAAACACUGUAACAAAUUUCAUUAUGGUGAGUGCCGAAUGAAAAUCGGCGCAUGUUACAAAUGUGGUUCAUUUGAUCACUUCUUAAAAGAUUGUCCAGAAAUAGUAGAAAGAUAUGCUGAACAGACUUCAAAACCAAGUAACACUGCUUCAAGAGGCAGACCACCUAGACACACACUACAAAAGAUUCAAAUGUUAAAUCUGAGGCUCGAGCUCCUGUAAGAACAUAUGCUAUACGAGCCCGAGAAGAUGCUUCAGCUCUAGAUGUCAUUACUGGUACUUUUUCUUUACUAGAUACCGAUAUUACUGCAUUGAUUGAUCUUGGUUCCACACACUUGUAUAUAUGCACAAAUUUAGUAAAUGUUAAAAAUUUACCUGUUGAAUUCACUGAAUUUAUGGUAGAAGUCUCAAAUCCUUUGGGUCAAUGUGUAAAGGUGGAUAAAGUUUGUAAAACUGUCCACUUUUGGUAAAGGGUAAAUGUUUCUUAGUUGAUUUAAUGCUACUACCUUUUGAUGAAUUCGAUGUGAUAUUGGGAAUGGAUUGGUUAACCCAACAUGAUGAAAUGGUAAAUUGUAAGUAGAAAUAUAUUGUGUUGAAAUGUCAAGAUAGUGAGUUACUUCAUGUUGAAUUUGACAAGCUAGAUGGAUUAUUUAAUAUGAUUUCAGCAAUAGCAGCACAAAAAUGUAUGAGGAAGGGAUAUGAUGCUUAUCUUGCUUAUGUGUUGGAUACUAAGGUAACCGAGUCAAAGAUUCAAUCUGUGCCAGUUGUAUGUGAGUUUCCAGAUGUGUUUCUGAAAGAAUUGCCUGGCUUACCACCUGUCGGAGAAGUGGAGUUUUCUAUACAUCUAAUUCCGGGAACAACACCAAUAUUGAUAGCACCUUAUCGAUUAGCUCUUGCCGAGUUAAAAGAGCUGAAGGCGCAGUUACAAAAAUUAAUUGACAGGGGUUUUGCUCGACCUAGUUUCUCACCAUGGGGUGCUCCGGUGUUAUUUGUAAAGAAAAAAUACGGAUAAUUGAGGUUGUGUAUUGAUUGCCGGCAACUCAAUAAAGUCAUUAUAAAGAAUAAAUAUCUACUGCCUCGAAUUGAUGACUUAUUUGAUCAGUUAAAGGGAGCUACUGUAUUUUCAAAGAUUAAUCUUUAUUCGGGUUAUUACCAGCUCCGGGUAAAGGAUUCAGAUGUUCCAAAGACAGCUUUCAGAACUAGAUAUGGUCAUUACAAAUUCUUGGUGAUGCCAUUUGGAUUAACAAAUGCACCAGUAGUGUUUAUAGAUUUAAUGAACAGGAUUUUUAGACCAUACUUAGAUAGGUUUGUUGUGGUAUUCAUAGAUGAUAUUUUAGUUUAUUCUCGAAGUGAAGAUGAACAUACUGAACAUUUGAGGAUUGUGUUACGAGAAAAACAAUUGUUUGCCAAGUUUAGUAAAUGUGAAUUUUGGUUAUGAAAAGUUAGCUUUCUUGGUCACAUUGUAUCUGCUGAAGGCAUCAAGGUUGACCCGAGCAAAAUUUCAGCAAUUAGUAAUUGGAGUCCACCAAAGAACGUGUUAGAGGUCAGAUGUUUUUUGGGUUUAGCCGAGUAUUAUUUGGAGAUUUGUUAAAAGAUUUUCAAUGAUUGCUUCUCCGAUAACUCGUUUGUUGCAGAAAGAUGUAAAAUUCGAGUGGAGUGAUAAAUGUCAGCAGAGUUUUGAUAGACUGAAGACUUUGUUGGCUGAAGCACCUGUAUUGGUACAACCUGAAUUAGGUAAGGAAUUUGUAAUUUACAGUGAUGUAUCUUUAAAUGGUUUAGGUUGUGUUUUGAUGCAAGAAGGUAAAUUGGUUGCCUAUGCUUCAAGACAACUUAAACCACAUGAAAGAAAUUACCCGAUAUAUGAUCUUGAACUGGCAGCCAUAGUGUUUGCAUUGAAAAUAUGGUGGUAUUAUUUAUAUGGUGAAAAAUGUCAUAUUUACACUGACCAUAAAAGUCUGAAGUAUUUAAUGACACAAAAAGACUUGAAUUUUAGGCAACGCAGGUGGCUCGAGUUAAUAAAAGAUUAUGAUUUGAUUAUUGACUAUCAUCCGGGAAAGGCCAAUGUUGUGGCGGAUGCACUGAGUAGGAAAUCUUUGUUUACUUUAAGAGUAAUGAACACCCGAUUAUGUUGUUCAGAUGAUGGUUCGGCUGUAGUUGAAUUGAAAGCUAGACCUACAUUUAUACAAUAAAUCUAUGAAGCACAGAAAAGUGACAAUGAGUUGCAAGUUAAACGGGAGCAAUGUCAAAAGAAUUCUGAUUCAGAGUUUCAAAUGGGGUCUGAUGAUUUCUUGUUGUUUAAAAAUAGAAUAUGUAUUCUGAAGAACUCAGAACUGGUACAAAAGAUUUUGUAUAAAGCUCAUAAUGGUACAAUGUCAGUUUAUCCCGGUAGUAAUAAAAUGUAUAAUGAUUUGAAAAAGAUGUAUUGGUGGCCGAAAAUAAAAAGAGAUAUUUCUAUAUUCGUAGCCAAAUGUUUAAUAUGUCAACAAGUGAAAGCUGAGCAUCAGAUGCCUUCAGAGUUAUUACAGCCAAUCAAUAUAUCGGAGUGGAAAUAGGAAAGGAUUACCAUGGACUUUGUAAUGGGAUUGCCUAUGUCACCAAGAAAGAAAGAUGCCAUUUGGGUAGUUGUUGACCGGUUAACAAAGUCGGCACAUUUCAUACCGGUAUGUAUAGAAUUUUCAUUGGAUAAAUUAGCCGAAUUGUAUGUCUCUAAAAUUGUUAGAUUGCAUGGUGUACCAGUUUUUAUUAUUUUUUAUAGAGAUCCUCGAUUUACAUCUCGAUUUUGGCAUAAGUUACAAGAAGCAUUGGGCAUCAGUUGUAUUUUAGUACUGCAUUCCACCCUCAAACUGAUGGUCAAUCAGAACGGGUGAUCCAGAUUUUAAAAGACAUGUUACGGUGUUGUGUGCUUGAAUUUGAAGGUAACUGGGAAAGGUACUUGCCUCUGAUUGAAUUUGCUUAUAAUAAUAGCUACCAAUCUAGUAUUAAAAUGGCACCGUAUGAAGCUUUAUAUGGUCGGAAAUGUAAAACACCAUUGUACUGGUCAGAGCUCAGUGAAAGGAAGAUUCAUGGGGUUUAUCUAAUUCGAGAAACUAAGGAAAAAGUAAAGGUGAUACAAGACAGCUUGAAAGCAGCUUCAGACAGACAAAAGUCUUAUGCUGAUCUUAAAAGAAAAGAAAUUGAGUUUGAGAUUGGUUAUAAGGUAUUCUUGAAAGUGUCACCCUGGAAGAAAGUUCUCCGGUUUGGCCGUAAAGGAAAAUUAAGUCCUCGGUUUAUUGGACCAUAUGAGGUCAUUGAAAGAAUUGGAUUGGUAGCUUAUCGGUUAGCAUUACUGUCAGAACUUGAAAGAAUUCACAAUGUUUUUCAUGUGUCAAUGUUAAGACAGUAUCCAUCGGAUCCAUCACAUGUUAUCUCUCCAACAGAAGUGGAAAUUUAGCCCGACAUGACAUAUAGUGAGGAACCAGUUAAGAUCUUAGCACGAGAAACAAAAGAGUUGAGUUGAGAAAUAAAAAGAUAGAAUUGGUAAAUGUUCUUUGGUAGAAACAUGGAAUUGAAGAAGCUACCUAGGAACCUGAAUAUAUCAUGAAAAGGCAGUACUCGAAUCUUUUCACUGGUAAGAUUUUCGAGGAUGAAAAUCCUUAAGGGGGGAGAGUUGUAACAGCCCAAUUUCAGUGAAAUUGGAAUAGUGGUUUCGGGACCACAGAUUCGAGUCCGAAAAAUGAAAUUAUUUAAAUUUCAUAAAAUGAUAAGUAUUAUGAUAGGAAUAUUGCAUGAAAAUUUUUAUAGAAAAAUUUUAUCAAUUAUGUGUCUAAUUGUAAAAAGGACUAAAUUGAAUAAAAUGUCAAAGUUGAAUUCUAGUAGUUAUAAGGAUUAAAUAGCUAUAGAAUUAAAAGUGAGAAGUCCUUAUAUAGAAAUUAGACCAUUGAUGAAAAAUAUGUAGAUAUUUUUAAUGAGUCAUCCAUGGAAAAAUUGAAAAAGGUUAAGGAUUAAAUUGGAAAUUGAAUAAAAUAAAAUAUGAUAAAUGAUUAAAUAGAAUUAAAAUUCAUUUUAUAUCAUCUUCUUCUUCAUAAAAUACAUGAAAAACCUAAGAGAGAGAAAGGAAACUUUUCAAGCUUGAAUCGGUAAGUUCUAUGUCCCGUUUUUAGUAAUUUUUAUAUUUUUGAGAUCGGGAAAGCUUAAUUUCUUUAUUUGAGUGAUUAAAUUAAAAGAAAACCAAAGUUUAAAAAAAUUAAACUUGGAUGAAUAUUCUGUAAAUUGAAAGUUUUUGAUAGAAAAUGAAAGAUUAUUGAUAGAUAAACCACUUUUACAAAGUGAUUUUUAGUGAAAACAUGUGUAGGGACUAAAUUGCAAAGUAGUGAAAUUCUUGAAAAAAUUCUGAAAUUUAUGCAAUACAUAUGUUAUAAAAGUUAUACUAGAAUUUUGAAUAAGCUUGGAAUAAAGAGUAAAUUGCAUGAAUAUCAAUUUCCGAGCCUAGAGACGAAAUUGAAAUUAAUUAAAAGUUUAGGGGCAAAAUGGUACUUUUGAGUAAAAUAUGAAAUGGGCUUGAUUGAAUGUAAAAAUCAUAGAAUUGAUGAUUAAAUUUAUUUAUAUAGAUCUGGAAGUGUCGAACAAAGAAAAAAAUCGAGGGAAAGAAAAAGUCUCAAACUAGUAAAUACGAUCAAUUGUCAAGGUAAGUUCGUAUAACUAAGUUAAGCAUGUAGAUGUGUUGAAUUGAUUGUUGAAAUAUGUACAUCAUGAUUUGUAAUUGGUAUGUACAAGUAAUAAACCAAUAAUGAUUUGUGAUUUACAUGUAAAUGAUGAAAUAUUACAAGAAUCCGUUUGAAUAUUGAUUUCCGAUUGGACAGGUGAUUACCGUGUAUAUGAGAUCCUGCAUAUGUUGCAGUAAAGGUUGUUCUGAAAGGAUAAUUUUUGAUCUCAUUAUGAAAAGGAAAUGUAUCCCGAAAGGGUGAUACUUGAAAAAGACUUAUGUACCCAAGUGGUACAACUUGAAAAAGGUUAUGUACACUUUGUGUGUACACUUGGUAAGGUUAGGUAUAUUUUGUGUAUACCAUAUGAAAAGGAAAGGUAUACUUUGUGCGUACCACUUGAAAAGGAAUGUACACCUCAAGUGUACAACUGGAAAAGGAAAGGUCCAUCGGAAAUUCAAUAAUUCAGUGGUAACGACAUACAUAGAUAUAGAAAGAGAAAUGGUAUGAUGAGCUCAUCUAUGCAUUUUAGUGUUUUUGAAAACUAAUCAAUUGGUUGAAUGAUUGUGUAUAGGCCUUAUUUGCUAAUUGAAUAAGUUAAUGGAUAUAUUACUUAAUGUGUAAAUUACUUGAUGAACAUGAAUGGUAAGUGUAUUUUGGUUAUAUGAACUUACUAAGCAUUAAUGCUUACUAGGUUUAUUUUUCCGAUUUUAUAGUGCUCAAAGCUCGUGAAGGUUGGAUUUCGGGCUAGAGUUAUCAUCACACUAUCUAUCCCUUGAUUUUGGUAAAAAUAUUAGACUUAUUUUGAUAUAAUGGCAUGUAUAGACUAAUGUAGACAAGUAAUACGUAGAAAUGAUGGUUUGUAAUAUAGCCAUUGGAAUGGCUAGUAAUGUAUGUCUUAAUGAUGAUAUGGUAUGGUAUUGUAUCAUGAGUUGCUUUUGGUUAAUCAAGUUAAUUAAAACCAUCCAUGAACACAAAUUGUCAAAUUUUAUGUAAAAGUAAGUUUAGAAGUAUGAUUGAAAACAGGAACAUAUCAGUUUGAAUAUUGGAGAUUGGUUGAAAUGGAUGGUAUAUACUUGUAAGUUCUCAUGCAGGGAAUUGAUUAAGUUUGGGUGAGAAAUAGGGCUAGGAAAUGGCCUUAUUUCAUCUACACGGGUAAGACACACGGGCGUGCGUGACAUAAGGUAAGCCUACUGGCGUGUGAAAUGACCGUGUGUCCCCUGUAUUCUUAAAUUUGAAGUCAGGAUAGUACACGGGCAAAAGACAUGGCUGUGUGUCUUGGUCGUAUGAAGGACACGGGUUUCAAGCAUGGUCGUGUGUCAAAAUCAUGUGAAAAUGGCUUAAAAUGGUGAAAAAUCAGUGUACCACACGACCUAGCCACAUGGGCGUGUGCCCAGGCGGUGUGACCCUUUGAUACUUAAGAAAUUGUAAGUCAAAAUUCCACACGGGCUGGCUACACGGCCAUGGGAUCCCCACGGGCUGGUCGCACAGCCAUGUCCCAAGCCACACAGGCAUGUGCCUCUAUCUUCAAGGAUAAAUUUCCAAAGUUGCUAGUUUAGUCCCGAACCACUUCCAAAGCAUGUAUUGGCCCCCGUAGGCCCAUAUUAGGGACUUUUUGAUGAAAUUUGAAAAGUUUUGAUUUAGAAUACAAAUUUAUGACUAGGUUUUGUACAAAUGCUAAUGUAUAAGUUCAGAAAUGCCUCGUAACCCUAUUUCGGUGACGAAUACGGGUUAGGGGUGUUACACAAUUGAUUAUGGACGGUGUGAGAACUGUUACCUAUGUUAAGUCAAUUGAAAAUUUAGCGGAUCCAUUGACAAAAAGUUUGUCAAGGGAUUUGGUUAAGAGUACCACCACUAAGAUGGGAUUGAAACCAUUCUAAUCGCAUCAUUGAUAAUUGAAACCUUACCUUGUUCUAGCCAAAAGUUAGUUUCGAGGUUCAAAAUGUAAUAACAAGUUAUCAAAUGACAACAUGUACUAAGAAUAAGGAUUUUGUGUUUAUGUUUCAGGAGGAUGAGUUUUACUGUUAAUGGAUGGACAUUAAUUGUCAUGAAAUCCACCUAUAUGAACAUAAAGCAGUGCUGCUUCAAUGAGAUUUUCUUUAUAGUUUUCUCUUGUACAUGUUCAUGAAACAGGACGAGCACAUAGUCAUAAUCGUGCUAAAGAAAAUAAACUCAUACUCUAAAACAUUAUGGUUAUGUGUGAAAUUUUUUCGGUAUUGACUUUAAGAGUGAUGGUUCAAGCGACUAGCCACCAUUCACUUUGUUGAUACUUUGAGAGUUUGCACUAAAGGAAGGUUUAAUCUGCGGACACUCUUCUUUAUGCAUAAUCGUUGUGUACUUAUUUUUUGAAAUUAGCAAUCUAGUGGGGGCUUGUUGGAAAUUGUAGAUUGCAAAUUAAUUAUUCAUGAGCACUAUUCAAAUUAAAAGUGAUGAUUUAUCAUCCAAUGGAUACAUUUCCAUAGGACAUGUUUCUUCUAAGAAGUAUGUUCAAUAUGAAGGGUUGUGGCUAUUCAAGAUAGUAUCCAUUAAGUGCAUAUAAAUAGAGGGACUAUGGUGCUCACAAAGUACAUUACAAUCAAUCCAAUUUCAGAAAAUAGAGUAAGAGUUAGGAAAUUCCUCAAUUUUGCCAAUCGAAGGAAAUUCAAAAGCUUCAUUGAAUCUUGAGAGUACCUUUGUCUUAACCCUCUAGCAACUUUGUGUGGGGGCAAAUAGUUCUCUUUAGAAAGCAUCAUUCACACCUCAAUGUCUAUUGUUUAAUUCCAUAUAGUCUCCGGAUCUAUCGUCUCCACAUUUGAGAAUGUAAACUUUUUUUUUUAGUUUAGCUUAUGCAAUCUUUAACAUUUUGAUGAUGAAAUUUAUAAUUUUUUUUUGUGAAUUAUAAGAGGAGAGCAAAGCGCUAACAGUAUCGCGAUUAGAACCCAAGCCACACUAGGGACGAUGAAUAUCCUAAUCAUUAGGCUAAUACCCAAGGUUUAUUAUAAUCUACUAUAUUGUUAUGAAUUGUUAAUUAUUAUGUUAUACAAUAUUUACUACAAUAACAUUAUUAUAUCAUUACGAUAUUAUAUAUUAAAUAUUUACUAAAUAUUUAAAUAAUUUAAAGAGUUUAUAAUUAUUUAACAUGUUAGACUAAAAUUUAAAUUAACAGGUAAGUUGAGAUAAUUUAAAAACUUAAAUGUAUAAAUAAUUAUAAUACCAUACCAAAAAUUUAAUAAUUUUAAAUAUGAAAUUUAUUUUUGAUUAAUAACUUAUGAAAUUGACAAUUAUGUUGUAAAUAAUUUAAUAUUAUCUUAUAAUAUAUUUUUAUUAAUAAUUUUAAUUUAAUGAAGAUUUUUAAUCUAAAAAGCCUUCUUUAUUCUAUUGAGUUAUUAUAAAUUCAAAUUUAUUAAUUGAUAUAGAUGAAUAUAUUCUUAAAAUUGUACAAUUUUUUUUAUCUUUUAUAUGGAUUUUUUUUCAUAUUGGAGUAGAGGAUGAGGGUCACACGGUUUGUGUUGAGAUAUUUUUAUAUUUGGUAAAUAAAUCAUUCCUAAAAAUUAGGGAUUAUCAAAUAUGGUUAAUGAUCUUUUUCGUAUUUAGUUUUUCUAUUUUUAGCUUUAAGUUUACUAAUUUAGUUAUUGUAAAGCCUAUAAAAGGUUAGAACCGUUUGGAGUUAUUCAUCUACUUAAUAAAAAUCAUUCUUCUUUCAUUUGAGUUAAGAACUCGUUUUUCUUUAUCUAGUUGUAAGUGCAACAAUGGUAUCUGAGCCAUGUUUGUUCUUCUUAGCCUAGAAAAGGUUUCAUUUAUGACCUCAGAAAGUAGUUUUAUUCAAGUAGCCAUUCUGACCGCCUCUAAACAUGCGAACAUUUAGAGUAAAAAUCAUACAAAUAAAAAUAUAUAAAAUCAGUAUGGUAUCUAUAAGUGAAUAAGUUAAAUUGUAAUAUAUUUUAGUGUUACAAUGGAACACUGGGAAGUUUUCUGAGGAUCGUACCCAAGGUAAGUUGAACUAAAUCUAAAUAUAUUAUCUACACUAGUAAGUCUAAAUAGUAAUCACCAAAAAUCAUAUUACGAUAAUUAAAAUUGAGGAUAAAAUUAUAAAAAAAAAACAUAAAAAAACUAACUACUGAAGACAAUGUUAACAAUGAGGAUUUCUCAAUCAACAAACAAAAGAUUAACUCACUUCGGUGGUUGUAAUUAACUUCAAAAUUCGAGUUUUCAUUAGGGAAUUAGUUAUUAAUUAAACAAUAUUACCUCACAGCCUUUACUACUUCACUAAUCGAUCAGUAAACGCUUAUCUCUCGACCUCACUUUCCUUACCAAGAUAAAUCCAUGAUUUACUCAAUAAACUUAUCUCUCGACCUCGUUUAUCCUAGAUUACUUCCUAGGGUCGUCAAUCCUAGGGUUUAAACGCACAUGAAUUUAUACCAACUAAUUCUAUUGGAAAACCCUUAAUUCUUUCGUUAAUCAUUCACACAUUCGCUUGUUAAUCUCCCUAAGGAUCUAUCCACUCAUGAACACAACUUCCAUAUUCUCUAAAAUUAAUUUAAUCAUGCACAACACACAUAAAUAAAUUAAAACAAGAUAAGGAUAAAAAUUACUCCAUUUGAUAAACUUGAUACGCUCGGAAUCGCGAAAUCCUUUAGCAGUGAUUGAGAUAUCGUCGAUUGCAAACAAGAAACAGAACGAAAAUAUGAAAAUGCCUAAAAACGAAGACUUGGAUUCGAAUCCAAGUCGAACAACAAUAAAAUAAAUUGUCUUCGAAAAUAAUCUAAAAUUAAUUAAAAUACUAAAACUAUUAACUAAAACCCUAAAAUGGCUUGGCAAAAAGCUCCCUAAGCCUUAGCUCAACUAACUAUUUAUAGACUAAGUUUGAUAGUCAUAAUUAGGUUAGAUACAAGCCUUAAUUACAUAAAAUAUAAGUUUUGCGGACGAAAACACGCUCGCUUAAUUUUUGCCCAUCAUCGCACAUGUGUCGUGACACAGCCUUAUGCGUGUCGUGACACAGCCUUAUGCGUGUCGCGACACACAACUUCAAAUGCAAUAUUUUUAUUGGCUUGAUUGUGUUGCGGCUCUGAAAGCUUGUGUUAAAACCCGACUAUCGUUCCUAAUGCUUUUGGGCCUCCAAAAGAUAUCCUACACACUCAAUUAAAUCAUUAAAACCACCUUAAGUCAAUAUUGGCCCAAUGGGUCAACUAACUCGAACUAAUGCAUAAAAACGCUUAUUUUGCAAUAUUUUGAAUCUAAAUUAAGAAAUGUGAAAAUGCAAUAAAAUAUAUUAAAAUGACUAAAAAACAAGCUCGCUAAGUGCCAAGAAUUACUUAAUUUGUCACUACGAUUUAUGGCAGAUCAGAUACCCCCACACUUAAGUAAUUGCUUGUCCUAAAGCAAACAAAAAAGAAAAAUAAAAACUAAAGAACAAAAAGAAAAAUGCAAAGAUAACGUACUCGAGAAUGUUUCGUACAAGAGACUGAAUCGGAACGAUGUAAACAUGUUAUGCAUAAUCAUGUAAUUCUAGCGUGAUAUAUAAUUAACUCCCGAUUUUUAAUGUUAGACAAAUUAAUUCAUUAAGUUAUAAGACAAACAAAUUAAAGAAUGUUAAGUAUAGUAUCCCAUCAAAACAGAUACACAAAUAUACAUUUAUGUUAAUAUCACCCUAAAUGGAAAAAAAUUUCAAAACUCCAUCUAUGCAGUGUAUACUUAGACCAUAUAGGAAUUUCGGCUUGUAAAGGUUUUGUGGCUUAGGUUGAUUCGAUUUUCAAGGAUAGGCACAAAAAAACAGUUUAAACACAAAAAUAGUUUGACAUAUGAUGUUGUUCUCAAUACUCCCCCAAUGUCUCGAUUAAGCUCACCGCCUUAUAUCUACUUCCCUCACAUUAUUUUUCUCUUCAUUUCCGAAGGUACAAUAUAAUAUUCAUAAGUACAAUCAUAUAUAUAUAUUAUAUGUGUGUGUGCUUGUGUGAAAUAUUUAAAAACAUCAAUAAACGUGAAAUGGUACAUUGAAACUUGCCAAUACCAUAUGUAUCAAUAUCAAGACACAAAUAAUACAUCCACUGAUGCGUAUUGACUACAUUAAUUUUAUUAUGAGAGCUGAUGUUUUGGAUUGGAUGGGGAUGAUUUUGCUUUUUCUAGUGUUCUAUUUUGUUUUGAGUUUUUGGUGUAAAUGUUUUAUCCCUCUAUUAUCUCUAAUCAGGGGCAAACCGUUAUAAGGGUUUAGGACCCCAAAAUUUUGGAAAAUAUUGAUUUUUUUUCCUUGAACUUUUAGAAAAUUUUAAUUAGGCUUCCCCAUAAUUUUUGAAAUUUUUUAUUUUUUCUUAAAGUUUUUAGGAAAUUUUAAUUGGAUCCCUCAAAAUUUUGAAAAAUCUCAUUAAUCUAAAAAAAAUAAAAUUUUUACUUGAUCCCUCCAAAACUUAAUCUCAAAAUUUGCCAUCGUCUCUAAUAUAACAAAACUUCCAUGUUGAGAAAAAAAAAUUAAUUUAGAGUCCGCUUGUUUACAUGUAAAAUGUUUUAUAGAAAAUGUUUUCUGCAUUUCCCUGUGUUUGUUUCACAAAAUUAGUUGGUCAACGGAAAUGACUUACAGGUCAAGGUAAAAUAGCCUUUCCCUGUAAAAUGACAUAUACUUUGAAAAGGUAAGUCAUUUUCUGGAAAAGAGCAUCUAUAGAUAAUUUUAUUUAUAAAAAUUAUUAAACAUACAUAUUUAAUUAUUUAUAUUUAGUCAUAUAAUAAAUUAUUAAUAUAAUUAACAUAAUUUAUUAUUUUAAUAAAUAUUUAAUAUUUCAAUUUUAUUUUAAUAAUAAAUUUUAAAAAUAAUAAUUUUAAAUAAUAUUAUUCACAUAUUAUUGAAAAUAUUCAAUAUUAAUAUUUUAAUAAUAAAUAUUUAUUACAAUUAUAAAUAUAUUAAUAAUAAAUAUUUUGUAGUAUAAAGGUUAAAAUAUGUCAUAAGUCUAUGUACACUUCAUAGAUUUGUAAUUUAGUCUUUGUACUUUUAUUUUCAAGAAUUUGGUCCCUUUACUUUUCAAAUUUGAAAAUCAAGUCCAAUUGUUGACAUCGUUAAUUUUUUUUUCUAUUUUGUUGAUGUCAUAUUUUUAAAUAAAAAAUACUCACUUAGUAGUCAUGUAAUUAAAAAAUGACGUUGUAAUGAAUCUAAAUUUAACAUAAUAUUUUUAAUAUAUGUAAAAACAAUGUAAAAUAUAAAGUCAUAGAUAAAAAUAAAUUCAAUUAAACAAUGAAAAUAAUAAGAAAAUCCCACAUGUAUGUUUGUUUAAUUGAAAACAGUUUAUAUGAAAUAUUUUUAAGAAAUCUAUUAAACAAAAGAAAAUAUUUUACACAGAUUCAUCCAAACACCAGAAAAUAUUAACUUUUCCAAAAAAAUAAAUUAUUUUCCAAAAAUCAUUUUUUUAAAGUCAGUUUUAGUGAAACAAACGGAGCCUUAAUCUUUUUAUUUUGAAACUUAAUAUAAUUGAAAACUAUCAAAAAAAAAUGUAAAAUCUAAUAAUACAAUUCCAUAGAUAUAAUUAGAGCAGCAAAAUUUAUUUUAAAAAAAAAAGGGACUGUUUAGUUAUAAAAAAUAACUGUAGGAGUAAAUUACACUCUUAAUUAUAAUACAAGACUGUUUAGAUGUAUCUGAAAAGAUAAGAAAAAAUCCCUAAAUUUAAGUGGUUGUUGCAAUAAACCAAUAAAAUCCCAUAAAUUUAAUUGUAUUUAUAACCAAAACCAAUGGCUUUAAUGUGAAGGAUUUUAAACUGUCCUAACAAAAUGCAUGCACAAAUCUAACCAGUAAUAAACUUUCUUCUUAAUCUCCUUCAAUUUCCAAAUAAAUCAAAUGGUCUCCAGUUUUUUUUUCUCCUUUUCCUUUUUUCUUUUCUAGGGUUUUAAACUUUCUUCCUAGCCAAACGCUUUUUUUUCCUUUCUUCCCAUGGGAUGUUUAUGAUCUAAAACCCCCCAAUUGCAAUUGUUGUUAUUGCCAUCUCAUGGGAAGCUGCAUAUCAACACAAGCGAAACUAAUAAAUUCAAUAUCGAAGAGAUAUUAUGAUAGAUCCGGUACCAAAGGGAAAUCCAAGCAUGCACGUUUCGAUCACAGCGAGUCGCGUAAAUCAGUGAGCAAAUGCGUGAGCAGUACCCGUAAGGUAUUGAAAAAUCCGUCGGGGAAGAAUAUCUUCGACCUUUACGAGAUCGGAAAGAAGUUGGGGAUAGGCGAAUUCGGGGUCACGCACCAAUGUUUCGAUUUAGAAACCGGGGAAGCUUUCGCGUGCAAGAAGAUAGCGAAGGCGAAGCUGAGGACGGAGGUGGACUUGGAAGAUGUAAGAAGGGAGGUGGAGAUUAUGAGACAUUUGCCGAAGCAUCCGAAUAUUGUCACCUUUAGGGAAGCCUUUGAGGAUAAAGAAGCUAUUUAUCUUGUUAUGGAGCUUUGCCGUGGAGGUGAACUUUUCGAUAGAAUCCUCGCUAAAGGUCAUUAUUCGGAACGAGCUGCUGCUACCAUCAUUAAAACUAUCUUGGAGAUUGUCAAGGUAAUUAACUAUAAACAUUUUCUCCUAUUUUUGGUUUCAUAAUCAUAUUUAAAUUUUAUAUAUUUAAACUAUAACUCCUUUUAAGUUUUAACAAAUCAUUUAUAUUAGAAGUUAGAUUGCAUAUUCAUGCAAAUUAAUCUUUAUACUUUAUGGUGAUAUAUAAGGAUUAAUUUUUAAUAGCAAAAAUAAGAAAAAUAGAUGAAAUUUUUAAUAGAAGAACCAGUUUACUCUUUGAUCAAAAGUGAAGAACUAAUUUUUUUUUGAGUAGAUGAAGUAAAAUACAAUUUAACUCCUAAUACAAAAUCCUCCACGAUACUUUUUACCUCUAAGUUUUAUUGCACUAUGCAAAUUUCAUAGUUUUUCUUUUAAAGUAGAUUUUUUUUUGAUUAAAUAGGAAAUGCAUGAAAUAAAUUGAUGCAGGUGUGCCAUGAGCAUGGAGUGAUACAUAGGGAUUUAAAACCUGAGAAUUUCUUAUUCGCAGACGAAAGUGAAAGUGCCCCAAUUAAAGCCAUUGAUUUUGGGCUCUCCAUAUUCUAUGAAUCUGGUAAUUAAGCUUUUGCAUAUACAUACAUGAAUUCAUAUACAUAAAAAUGUGAGAAUGGGGGUGCAGGUCAGCGUUUCAGUGACAUAGUAGGAAGUCCAUUCUACAUGGCACCAGAGGUUUUAAAAAGAAACUAUGGAGAGGAAGUUGAUGUUUGGAGUAUUGGUGUUAUUCUUUAUAUCUUGCUCUGUGGAGUUCCUCCUUUCUGGGCUGGUAUUUUCUUUUCUUUUUUAUUGGAUCGGUUAAAUAAAAAAAAUUAAAUAUUUAAUUUAAAGUUGCAUAAAAAAACGAAUUUUAACCCAUUCAGUUUAAAUAGAUUUGACAGAUGAAAAUUUAAUAAAGAAAUCUAAUAAAAAACUAUAUAAUAUAUAUUUGUAACUUAUAACAUUUGAGUUUAUCUUUUUAAAAUAGUAUUAAAAAUAUCAUUAUUAUUGUAAUAAUGAAGUGGGUUUAGAUUAAAUACGUUUAAUUUUCUUUUUUUUUUCCUUUUAUUUAAAGAUACAGGAGGAUUAUAGGCCACUAUUUUUUUAACUAAUAUUUAUAUUUUAUAUUAAUUUAUAUCCAUAUCAAACUACAAUUUAUUUUCUGUGUCAUUGUGUCUACAAUAUUUUAUAUUAUAUAUAAAAAUUUUAAUAAGCUAAUUGUUUAUAUCACGGUAAAGAAUUUUUUUUUAAGAUUUAGUUAUAAUUUUAAAAAAAAUAUUAAUUUAAUACCUUCAAUUUUGAAGAUAAUAUCAUAAAAUCCCUUAAGAAUUGAGAUGUAUUUAUUAGGUAAAUUUUAUAUAGAAAGAUAAUUUUAGCAUUAUUGUUUACUAUUUAUUUUAUUAUAUAUUUUUUAUUUUUAUCACAAAAUAAUGAAAAUUUAAUUACUUUAAAAUUAUACUGAAGUAUUAUAAAUUAAAUUCUAAUUAAAUUAUAUUUGAAUUUGAGUAAAAUUAAAUAAUUUAAAUUCAUAUUUAAUCCAAUUAUAUAUCAACCUGAAAGAUGAAUUCAUUAUGUUAUUUUUCUUUUAAAUUAUGUAAUUUUUAUUUAAAAGGUUUAAUGGAAAAAAAAUGAAUUCACCUCAUGUUAAUAUACAUAAUUGAAUUAAAAUUAAAAAUUUAAAAAUAUAUUUUCAUAAAAAUAUUAAAAAAGUAAAAAAUAAAGACAGAAAAUCUAAUGACAAAAUUUAAAAAACAAACUUACAAAUAUUAAUUGAGAAACACUUAUAUUAGAAUAUGACGUAAUUUUUAGUUUAAUGUAAUAAUAAUUAAAAUAAAUUUAUAAGUAAUUAUAUUAUUAAUAUUUUUAACAAAAAAAUAUUAAAUAAAAAUAAUGGAAUAUAAAAAAUAAAAAAGUAAUUAAUAAAAGGCAAGUAUAUUUUUUUAUUAAACUUGGAGGGUUUUAAAUUUGGGUUUAUACUAAAUACAGUGCAAGUGAAAAUUUUUAUAUUAUAUAAACUUUUAAGACAACACAUUAGAUUCGAUUAGGGUACCAGUAUGGAUGUUAAUUUAUUUGAUAUGAGAUGGGGUUGUAAGAGUGAAAAUUGGAAUGGGGUAGUGCAGAAACAGAGGAAGGGAUAGCCCAUGCAAUAAUAAAAGGGGAGAUAGAUUUCAAAAGGGAUCCAUGGCCAAAGGUGUCAGGUGAAGCCAUGGAGCUGGUAAAGAGCAUGCUUCGUCCCAAUCCGUACAAUCGUAUGACCAUUCAAGAGAUCCUUGGUAUGUUCUCUGUAUCACAUUAUCAUGCCGUUUGCUUUUAGUAAUUACAUAACUGAUGAACUUAAUUUGAAAUGAAGAACAUCCAUGGAUUCAAAACCCCAAGCAUUGUCCCAACGUUAAUCUGGGGGAGAACGUAAGAUCAAGGAUUAAGCAGUUCUCGUUGAUGAGCAAGUUCAAGAAGAAAGUUUUGAGGGUAUGUAUUAACCAAGUCUAGCCUGCUUUUUCUGUUUUUUUUAUUAUGUUUAGUGAGAAAGAGAGAUGAGGGGUUUAUGUUAUGUUGGAUUAAUUACAGGUAGUAGCAGACAACUUGUCAGAAGAUCAAACCGACUCCAUAAUCCAGAUGUUCAAUAUGAUGGAUACUGAUGAAAAUGGGCAUUUGUCCUUCGAGGAACUCAGAGAUGGCCUUGCCAAAAUUGGCCAUUCUAUUGAUGAUCCUGAUGUCCAGAUGUUACUCGAGUCCGUAAGUUCCUACCUUUUUCUUUCUUUUAUUCCUUCAAGUUUGAUGCCUUCCUUUCCAAGUGCUCAUUUAGCCAAGGACUUUUCUUCAUUAAAAGCAAUUUCUGUUCAAACAUGGUCACAUCCAACUGUUUGUUAUUAGUUUCAAGGUAGCACAAAACUGUUAAAUUAAUGUCAUUAAUUUGUUUUUAGAUUUGGAGGUAAAUUUUAAAAUUAUACAUAAACUUUGAUUUAAUUUAUAAUUGUAUAUAUGAAUUUUAAUUUUGUAUAAUUAUAUACAUGAAACUCUAAUUAUGAUUCAAAUAUAUACCUAAAACUUUAAUUUUGAUUUAAUCAUACACAAUUAAAGAAUAAAUACAUCAAUUUAUUUUUAUAUUGGAUAAAUAUAAUUAUUUAUGUAUUCAAUAUAUAAACAUAAGAUGAUGUUAUAUCAAUAAUUGUGUUAAUAUUUACAAGAAUUGAAUUAAAUCAAAAUUUCAUGUAUACAGUUGCACAAAAUCAAAGUUCAUGUAUACAAUUGUAUAUUAAAUCAUAAUUCAUGUAUAAUUUUGAGAUUUAUCCCUUAAAUUUAAAAAUAAAAUAUUUUAGACCCCAAUCCUAAACCUUAAACUUAAAUUCUUAAACCUUAAAUAACAAUACUAAAUAUUAAGUAUUAAACCCUAUACCUUGAAUAUUAAUAUUAAACUUUAAUGCUACCUAGAUUUGGUAUAGGACGACUUAGUGUUCCUUCAUUCAGUCUCAUCUAAUAAAAAAGGCUUCUUUUUUUAUUGGAUGGAAUAUCGACCUUAUUUCUAAGACAACGAAGAAUUCUCCAAUUUUAAAAAAAUUUCUGUGCAAAAAAUCCCCACUAGAUAAUUAUGUAUAGGGAUAUCCCUCAAUCAAAUAAUUCUUUUUUGGUUAAGAGUGUUAUUUUUUUUCGCAUGUUUUAAGUAUAUGAGUUAGCAAGAAAUUAAUUUAAUUAAUAUUAUUUAACCACUCUUAUGACUAACUUUUAAUAAAAAGAAGAAAUCUAAUUUUUUACAAGAAUUUUUACUCAUCUUUUUAAUUUCAUGUUUAAAUUUAUAUUAAUUAUUCUUCAUUUUAUGUCUAACUAUUGUAAUACAUAUAUAAUAAACAAAAUUUUUGAGUAUAUUAUUACAUUAAUAAGCAAACUAGACAUAAAUAUCAAAUACUAAAUAGCAGUAGUAAAUAUUAAAAUUUAAAUCUUUCAAAAGAAAAAAGAAAAAUUAAUGGCAGCAUACCGUUCCCUCGUAUUAUUACACCAUGUACCGUUUCUAUUAUGGUAUCAGUUCAUAGCAGUCGUGUUGCUCUGUACGCUAAUAUCAACUUGUACCCAUUCCAAAACAUUAUAAAUACCAUAACAAAAACGAUAUCUUUAAACUUUGCUUUCAUGUCUGAAACCUGUUUCUAUGCUUUCCUCUCCCAAAGGCUGACGUUGAUGGAAGUGGAACACUAAGCUACGAGGAGUUCAUAACAAUGGCGGUUCAUCUCAAAAGGAUCAGCAACGACCAACUCUCUCAAGCUUUCCAGUACUUUGACAAGAACCAAUCCGGUUACAUCGAAGUCGAAGAACUUAAAGAAGCUCUACUACAAGACGACCCUGGUCCCAACAAUGAAAAAUUAAUCAAAGACAUCAUGCUUGAUGUAGACGAAGAUAAGGUUUUUGAUCUUAUGUUUCAUGAUGUUGUAAGAUUCAUAAACUGUUUGUUUAACUAAUAAACAGCCCAUAAUAAUAACAUUCUUGUUUGCGUUCAAUUUGAUGCCUUUUUGUAGGAUGACCGAAUCAGUUAUCAAGAAUUUAAGGCAAUGAUGUUAUCAGGCAUGGAUUGGAAAAUGGAUUCUCGACAGUAUUCUAGAGUAUUGCUAAAUGCCGUGAGCAUCAAAAUAUUAAGAAAAUCUGGUCAACUAAAAUGAUAAAAAUUUUCAGGCUCCGGGUAAAACUCUGAUUUACGCAUGAUUACAAUUGAAAGAAAUGACGGUUGACUUUUGUAUCAACUGAUACAGACUUUUGGAGAGCCACACUCAAAAGCUAAUUGUUGAAGUUGAAAAAUAUAGAUCUAUAUAAACCUCCACUAAAAAAUCUCAUACUUCCUUAACCGGGAUUCAAAUCUUGUACUUUGUAAUUGACAAAUUACAAUCCAUUUUUGAUACAUAAAAGUUAAAAUAAUGUUAAUUUGUACGAAGACCAGGAAACUGCAAAUUGAUUUGUUUAAUCCAAUGUAUUGAUAGAAUGUAUUACAUUUUAAAAAAAAAGAAAAAUGAUAAAAGAAAAGUAGUAAUUCAUUAGAAGAAAAAAAGAAGAAGAUAAAAUCAAUUCUUAAAAUAUUACUCAAAAGUUUUUGGUAAAAAGGCAACUUAAUCCCUCAAAAAAAUAAUAAUUUAAUACAUGUUAAUUUUAAUUUUUUUAAUGAUAUACUUAUUUAUUAUUAUUUAAAUAAAAUUUUACAUAAAUUCAACUGAUUAUUUUUAAUAAGUAUUUUAAAUGAUAUUUAACAUAAAUUUUUUAAUAAUUCCAUAUGUUUGUAUAAAUAUUUUAGGUAUAGUGUUAAAUUUAGCCUUUAAUAUUUAUAUCUUUUGUCAAUUUAAUUCUUAUUCUUUUACUUUCAACCUUUUAAAAAGAAAUAAAUUUAAUUAUUAAUCUUUCAAAAAUAAUUGAAUUAUUAUUAUUUUAAUAAAAAUACUACUAAAAUAUUAAAAUUUUAAAUAUGACAGAAUAUAUGAUAAUUUACAUGUACUUUAUAUUAUUUUUUUGAAAUUUUAAAAAUGGACCUAGACGAAAUUACAACUUUUAAAAUAAAUAUAGACGAAACCAAAGCUUUGAAAAUACUUAGUGGGUAAAACCAAAGCUUUGAGAUGUAAUUACAAAAUAUUUUAAAUUUCACCACCCUACCAUUCCUAAGUAUAAAAUUUUCCAAAUAAAUUUUCAUUAUUACUGUUAGUUGAUACAAAGUUUAAUUAUACCGAUCAAAAUUUUAUUUAAUAAUACUUUAAACCUAUUUAGCUUAAUUAAUCACUAAAAUAUUGGCUCAUCCAUUCCCUGCAAGUUUGAAUAUUUUUUUUUUGUGAUGAACAAGAAAAUAAAAUUACAUCAAAAUAAAUUGAGCUAAAGCAUCAUUAGAUUUGUCUUGUUGAAUAAACUCUAAAACUUCGUCAGGAGCGCCAUUGAAGAUUUGAAGAUCUGUCUUUCCCACUAAACUUAUCUUAGCCAAACAAUGAAUAACAUGAUUAAGAUCUCUAGAUACAUGUCUAAUGUACCACUACCUUUUAGUUCUCAAAAUUCUUCAAAUCCUCCUAAGCAUUGUAAUACUAGAAUCUGUCAACCAACUUUCUUUUAAUGCUCAAACCACCUCCAAAUUAUUAGAUUGGAUCAUGACCCUUCUGAAUCUUUUACUGAGCACCACUAAAAGACCAUUUAAAAUUCCCCAUAAUUCAGUCUAAAAAAUCGUGCAUCGCCUCAAGUAGGUAUUAAAACCCAAAAUCCAGUUCCCAUAUUGGUCCCGCAGAACACCUCCAAUAGAAGCACUACCAUCACCAAUAGCUACUGCCCUAUCAAUGAACAAGUGUGUCCACGUAUUCGCCGUGGAAGUCUAGAAACACAAAAAAAUAUAGACUUUUUCAGCACCUUUUGAGCCCGAAUUCAUGUAAUUUCGUAGUAAACUUGGUCGAAAUUCACACUUUAAUUAUAAAUAAUUAAUUUGUACUUAAAUUAUUAACAUAUUAAAUUUUAAUUAUUUUUAUAAUAAAUUUUCACAAAAUUAGUAUGGCCUAUCCAUGAACACCUUAACCCUGAACCAGUCUGGACUAUGAGGUCGAGAGAUAAGUAGUUCUUGCCAACUUAUUAUUCUAGUGGAAAACCAAAAGAUCCUGUUGAGAUAUCGACUAGUUUAUUGAACAAGAAAACCUGAAGUGACAGUUGAUUAUGAUUACUGAAGCAAGCUAAUCACCCAUGCUCAGAUUUGAUAAAUUUACUAUUUGAUUUCUCAUUAUUUCUUUAUUUCUUUUUCUUUUUCUUUUUCUUUUUAUUUUUAUUAAAAAUCCUAAAAACCUUCCUUUUUAUUUGAUCAUAAUAUAAUUCAUCUAAAGUACUAAUUAGAUCUAUUUAUGCUUAGAUUAGAAUUAAUUUAGUUCUCGCCUCCCUUGGGUACGACCCUUGGAGUACUCGUCUACUCCAUUGUAACUAUAUUACAACCUGACUCGUAUACUUGCGGAUACUACUUUUUCAUAUAUUUUGUGCACGAUUUUUACUCUAAAUGUUGGUACGUCCGAAAGCGGUCAUAUAGAUAAUGUCAAAAUAAUAAUAGAAAAAGAAAAUGAGAGAGAAGACAAGAUAAGAAAAAUGGAUGGGCUGCAAGCAAACUAAUUAGAUACCACCAAGAAGUUCUUUCUAUCAUGACCCAAAAGCUUUAUUUUAAACCCAAGCCUAAGAUAUGAGAAAGGUUUUUUUUUUAAUGAAAAGGCUAAUCCCCAUAACAUAGCAUAUAAUCUUAUGUUUUACCAAUGAAUCAAACAAUGAUAUAUUAUUAAAAAUUUUAAAAUUAAAUUUACCUAAAUUUAUAUUUAUUGAUAUGAAAAAGAACUUAAUUUAUCAGUUGUUUCAAUUCGAUGUCCUAAUUAAUGUUCCAACAUAGAUUGGAACAAUGCAGCUUGACAAAUAUAUUACAAAAAGAAGAUAAGACAAGUAGAGAAACGAAGACACGAUAUUUAUUAGUGCGGUUUGAAUUCACCAAUCCUACUUUGUACACGAUAUUUACUUUGUACAACCUUAUUUAACAGAUACUUAUAGCCUAGACAAAGUGCCCUAAUACAUUCACUUACCCCAAGUCCUCACUCACAAAUCACAAUAACUCUCCAAUAAAGUGCCUAAAAUAAAAGUGCAAAAAUAUUCACACACUUACCCCAAAUCCUCACUCACAAAUCACAAUAACUCUCCAAUAAAGUGCCUAAUAUAAAAGUGCAAAAAUAUUCACACAUUUAAGCGUGAAUGGAUAAGGAUAAAUUUUCUUUGAAUCAAUUAAUCUUUUUCGCUCUUUUCUUUGAAAUAAAAUCCACUAACAAAAUAAAAAAUGUCGAAAUCAUUUUUUUUGAAAAACGGGAAUCAACUUUGGUUUUGAAAAUGAAAACGAAUAUGAGAGUCGCCACCAAUGUUUUUUUAUUUAGGUGUGAUCGGAUCACCUCGUAAUUGAUUGUUUUAAAAUAUUUUGCUUUACUAAAACAAUAAUUUUGGUCUACGAAAAUCGAGAAGACAGGUUUGGGAGUCGGCUACGUACGAGGAAGGAUGAGCACCCUCGUAACGCCCAAAAUUGGUACCAAAUUGAUUAAUUAAUGUUUUAAUAUCAAAAAUUGAAAUUUUGAAAAGAUUUUAAAAUACGAUCCCUUGUUAUGAAUAUUUGGAUAACUCGAAGUGGAUAUUAAGAUUCUCUUGUUCUAAAGAAAUAAAAUAUCACAUCCAGCACGUAGGACACGACAUUUCAAGCCUUCGAUACCAAAAUCAUCUCAUGAUUUCCAAAACCCAUGCAUUGAAAUUUUAAAAAGAAUAUUCGAUUAUUCAGUCAAACGAUAAAUCGAAACCCAACACGUAGGGCACGAUUUCUCGAAAUUUCCAAACACAAAAUAUUUCCUUGUUUCAAAUUUUUACGAUCCUUUUUUAUGAAUAUUUGGAUAACUUGAAAUGGAUAUUAAUAUUCUUUUGUCUCGAAGAAAUAAAAUACCACAUCCAGCACGUAGGACAUAACAUUUCAAACCUUCGAUACCUAAAUCAUCUCGUGAUUUCCAAAACUCAUGCAUUGAAAUUUUAAAAGGUUAUUCGGUCAUUUGGGUCAAACGAAACAAAUCGAAACCCAGUACGUAGGGCACAAUCUUUCGAAUCUCCAAAAAAGGGAAUAUUGCCUUUAUUUGAAAUUUUAAAAGGUUGUUCGGUUAUUUGGGUCAAACGAAAAAAUCGAAACCCAGCACGUAAGGCACGAUCUUUCGAAUCCCCAAAAAACGAAAUAUUGCCUUUAUGUUUAAAAAUCUUUUAUAUGUAUCGGGUAAAAGCUGUGGUACGAUUUUAUUAUUUUAUGCGAAAUGGAAUUGUAACACUAGCAUGCAUACUAAAAAACGUAAUAAACGCAACAACAUGAAUAACCACAAUGAGUGCAAAAUGAUUGAUAAAAUAAAUAAAGAGGCAAUGAAAACCAUAUGUAAAUAAACAAAAUUAUUUAAUAAAACAAAGGGAGACUCGAAUGAUAACAAUAAAAAAAAGUAAAGAAAAUGCUGAAAAAUAUUAAAUAAAACAAACAAAUAAAAACGAUAGCAAGAAUAAUAAUGAUAAAAUAGGAGAUAAUAAUAAUAGCGCAUUAAUAAUAAUGUUACGUAGAUGAUAAUAACAAUAAUAAAACAAAAAAAAAUAGUACAUUAAUAAAGAUAAAAGUAAUAAUAAUAAUAAAGAUGAAAGAAAAUGGUGAUAUGAAAAUAGGUGAAAUGCAUAUACAUAAAGUUAAAUUUAAGUGUUUAAAAACAAAGAAUGAAAAAUAAAUAAAUUAGUAUAGGCAAAUAUAAAAUUAAGUAAAAAUGAACAUAAAAUAUUAAUAACAAUAAUAAUAGUAAAAAUAAUAAAAAUAAAUAAUAUAAAGUUUCAAGGUAUAAAAGAUAUACACCAAUAGAUGAUAAAAAUGAUAAUAAUAAGGGUAAAAAUAAAAAUCAAACCAAUCUAUAAAAAUAAUAAUAAAUAAAUGAAUAAACAAACGAAUAAAUGUUAAAUAUUAACUAAAUCAGUUUAAUGGUAUAAUCAUAAUAAUAAUAAUAAUAAUAAUAAUAAAUGAUCCAAAAUAAAUAAUAUAUAAAAGUUUAAAAUAAUAAGAUAUAUAAAACAAUUUAAAAUAAGCAAUGGAUAAGUCAAUAAAAAAAUAAUAAAUAAGAGUUUAAAAUAAAAGGGAAAUUUAAAGAAAUAACAUAUAAAAUAGUUUUUUUAAUAAUAUGUAUAAAAACAAUUUGAAAUAAACUAUAUAGAUAAUAUGUGAAAAGAGCAAAAAUAUAUAAUAUACAAAAUAAUUUAGAAUACAUGAUGUAUAAAAAAUAAUUUAAAAUAAAUAAUAAUACACUUUUAAAUAAUCAAUAUAUUAAAACAAGUUAAGAUAAAUAAGACACAUAAAUAAUCUAAUGUAAAUAGCAUAUAAAUUAUUCAAAAUAACACAUACUAAAACAUUUUAAAAAUAAAUAAAUAAAUGAAUUAAAAGGACCUGGGACAUGAUUGAAAAUUAACUGGAAUUCAGGAUAUAAAUUUGAAAUAACAAAAUGAAACAAAGGGCCAAUUUGCAGCAAGUCGCAAAUGUAAAGGGCGAAAUAACAAAUGCCCCAGGCCCCUCUAUGCGCUGCGUUUUUUAUAGGGGCCAAAAUGAAUUAAAACAGAAAUUGUACGGAUAAUUAAAAAAGGAAUAAAAUUAAGGAUUGGACUGAAUUAAGGGACGCGUAAACUUGGAGGGACUCACCGCAUAAAUAGUCCCAAGGCUACAAAACACGCAGAUCCCUUUUAUCCGGGUCAAGUCGCGCACGGGCAGUCCAAAACGGUGCCGUUUUGGCAUCUGGACCCCUACCCAAAAACGACGACGUUUCAACGGUUGUACUUAAGCCCAAUUUAAAAAAAAAUCCUUCAUUUUCUUUCUUUUUCAGAAGCAGACAGCAGCCCUCCCCCUCCAUUUCUUUUCUCUGCUAGGGUUUCUUAACCCCUCAUCACAGCCGUCGUCACGACGCCACCGUAGACGGUGGUUGAGAUCACGUGAAAGUGGGGUUCUUUAACCCCUGUUUAUAGCGCCCGAAGGCCAUGUCUCAUCAGCCCGAAAAGACGAAAAGGGAGGGCUCUUGACCCCUUUUGGGAUCGAUGACGACGGAAGAGAGCUCUCCGACGACGCAAUCACGGUGGUCUCCGGUGAGCCCUUUUCUUCUUUUUAUUAUUUAUCAUUUUUGUAUAUACAUAUAUAAAUAAAAUAAAAAUAAAAAUAAAACAAUAAAAAAUAAAGCAAAAUAAACAAGAACUUGAAACUAAAGUAAAAACCUUUGAAGCUUUGUUUUUCUGUUUUUUUAUUCUUCUCCGAAAAAAAUCCUCCCUUUUACAUUGGUUUCUCUUCGGCUUUAUAGCCUAUUACAAUAUUAGAAAAUAUUGUCUCUGGUACUGUUCAAUCACUGUUCUAUAUUGUUUCUGCCUCUGUUCUGUAUUGUUUUGCUUCUGUUUCGCCUCUGUCUCUUUGCUAUUUCGGUCUUCUUUGCAAGUUCGGCGUUCGGUCAAUGAAGAAAGGAGCUUGCCAUUUUGGUGCAAGUAGUGCCAGGGUCGAGCCUUGGGCGGUGUGCGAGCCAAGGGCGCACAUGGAGGCUGCGGCGCCAGAAGAGGAUUAGGGUUGCUGAGUUUUCUUAAAAUUUUUGGGUCAUGAGCUCUAGGGUUUUCUGUGUAGUAGGUCAUUUGGGCUUUGUUAUUUUAAGUCAUGUAUUUGGAUAGUAUUAUUAUUAUUAUUUUAUCUUGGACUGUUAUUUGGUUGUAUAAUUUAGGCAUGAGCCGGGGAAAAUAGGCCUGUUACAAAAAAUAAUUGCAACUCCAAUUUAAAAAUUAUUUGCUGAUAGGAAACUAAUCAUUAACAACAUUUUAACUAUUUAAAUUCACAGUCCUAAGUGUUGUUCUAACUUAUUAAACCGUACAAUUAAAAUAAUUUUUUAAUUAAAACAAUUAACAUAAUAUACAUAGACAAUCAUUAAGGACAAAAUGAUCUCUUUUUUUUUUAUUUUUUUACCGUAAACGAUUUGUAAUUCAAUAUUGUACUCCAAUUCGAAUACAAAAUCCUUUAUUAUUAUUUCGACUCAUCCAAAAGGAAAUGACCUAUUCGUAAGUUUGUCACCUGAACCUUCAUGAAGGC
rnacentral:lncRNA from 1 species